AAAAAAAAAAAAAAAAAAAAAAAAAAACUGGGCACAUUCGCGAGUAGAUGAUUGGGAAAAACCAGUGGUGCCUACCAUUCUUUGACUGGUAUUAAAGUUGUCCCCUUUUGUUCUGUUUUAACUAUGGAUGUAACAAGUGCACCACUUCUUAAUAAUUAGCUUUCCGGGCUGAUUACUACAAGUUUCUCGUGUGGCUUGGAUUAACUGACGAGCCGAAAUGCGUGUUACAAAGGAUGUAUUCAUGAGAUUGUGCUGAUGUAGUCAUUUAUUUCAAGCAUCCGAAGUGACGGAAAAUGCAGAAGCCACCAAGUGUUAUACAACUGAGUUACUGCCUAACACAAGGGUUUGCAAGGUUGCUCAUGAAUCUCUGUUCUCAACCUACAAGAAUAAAAUCAAUGGGGAGAUGGGUUUCCCAUUUCUGUAGCCGCCUUUACAUGAAGCGAUAUAAACAAAUAUCGGAGGGAAGAAUGGAGGCUUGCAGGAAAAGACUCGCUUCAGUUCUAUCAAAGCUACCAAGGGCUGCCAAAUGAGCACACGAAUGCAUACAUCAUGCUCUGAGUUGUCUCAUGGCCAGUUCCGAAAAUAGUUUUUUUGUGACAUGCAAGCGCAAGCACACCACAAGUCCAGAACAAAGCUCCCCAACUCCAGGGGCCCCAGCUCUCUCACUGAUUGAUGUCGGCUACUUCGUCGCCAUUGUAUGAUGGUUGACUCUCCAACCCCGAGGAAAAAAAUACUAAAAGCUCAUUUUCGUUCGAGCGAUGAGCAACGGGUGGCGUUUCUCCAACCGAUCUUGGUGUAAACGUUGUACUGCUUCGGAAUGGCGACAUUGCUGUGUAUGAUUGAUCAAAUGGGGAGCGACGAAUUGGCUGCAAAAAUAAUUCUGUCGAGCUGCCAAAAAAAAAUACAGGUUCUUAUAGAGUCCUUUCAACAACGUGGGGCUGUGUUAUUUGUGAGGUCAAACUUCUGUCUUUAGCCACAGACAGAGUGGUGGGCAGUCGUAGGUGUUUUUUGAGGUGUCGCUGUUCAUCAAGAUCAAUGUACCUUCUGGCACGUUCGUUUACUUUCACUGCUUUUGUAUGCUGUCCAGAGCUAUGGUGCACAUUGUGUUUAAAGAAAACCUGAUCUUCUGGUUUGCGAUACUGACGCCUUGCAAUUGAGCUGGCUGUGUUUGCUUAAUGCGACCUUCUAAACCUACCCACAUCUCUUUCAGUUCUGCGCUGCAACGAAGAAAACGAUUGAAUAUGUUACCGGAUUGCAAGCUUGAAUUUCGUGGACUUUUGAGCUUACAAUCUGGUAACAUAUUCAAUCUAGCUUCUGCAUGCAUUGGUAAAUUUAAACACGCUACACAACCGUGCCGUAACGAAAGAUUUCAUCCGAUGCAGUCGCACUAAUAACCCAACUACGGGGUAUUUUUUUCGUGUAAGAAAGUACAGAAAGUCACACCUCCAACGCACUGGAAGGUAGUGUGUGAGAGUGAUCUCAAGAAAAGCAAUUCUGUCCUCAAAUCGAAACACACCAACACAAGUCUAAAAUUUCAAGACCGUGCUUUUAUUUACAGAUGUUGUCAUCAUGGGUGGUGUGGCAGGGCAGGCCAAAUUGCUGACCCCACCUCUACUCCAGAUUCCAUCACCCCUCAUCUCAAGCGACGCUUGCUGCUCAAGGAUAAGAACACACAAGUCCAAGUUGGCAAUAGACUUGGUCUACGGCUAUGGCUGGCAAAAUUAUACGGCGACCUUGCAACCUAGAUCUCGCAAUACAUAUGGUAGUGUUAAUCCCUGGUACACAAGUUAGUGCACAGCAUGUGUUGUGUGAUUCAGAAAGCCCAUGUUCACAGACUAUAACUAAUCCACUUUAUCCUACUAUUACCUAAUACCACAUGAAGUCCGUCAUAGGAUCGUGAUAAUCGCGGUGAGUAACGUCCAAGUUUCAAGCGAAGAAGCCGAAGAGGUCUUGAUAACCCCUUGGUGCACUUGAUCCUGCUCCGAAUCUCUCGGUGUCUCGGUAAGACGUCGAGGAGUAGGACGAGGAAGAGUGUGCAUCUCCAUACGAAGCAUACUGAGUCGGCUCCGGAGUAGCAGCAUAAGAGGUGGACGUCGACUCAUAGCUCGGUCUCUCGUAUGCGGAGGCUGUCACUGAGGUAUCAGGAGCAUAGGAUGGUGUGUAAGAAUAGCUGUCAUGAGUAGAAUCGCAUGAGUAGGAGCCAUACGAGGAGCCGUUGUUGGAUUGAUCAUCCUGGGAAGACUCAUAGGAAGGUCUGGAAUACGAAGAGUAGGAUAUUUGGUAUUUCUGCUCAGGAUAAGAGGUAGAGAACGAGGGCUCGUACGAGCUUUGACUGUAUGCCGGUGUCCGAUACGCAUCCUCGAACGGGGAUGGCAUGUAUGUGGACACACGGUUGGAAGUCUCGUAGGAUGAGGAGCUGUAGGGGUUGCGAGACGUGGGAUUGUAUGAGGAAUUGUGGGAUGAAUUGUACGAAGAGUUGGAGUAGUCGGAAGAAUUCGGUGAGGAAUGUGAAGCUCUGUAAGCUGGGUCACUGAAUGGAACGUAGGAAGAAUCUACCCUCCGGGUGUUGAAAGGAUCGUCGAAGUAAGCAGCCCUUGGGACGUAGGGAAACGUGACAUAGGCGCUUGCUUUCUCCUCCUUUACCACUACAUGGGCAUCCUCACCGAGUGCGUCUGAUUUGGCUUCAGGGGCUGCUGAUGCAGCUGGUGGAGCUGCCUCUUCCGGCUCUGGAGCGGCUGGCUGUUCGGCUGGCUGUUCCGCGGGCUUCUCCUCUGCAGGUGGGGAAUCAGCUGCUUCUGGAGGAGGAGAGGGAGUCUCAACGACAACAGGGGGUGGGGCCAGCUCCACUGGGGCUGGUGGAGGCUCUGUAGCCAGGCGGGUCUUCCGCUCUUCUGAUAGCCACUCUGCAAACCUGAAAAAGAUUCAACAUUGAUGAGAUCAUGACAUUCUACCUUCCUAAUUUAUUUAAACGAUCUGCAGAUAUUUCUGAAUUUGCGAGGCUUACAACAUGUCAUGUGAAAUUUCUCGAGAACCAAGAAAGUAAAUACCUGUAAAGAGCUUCCCGGUUAGUCCCACCACAAGGAAUGGAGUGGAGUUUCCCAGUUUGGAAGUUCCGCACAGUUACUGGCUCAUCCAGAAGGUGCUUCGCCGUAGCCAUUAGCUUCCACAGAUUGGAUUCCGAUGAAUCGUCCACAGAUGCAAGAGGCCCGUUCAAGUUGUCUGUCUGCAUGGUUCAUCAAAUGUUAUUCCCCCAUCUUAACAGAAAUGCUUCUCCUUCACAAGCCGCUGGCUCAUCGAUGCAAAACAAACGAAUACACGCAACAGCCAUAGAUUGUUCACUGCAUUCUGUGCUUCAUAUUGUCAUCUCGCACCAUAAAAAGAAAAAGAUAUAAUCUGGUUCUCAGGACAAGGAACUACCUGAAUUCGAAGGUAAUUGGAUGCGCAUUGUUGUGACUGAAACAUGAUUGAGAGGUUGUAGUCCACCAUAUCUGCACUGGCAUUGAACACCAUAUCAACCAAAGGUGCCUCGCCUUUGUUUGCCAACCAGUCUACAAUUCCCCACUUUGCCACAUCCCUUGCGUCGUAGCCCAUUGUAUGUUGUCCUGUACCAAGCGAGAGGACCAGGAUAUCGUUGUAGCUCUGCACACAUUCCCCCACGCAAUAAGUGCUCUAGAACAACAUUUCUUUGUGGCUCGAUUCUCACAACUCGACUCAAAAGCGUAGCAGAGAACUGAUCAAAAGAAUGUCAAGCGAGUGUAAUACCGAAUUAUCCACUCUUUCUGCCAGAGCCCCGCCGGCUUGCGAUUCCUUGAUUGCUUGCGUAAUCGCGACAUAUGUCUGCUCCAGAAAAAACAAAUGAACUAAUAAAUUAUGCGAAGUUAUGAAGAAUGCGAAAAUGACAAACAGGCAUAAUACAGGACUUCUGGCAGCAAAAUGUCAGAUUGAGGAGACCAACACAACAUCUUGCAAUCGACAUUUCUCGUGUGGGAUGAAAUGAGACAAAAUAAGAUCAAGCGCACCGGAUUGUUCACAACAACACCGCCAUCUAUCAAGUUGAACUCUCGUGUUUCGUUGGGCUCCCUGGAGGUAUCAGUCAGAGUGAAAUGGAUUGGUGGGAAGUAUGUCGGCGAUGCAGACGAAGCUCGGCAAACAGCUUUAAUGGGAGGAUUCUCAAGAGGAUCUCUUUGCGCCUAUUCACAAACAAACCCACAUUCUAAUUACACUUUGAGUAAACCCUAGUUAUCAUCGUGACGACCAAAGCUGUUUGACCUGGAAUUGCAGAAUACGGAGCUUCGUACUUCAGCUUUCAUUGCUUCGUAUCCUGCAAGUGCAAUUUGCAUGCACUGCGAUUGAGAGAGUUUACCUGCCAGGACGAGAAGAAGAUCGGUUGUUGCAGUUUCGUAUCGAAGGCCGGGAUAAUGAUGGACGUCAGCGCUCGGUCAAGAAGAGGAUCGCUCUCAAAAUACUGGUCUAAUAAGCGCUGCAAUCCUCGUGGUUUAUACUUGGGCCCGUUCAAGGCCAUGAAGUGCCUCCGUGUCUGCCCAAACGGGCCUCUGCGGAUACAGCCAGAGCAGCAGGUUAAGUUACUUAACAUUCAUCCCCGGUGGACACAAAAGAAUCUGAAUCUUGACGUUGUUGGAAGAAGUUGAUUAAUAGUUUCGAUCGAGUGAUACAUACUUGCCCUGAGGGAAGAUCUUGUUUGCGUGCUUUUGGUAGAACUGCACGACUUCUCGGGCUGUGAACAAAGGUCGGUUUGAGCCCUCGGCGCUUGGGGACGAAAUCAUGGAGGUAAUGAGUCCACCAGUGCUGGUUCCAGCUAUGAUGUCGAAGUAGUCGGCCAGGCGCGCUUCUGGCCCAUCCAAUCUCUGGUUUUGAAACGGAGGACAACAUAUUUUGUGAGAAGACGUGGUGCACAAUGUAUCCAAUGUUCUCACUUGCAUCAGCGAUUUCUAGUUUGCAACCUCUCCCUCCAGCUUCCUUGUGCGAGCAUUUCACAUGAACGAGAAGUUAAUCUCAUGUUCUCGAAUGAGAUUACUAUUGGAGAGGGCCUCAUCGUUCCAAAACCGGCCCCUUCGGACACACACUGAUACACCCCGCGCCGCACCUUACCUUGUCGACCCGGCCCGGACGGCAUCGUGAACGGCGGUAGGCCUAUGAUCUAGAGCAGAUUUGUACACAAUCUCAAAGUAGAAACUAGCUGCACUCAUUACCCACUUGAUAUCGAUGAGUAAGCUUCGUCUAGUUGGAAUACCGCGGUGAGAAAUCUAACGACUACAUUGCCAUCUUCUGAGCCGCUGGAAAGAGGUAGCGACGCUGAUGAAAUGCAAGUCUGUCUCAGCUACGCUCUACAAUCGCUAUACAAUCCUUCCAAAUUUGGGUCCUGAGUUUUAUGUGACAAUUCGUCAUGGCUAGGCUUCUCAUGCAUCAUGAAGGCGAAUUGUUACAUGCCUUCAUUGCAGCCUACCCACCUCAAAUGAGAACCACUCUAAGGUGUUAACCGUUACGUUGCAAUAUCACAAGGGUACUGGUAGCUUGCCGAAGUGACGAGGAAUGAAUUGUAAGAGACGAUUCUACUGAAACCCUGAGAGCUUCACGACAUUGUCUUCGAUUAUAAGCGUCUCAAUUCCUUAAGCAGACUGCAAAGCUUGCAAAACAAUCCGUCCAAGCCGAGACCAACACAAGAGUACCCACCUGAAGCUUGCCCUCAAGCUCGGCCAGGAUGGUGGCCGGGAUAAGUCCCCGCACUCCCCCUCCAUCCACGCUCAGUAUAGUCACCCGCUUCCCAACCUGGCCCGUAGGCCUCUGCGUCAUGAACCCAGGCAUAACUGCUGCAAGACCUCAGCUCCGCACAAACUCACACCCUCUCUCUCUCUCUCUCUCUCUCUCUCUCCAGCAAGCCCUCUUGCAGAUCCAGCUCAAUUAACCCCCCAGGACACUGAACUGAACGCUCUAUCCAGCACCGCAGGAGCGAGUAUUUGAGGCCGGAGUGGUGGACGACAACCAGUCCUCGCUUUUCACCCGAUCAUAGGCGCACCCACCUUCAAAGCCGCAAUUACAAAGGUUGGUCUAAUCCUCAAUUACCGAAGCUGCCGAUCCACAGUACUGCACUUCGACGCACAUCGUGCAACAGGAAGCUGCGUCGGAGGCGAAUAUUUCAACCACCAGUGGACGGUCUUUCACAAACUAGUUACCCUUCAAUAAUGAGCCGUGGCGGGUUGCGAGCAUGAGGGAGACUCUCCCUUUGAGACAAGAUCCCAUGCACCUGAUCCACGACCCUCCUCCAUUGAUCGUCUGUUUAACUAGCCAAAGGCUACUCAGCCAUUUGCGUCUUUAGCUACCCCGAAUGCUUCGUAACAGCCAACCAUUAAUCAACAUUUUGUGAAUGUAAUUGAGCUUGUUUAGCAACUGGGUUGCUAUUAGAUUGGGACUGAGCAUGAGGUGACCUUAAUCCAACAGAUUCUAUGAGGACGUUAGUGCCGAUGAGUGCAUAUGUUUGCCACGGCAAAACGAUAGAGCAUGGGACACGGCGAGGAUAGUUCGUUUUGUGAGAUGUUUUAAUGGGAACCCACUUGGUCUUAUAGCGAAGUUGUAUGGGUGCCGUUUCAGUUGCACUCUAGAAGUAAUCUAGAAAGCAAAGACUGUGUCACAAUUAUUGUUGUCAUGUAAGAUUCCAAGAUGUUCCAACCACCAAAAUGCCAACAGUAAAUCAGGUAUCAUUCCCCCCUCCUAGCAGAACUAUUACUCUAGCUAUUGUACAGUGUUGCACAGAUAAUGACAUUGUGCAUAGUCAAUGUCUGCAAUAAUAGAAAAGAGUAUGAUUUGGAAAACUGGUAUGAAAAAGCUUUAAUCAGUGAGAUUACUUUCAAGGAGCAGGUCCAAGAAUUAUUAACUAUUGUAAGGCCCAGUUCUUCCUUGACUCGGGGUUCCCGACAAUAAUUAAUCCGUUCUGAAAUUAGUACUUCCAAAAUCAUUAUUAGUAUUAUAUAUAUACCUUAAUCUAACACAUUUUCUCUCAGAGGACCUCAAGGGCUGAGUUUCCUAGGUCUCUCGAUGAGACAUAUUGAAUGCGGAGCGCUCGAAGUACGCAGGCUGCAAGGGUCGAGGGUUCGAAACCUGGAAGGGGAUUCUAAACCUGAUAGGUGGACUUCAAGGGCCGAACAAAUUUGACCUUUCCGAAGAGACAGAAUCUGGACAAGGAACCGGUCUUCAUGGUAUCAAGUUGCAAGACCGUUUUGGAAAGUCAUUUUAAACCGUCUAUCUUACAUAAAUGCAGGAACUUACACAUACCAUAAUUGAAAGGCCAAGUCCAGGAUGUGCACCAAGUCACAAGCCUCCAAAUAAAACCAAGACAACACAGGAUACUCAUCCACUCUCCUACCCAAAUUGACAUAAGCACUGAAUGUGGGCACAUCUGUUUUAAUCCCAGUGCUACUCUAACAUUCCCCAGGAUUACAACCCUCUCCCAUGAAAAGUGAGCCAAAAGGUAGAACAACAAAGAAUAAUGCAACCACAACCACUGCACCACUGUAAGUGUGCCCACUCAAGGCUAAAAUACAUGAGCACAUUCUGAACAGAGAGGCACUCAAGGAAAGAGAGGAAUAUGAAGCAGAAAAGCAUAUCAGGGACUGUAGCUGCUGCUGACAUUGAAUCACACCAGGGCUGAGGUGGUCCCAAGGGCAUGUUGGCCCCCACAUGAAGAGCCCUAAGUGCUGGCUUGCUUGUUUGUUUGUUUGUUUCCUUGCUUGUUUGGCAUACACUAGUUGUUGUUGUAGCAAUACCAGUACCAGUAGUAGUACUUGGGUUGGGGGUGGGGAGGGGGGAUCCAGUAUGGGAUUUUGGGAUGGCUGGCAGCAAGAACAGCAGAGCACCACAAGGGUGGUGGCACAGCCAUGUGGAAAAAGAGAUGAAAAAAACAGACACCCUCUCUCUCAGAAAACAGACCCACAUACAUACAGACACACAAACAGACACCAAUGUAUCCAUCCCUCUGCCUGUUAUUGUGCUGCAGCAGUGGAAGAGUGAGUGAGUGAGUGCAUUGAGAGUGGGAGACCAUUGCUGCCAGUGCUGGGAUAUCCAGGUGAUGGAUGGAUGGGUGGAGUUUAGCCUUUUGAACGGAAAUCCUGCAGUAUUAUUCUAUUGUUUGCAUCCCUCAAUUUCAUGCAAAUGUUGGUUUAUCCACUCAUCUCUAUCUCUAUCUCUUCCUGUGUCUAUUGUGGGGCAUGUUGGUGAUGGUGGGUUGGUACCUCCCCAUGUGUUGUGUUGUGUUGUGUUGGGCAUCCCCUGCAAACUGUCAGUCAUUUCUGGAAUGACUGUGAAUGUACCCACCACCAUACACGUUCAGAUGGGCUUUUAUCACAUCAGGACAUCAGGACUCUCCAGGUUGUAGGAGUUGUACCACCACCACUCUCUUUCAUUGUAUUGCCUGCAGGACUGUCUCUCUCUCUCUCUUUCUCUUCAUUUCAAUUUCAUACAGAUUUAUGUAUAUAUAUAUUUGUGUGUGUUGUUUAAGAGAGGAGAUAGGGUUGUGUAUGCAGUCAUUGUGAAGGAGAUUAGGAAAAGGGUGAAAUGGUUUGCAACAUUGUUAGCCCAUGAUCUGAUUGCAAAAGUGGUUGCACCAAGGAGGUUGACUAGUUAAAUUUAAGAUGUGAAGUUUCCACAUUUGCAAAAUGAACAAUUAGUAAAAAGAUUAAUGUCCCACUGUUUCAAAUAAAUUUAAAAGAAUUAAACAAAUAAAACAAACAAACAAACAAACAGACAUAGCAAGGGUAAGCUUUCACUCUCACUCUCAUCAAUGAAAUAGAACCUAAUGCCUCUCCUACUUGGCUCCUCUUGAUCAUUCAGAUCCCAAGCUAACCCACACAAUACUUCUGCUCUGGUGAAUCUGAUCACAAAAAGUGGUACACAACCCAAUCAUUUUUUUCAAUAUAUGUAUAUAUACACAUCAUAUUUUUUAGUAUAGUGUAUGAAAUAAUUGGAGAUCUCCCAAAUGAAACAAAUGAGUUAGGAUAAAGGAAAGGGAGAGGAAGGCAUGGUUUUGCACUCUCUUCAUUGAAAGGCCUAUUCAUUGUGACCGCUAACUGUGCCACCCAAUGAGCAUGAGGGACAUAGAGAGACAUGGCACAAUCAUAUAAAGAUGUGCAAUCCACACUAUGAGUCCUUGACUCUCUCUCUCUCUCUCUUUAUAUAUAUAUAUAUAUAUAUAUAGAAAAAGAAAAGAAGGGGGUUAAUUACAAUAGAAAAAACUUGCCACUGCAUUGAGAAGUAAAAGCGAAUAAAGAGAAGAGCAUGUAUUAUUUGCUUCAACAUCAUUCCAUUGCCUUAUAAGAAGAAGAAGCAUAAGUUAAUCAUGUUGAAAGCUAGAAUAAGAUAUUGCAAAAUUGUAUUUGACAAAGCUUGUUGUGAUCUAAGCUUGAAGAGAACUUUUGGUUUUGAAUUGUGGAGUGAUCAAACAGUCUACAUUCAUGUCCCAUUCAUGGCAUUCUUUUUUGACAGUCAGCCAAAUAGAGGCUGAUUUUGAUGCCUGCUGACUAUUUUGAUUUAAUGUCUUCCUUUGUUUGUUGAUUUUGAUGGCUUGACAACUUUAGCACCUUGCCCUUUUUUAGAUUUUUUUAGGUUUUAUUAAAUUUAUUAUUCUUUUAGGUUUUACAAAUUUCAUGUCACAUCUAAUUUAUAAGCUUUUUUCCACUAAUUUUUUCUGGUUGUUCAUAGAGUUAUCCAACGCCAUUGUUGUAAAAGAUAAAAUCUCCAUAAAACUCACAAGAAAAUAUCAUAUGUAUAAAAUUAAAUAUAUAAUGUACAGUAAUGUGACUGAAGAAGAAAAGAAUUUCAUGCCAUUUAUUUAUUAUUGACUCAUCAUACAUAAGCCGCCAAAAAUAGAAAAUGUGUUUCUUACAUUGAAUAAUCUCAAAGGAUAUUAUAUUGAUUUAAAAAUUAAUGACUACAAAUUUUAAGUUUGUGCAGUUUAUACAUUAACAAUAAUAAAUCAUAGUUGAAAACAUAAUGAUUUUUUCAUUCCAUAUUGGUUAUGUAAUGCUAAAUAAUAGUUUUGUCAAGGUAUGAAGACUUUUGAGCAUCAAGACUUUGAACACAAAUAUGAACUUUUAAUAUUUUAAUAUUUUAAUAUUAUUAUAUGAUUUUAACAAGUUAAUUUAAUUUAAUUUAAUGUGUUAAAUGUAUGUAUGUGUAUGUAUGUGUAUGUAUAUAUAUAUAUAUAUAUAAACAAAAUCUAUAAUAUAUAGGUUGAUAAUGAAAGGGUUUCUUUAUGUCUUUAUUUUAUACUUGAAUUAUUUUAUAUAUUAGAUGUAUUUGGGGUAUGAUUCCAUCCUCAAUUCCAUCCCAAAUUCCAUGUGUCACAAAAUCUUUGUUGUUGACCCAAAGAUAAUGAGAAAGAUGGAAAAGAAGAAGCAUAAAAAGAUGGUCGUAGAUUGCAUGAAUGAAUGGUGACUCAAGUCAAGUCAAGUCAAGGAGAGUAAAAUUAUUCUUUGGUUUUGGUGUUGGGGCUUGUGUCCCCCUUGUUUGCACUAUGUCCAAACUCCACCGUCCCAAUAAUUCCCCUUGUUUCUUUUCCUAAAUAAUAACUAAUUCAUUUUUUAUUUUUAUUAUUUUAUUCUCUUGUUGCUAAACACUCAAAUCCACAAAGAAAGAGAUAGGCACAAACAACAAAUGAAACUGAAUGAACGAAAUGAAUGAAUGAAUGUACAAGGAAGAAGCACUCUCACAAGAUUUUUGCACCUUGGAUGAAUGAAAACAUGGAUGCAGUUUAAGGUGGAUGAAUGAUCCUGAAGGGUGCCUCCACCAUCAGCAGCUGAACCCAAUUCCAAAGCCGGGUGGAAUCUCCUCCUUCAAAUUCUCUUUUAAAAAAUGAAACAAAAAGAAUGCAAACCCUAAAAUUGUAAAGAAGAGAUCAAUGGGGCCCUUGGCAAAGAUUUUACAUGAAAUCAACCAAUAUUCCAUGGGCCUGGGGAUCUCAUAUGCCACACAUGAUGUUGCUCCCAAAGACCUUUCUCUACUUCUCUUUUUCAUUUUUCAUCUUUUUUGUUUAUUUAUUUAUUCUUAUUUUUUUGAGAGGGUGGUGCUAUUCACUUGAGGCUUCCAAUGCCUCCAUUUCCAAGAGUUAAAAUCCCAAUUUCAAUGCCCCCACAUAAACAUACACACACCCAAAAGGAAUGAAUAAACAAAGCAUUCAAUGUUCCCAAUCAUUGGUUGGAAGAAACAAAGGAAGGUGGAGCUCCUUUUCCAAUAAUAACAAUAAUAAUGGGGAUGAGUUGGUGCUAUUUUGAAUGCAUGCAUGCAUUAUGUUGAGCUCAUUUGUAGCCAUGCACACGUUGAUGGGAAAAAAUAAAAAAUGAAGUAAUAAGAUGAUAAAGGUUUAGGUGAAAGCAAAAAAGAGAAGAAGUCAAUAGAACCGUAGAUAAGUUGUAUCUUAUUUUGUUUUGUUUUUUUAUUUAAGGGAAGUUGCUCCUUGCAUUUGCCAAUUAAAUGUUUACUUUCAAGACAUUAAUUCAUUCACAACGGCAUAUAUAUAUAUAUAUAUAUAUAUAUAUAUCAUUUUAUCUCUAUACAUUCCAAAUGCAAAAAAGAGAUCUAUAUGAUAUAAAAAUGAGUCAAUUAGUUCAAAUUUUAAAAUAUUUUAGAACCUGAAAACUGAUUUUUUAAAAAUAAUUCAAUAAUACUUAUUAACCAGUGAAAAUGUAACUUCUAUACUAAGAUUCAGGAUUUAAGAUUUAAAAAUAAAUUUUUUGACUAACUUCAAUGUUUUUAAUAAACAUUGUAUUUUUUUUCUUUUUUCUUUUUUCUUUUUACUUUCUCAUGUAUAAAUAUAAGAAGCUAAAGUAUCUAUAAUUACAGAUUUUAAAAUACUACCUUUCUUCUUUUUUGAAACUAUAGUUAGAAAUUUUAUAUAUUUCAUAGACUAUAUAUAUAUAUAUAUAUAUAUAUAUAUAAUUUUAAUAUAAUAAAGAGCCAAUACGUCUGAUGAAAUAAAAGAUAUCAGUUUCUUGAAUAACAUUAAAUCUUUAAAACUUGCAAAGUACAUACUAUAUAUUUUUAAAUAACAUAAUAUGGAUUCAAGUAAAUUUGACAUACCCAUAAAUAUACACUAAUCUUAAUAAGAUCGAUAAACAUAAGCAUCUUGAUUUUUUUCUAUUGAUGUAUUGCUGAAAGAUUAAAAACAUAGCUCUCACCUAGUCCACUCUAUUCAAUUAGUUAUUUUUUUAAUUUUUCUUAGACCAUAAAAUAUAUCCAUAUAAGAAUAAUUGAAAUUAUUAGUAGACAUGAUUUGUGUAAUAACUAAUUAUAAAGUAAAAUCAAGACCUGAAAAUAUAUUACUUAACUUAAAGUAAUUGAGCAAAUGAAUAUGCUUGAUCCAAAAAAUUAAAUUUAUUCAACUAAUGGUGAUCGUAAAAAAUCUUUAUAGUUAGCUUCCCUAAUGCAUAAUAAUUAACGCAAACUCAAAAAAAUAUAAACAUUCUCUUCAUAAAUAAAAAAAAGAAAACUGAAUUUUUUUUCAAUAUUUUCAUGAUUCUUUUUUAGUUUAUUUACUGCAAAAAUUUAAUACAUACAUAUGGAUAUAGAAAAAGUUAUAAAGUGAUUCAAACAAAAAAAUUCUCUUUAUAUUGCAACUUAUGCACUUAAUAUUUUGAUAACACACACACACACACACACACACACAUAUAUAUAUAUAUAUAUAUAUAAGCAAGUUUAUAAUUUGCGUGUGGAUUGUGAUGGUCAAAGAUGCAUUGUGGAAUAGGUAUAUUGUGAUAAUGAUGCGUUCAAGACAUAUAUGCUUCCUUUGAUAUGGUACUUCUAUGCAACACCACCAAGCUUACAGCUUAUAAACCAAUGCUCUUUGUUUUAUUUAUUCAAGUAAUAAACAAAACAUAGUUUUGCCUAGACAGAAUGCUUGUGAAACUUGACAAACUAGCUUGCCCUUUUUACGACACUAAUUGCUGAAUAUCCAAAUUCCAAAAAGAAAACAAGAAAAAAGUGAGUGUGUUCCUACAAGGGUGCUUAUAAAUACCUAAAUUUUUUUAAAUUAUUGCAUCUAUUCUAAAUUUGUAAUGGUACUACAACUAAUUAUUAGUAGUUUCUACUAUUGCAUGUUUUUUCAAUCUUCUUAUUGUAUUGACAUCCUUUAAUGUUGUGGCUUUUGCAAAAAAUCGCAUUGACAAAGUCAAAUCAGCAUUUGUAGUUUAUUAAUUUGAUGAAUUGAUAAAUACUGUUUUUAUAAAAAGUAGUUCAAUAACAAUAAGUAAAUAAGAAUAGUUCAAAUAUUUAUAUAUGUGUGUACUUAAAAAAGUUAUACUUUAAAAAAAUAAUUUUGAUUAUGAUAAUGACUUCUUAUUUAUUAGAUGUAUGAUGUAGAAUAAAAACUUAUUUAUAUUUCUUCAAAUCAAUUAAUAUUAAAAUAUAAAAUAAUAAAUUUAAUAUAUAGAUUAUUCUUAAAAAAUUGAAAAUAUAGAUUCUUUGGCAUAAUUACAACCUGAAUGUUAUAUAAUCAAUCUAUUGCUUCUACUUCUAAUUUCAUUCAACUUUUAAAAAGAAGAUAUCAUAUUAUUAUAUAGUACAACUUUACGUAAGAAAUAUAUUCUUGUAAAUGUUUAAUUUACUAUUGAAAAUUUCGGAAUAAAGUAUAUUAUUCUUUGACAUCAGAAAAUAUAUUUUAAAAACAUUUUACUGUAAUUAUCACAUCAAAAAAUUAUUGUGUAGAAAAAUUUAUAUCCAGUCAUUUUUUAAUUCUCAAAUAUAUGAUAAUAUAUAUAGAUGUUAAUUGAAUAUUUUUAAUUUUAAAAAUUAUUAAAAAUUCAUGGUAUACUUUUAAUUACAUGAAUUUUAGCCAAUAAUUAAGUGUUAUUAAAGAGAUUCUCUUAAACAAUAAGGUUACAAUCUAUGGAGUGAUAGAGCAAUAGUGGAUGCAUGAUAAUGUGGAUAUGUUUUGUGCUUUAGUACUAUAGAUAGAAUAUUACAAGAUUAUUUGUCAAUUUAAUAUUACCCAUGUGAAUAUUGUAACAAAGAUUGAUUACGUGUUUAUGAUGUCAUGGAAAAAAUCUCAUUUCUACUGUUUUCCACUGAAACUUCCACGAGAUAAAUUUUAUCCAACUCUGAUAUAUAUAUAUAUAUAUAUAUAUAUAGAAUAAAAUAGAAAAUCUAUUCAUGUCUAAUAAAUACAUAUAUAAAAUAAAAUAAGAAAACAAUUAUCCAUCUCUAGUAUAUAUAUAUAUAUAUAAUUUAUAUAUAUAUAUAUAUAAAAAUUAUAUAAAAUUAAUUUUCAAAAUUACAAUAAUUUAUGAAGAAUCUCAAAUAAAUAUAAAUAUUUUUAUGGUGUAAAAAAUAUAAACUAAAUUUUAUUUAGAGAUAUAAUUAAUUAAAAGUAUACCAUGAAUUUAAUACACAAUCUAAGAAUCUCUCCACAAGAAACUCUUUUCAACUUGCUUCACCACACAGUCAAUUUAUUCACAUCCAUACUAUGCACACACUUCAAUGUUUAUUUAUUUUUAUUUUUAUUAUAAUUCUUACAUGCACUAUGAUUCAGAUCACCACUAAACUACUCUAUUUUUAUCUUUUCACUAAUUUCUUUGCCUUUGUAGCUGCAUCUGUCACUUUCUAAGUUUCUCUUCUUAAUUUUCUUUGCCACACAUGUUUGUGCUGAUUUUGUUCCUUGUUCCUUCAUAAUAUCACACAAUCACAGAUUUUUCUCACACUUACAAUUUUCUGAAACCACAAAUGACAUUGUACUCUUGAUUUUUAUAACAUGAACUUACAACACUUAGAGUAUCAUAUUUCAUCUCACAAAUCCAUCACCAGAUUGGAUUAAGAAUCAAUUAUUUGUACAAGAUGAGAAAAAAUAAUGUCAAUGGUUACAAGGAUGUUUAAAUUUAACAAAAAAUAACUAGUUUCUAUAGUUUAAUAUAUAUAUAUAUAUAUAUAUAUCUAUAUCUAUUGAUGAAAUAAUCAAAUAUUUUUUAAAAAAAUAAUAAGAUAUAUAAAUAAUUUAUAAACACUAAUAUAUCAAUUUAUAGUUGUUUCUUUUAUUUUUGCUACAAAACUUCUGAAAAAAUUAAUAAAUUAAUGUAAAUUUUAAAUUUUAAGUUACUCUUAAUUACUUCUUAUAAGCAGUAAUGAAUGUGAAGAUAUUGAUAAGAAUAAAAUGUUAAAAAUAAAUAUAUGCUUACAAACAAUCAAGCUUCUCACUAAAAGAUAUUCCAUCUUAAAAUCAUAAGUAUCAAUCAUAUUUAAGAUUAACUAAUGAAAUAUAAAAUUUCUUUCAUGUAUAAUCUUAGAAUUUAUUUAUUUAAAAAAUUACUAUAUAUAUAUAUAUAUACACACAUAUAUAUACGGAAUUGUUGAAUUGAUCCAAGGCAUUUACAAAAUCAACCCACCUAUCAUCAUUUUUUCAUUGGAUUUCAAUCAAUGUGGAUCCAACAAUGGAGAUUUUUUUUGAUGAUGAUUAGGAUGGGUAGGUCGAUUUAAUGAAUGCCUAGGUCAACUUAAAAAUUCCCUAUAUAAAUAUAUAUAAAUAUAUUAUAUAUAUUUAUAUUUUUUUUCUGGACCAAUGUACAUCAUAUGUUCUUAUUUUUUUCAUUAAAUAUAUAUAUUUUUUUCCUUCUUGAUACUUUUUUCAUAAUAGAUAUAUUUAUAUAUAUACAUAUAUAUAUUUUCUGUAAAUUGUGGGGCUGAUUCAAUAAAGUGCGCAAACUAAAUGGCUGAGGUUGAUGGGACUUGCACAAAUUCCGGGGGUUCGUAUUGCGAAUGAAAAACGAUGCGCUAAGUUCAUCCCUUCGAUGAAUUCCGGGUCGCUGAGUCCAAACCAGUCGCAGAGUAAACGCAUUUUGUUGUAUUUGUUUUUUUUUUAUUUGAUUUUUUUGUAUUUGGGGUUGGGCAGCAAACGUCGGUAGUAGAAGAAAUCGAUUGUGUCGAGAAAUCCUUUUUUCAAUCGCGAAUUGAAGAAUUGCCAGCCCUCAAUUUCUUCGUCUUCUCGGGAAUUCGGAUUGGAUUUUGUGCUUGUCAGUUUUGUAGUUUCCUCGAUUUCUUCAGUCGCCGGUAGUUUGUGCUCUGGAGCUACAAGAGUGUGUGUUAGGGUUUUUCGUCAUCAGGAAUCGAGGAUUCUUGCUGUGGAGCUGGAGGAUUCCUCGCUGCAGUAGCUUGAGUGAUGUAGGAUUGAUGUGUUCUCGACCUCAUCCGGUCUCUUUUACUGGUGAAGCUUUGUUAGGUUUUUUAGAAUAAGAGCACACUUGAAUCUGCGAUUUUUAAUAAUUUGAACGAUGAGGAGGAGGCCAGGGAUUUCAGGGCUGCAAGGGGCGGUUGCAGCGCGAGAUCAAUACCGAUCAUUGGGGGACAAUGUUGCAAAGGUGCGCCAAGACCUCAUGAAGGAGCAGUUAGAAACGUUCCGGCAUCAGCUUGAAGAGUUCGCGUCUAAGCACAAGAAUGACAUCACGAAAAAUCCUGCCUUCAGGGCGCAAUUCCAUACAAUGUGCGCCAAGUGUGGGGUGGAUCCUCUUGCGUCGAACAAAGGAUUUUGGGCUGAGCUUUUAGGAAUUGGUGAUUUUUACUACGAGUUAGGGGUGCAGAUUGUCGACAUCUGCCUCGCCACCAGGUAUCUGUCUCUCUUAGAUGUUGUUUACCUUCUUGAGAUAUCGAGUCGUGUGAUUCGGAUCACCAAUUUCAGAGUUACUCACGUUCUCUCAUUAAUGAAAGAAUGAUUGGAUAUGUUGAGUGGCUACUCUACAUGAAACUGUGGCUGUUCGAAAUCUUCAUUGUCUGCAGCUGGAAAACCAGGUGGAGUGCAUUUGCUAAUGCCGUUGAAUUUUAUAUCUAGCUGAUUUAGGUGACAACUUAUUCUACAGAUUAGGAUGAUGGUAAUCAUGGUCCUACAAUUGUUCGAAAAUGUUGUUCAGACCUCGAAAUGGUGGCCUCAUCGACAUUGAGGAGCUUCGUUCAUCGCUUUCAAAACGACGUCGCUCUGUGUUAAUUACUGAGGACGAUUGCCUACGUGCAAUUGGAAAGUUGAAGAAGUUGGGAGGAGGGUACGAGGUAUUCAGCGUUGGACGUCGCAAGCUCGUACGAUCGGUUCCCAUGGAACUGAACAGGGACCAUAACCUAAUUCUUCAGAUCGCACAACCUCGUGGGCAUGUGACAGUCGAAGAGGUAGAGAGAGAGCUUUCAUGGCGCAGUGGACGAGCAAUUGAUGCACUUGAGAACCUUCUGAAGGAAGGCUUGGCAAUGAUAGAUGACGGAGAUCCUGAUGGCAAGCGUCAUUACUGGUUCCCUUGUGUUGGUCCUUCUGAACUGGAGACAGAAUCUGGUGGCAACAUGUAGACAUUAAUAAAUGUAUUUCCACUCUUUAUAUGCUGAUUUUCAAUUUUCUUGGAUAAGUGAAUGUUCUAAAGCAUGUUUGCUUGAUGUUUUGCUGUUGCAAAGAACUAUGUGAUGUACAUCGCAUCGCACAUACAGAUAUGGUUGAGUAUUCAGUUGCUGAAACGGUUUGAAUUUCACGAGGUAUUCAAUGAAAACAUGAAAUGCGUGAGUACAUAAUUUAGCAUGUUAUAUUUUCAAAUGCUGUGCAAUUGAUAAAAGUCAAGGUGGUUGUAGCUUAAAAAUUGAAUGAAACUUUUGUUUACACGCAUGUUAUGUCAAUUAUGGACAAUGCAUGAACAGAAACUAGGUGAAGUUAAAUGAAUUAUCUUCACAUGCAUGGUGUACUUAAGCUUCCUAGCUAGGUUUAGAAGCAGUUUUAGCAUCAGUAAAUCUUCCAACUACUCCAUAUAAACACUACCAAACACUGUUCAACAACUAUAACCACCUGUGUUGCUAAGCUUCACCCAAAUCUACGUUUUAACUUUUGCAUGCAAUGAUACACAACCAAACAGUACAAGCCACAAAGAUUCCUAGCACUAUACCACAACCUAAGAUUCACAUGCCUGUUUUGUGUCUCUGCUUGUAAUGCAUCUGUGAGAUGACCUAAACACUACAAGCUUCGCAUCAUAUCGCCUUCCAGCUCGACCACCUUAACAACACUUUACACUAUUCUUUGUACAAUUCCAGUUACAUGCCUACAAUGUAAUACCUUUUCAACAAGAAAAGGAAUUUAGCUAUUGACCCCUGGAUAAACUGGUGCAGAAGAAACAGGCAUCUUCUGCUGUUCGUUGACACCGUCUGCAUUACAAAUCCAAUGAAACAAAUUAGCACAACUAUGAACUAAAAUUAACUUAGCUCUCUUUGUUAAGUCACCUUUGUUGUCUUCCAACAGCAUUUCUCCUGUCAAAGGAUUUGACAAAAACCUUACCUCCGUAAUUUUGAUAAACGCCAGCAGCUGGCUGCUCAUGAUCAGACCGAGGAGUGACAGCGUUCGGUCUCCCAAAAUCUGAAUGUGCCGGGAAUGUGUGUUGCAAAUGUUCUCCAGUUUCUUUGGGGGCGGCAGCGAAGAGGGAGCUCGCAGCACCCCUGACACGAUCAACAAUAGGGAUGCUCUGAUAAUUCCUAGGUGAAUUCGUCUUGUUACCUCCAUUCACGAGACCUAGGACUGGCAAGAUCUUCUCCUUAAAGGUGCCGGGCAAUGUGCUCAACGUCUGGGUCACCUGUUCAGACAGUUCCUUGUCAUGGUGCGUCGGAGUGGUAUGAGCUGCAAGUCGGUCUUUCGCGAAAGCUGCACGAUCUGCAGCAGUGGAGGAGUACUCCCGAGUUUUUUGACUCGCCGUAUUCAUGUAGAUUUUAGCCUUCUGUGUGAGGGGAGGAGCGUUCGGAUCCCUGGGCUUGUCAAGGCCCAGAGUUGCCUUGCUCUUAUUCAGAAGUGUCACUGCGUUAGGAUCUCUAGGUUUGUCAAAUCCGAGUGCCGACUUCGCUUUAGUCAGCACAGAGGGUGCGUUCGGGUCAGUGGGUUUGUCCAAUCCUAAAGCCAUCUUCGUCUUUUGCAUGAUUCCGGGCGCGUUAGGGUCCCUCGGUAUAAGAUCUUCUUCCCUGUAGUAUCCCAGUUUAUCUCCGACCACAGCAGCGGCGCCAGCGACACUUUCCGUCAUUUUCUCGAGUAUCCCCUUAUUUGCACGAUUUGGAAGGCUGGAGGAGUCCGCAGUGGCACUAGGGCGGGAGACAUCGUUGUACCCUUUUUGUGUGCUCUACACAGCAAAUAUUACAGAAAAAUCAAUUUCACAAUACGAAGCAUAUGGUAAUUGCAUCCCUCACUUCACUUCAUCGCAUGUCAGCUAGAAGAUAUGGUCUAUGUUGUGUAUACCUCGACCAUUGAGUCAGGAUAUGACAAUGGCGGGGAGUAUUUUGCUUGAGGUUGGGAACUGAGAUCACUUCGAUAAGAGAUAUCACGAGGAGACUUUUCGUUGACACCCAAAUUCUUCAAUUUAUCGACUGUGGUCGGGGCCAAGUUAGAUCUUGGCGAGUCAGUCGGUGGAGCCAAGUUCGAUCUUGGGAUAUCAGUUGAUAACGGAGCUGGUCGCGUGGGAGGUACCCCUGGAACAUAGUUUCGUGUUUCGGCGUUAUGCAAAGGAUUGUUAUGCAAAGGCUUCAAAUGUCCAGUUGAUGGAGUCAUAUUCGAACUUGGGGUAUCAGUUGAUACCGAAGCUGGUCGCGUAGUGGUGGCCAUCGGAACAUGAUUUCGACUUUUGGCAUCAUAUUCUGAAGGGUUGUUAUGUACAGGUAUCCCGUAUCCAGUAGAAUCAGGGUACGACGACCUUGUGUCAUGGUCCCGGUUUUGCGAUGCGUUGAUAUUUGGAUCUGAUGAUGCAGGAUUGGUUCUCAAUGUGCUGAAGGGUGUGGAUUCACCAACGUUGUACCUUGUCUCGGGACCGGGACCCUGCUACCAGCAAUGCAAACGCGACGUCAAGCACAACAAGUGAAUGUCACCACAGAACCUCAAGUCAACAUUGAGAGACAUCUAGUUUCGAAAGAUCACCAUGCGAUGCGAACAACCUCAAAUGCAAGAAUUCAACUACAAGCUUUGUAACAAAAUGCUUACCCUGGGAGAGUUGUGCGGAGAAUCAUCGUACUCGGAGCUAUUCUCCUCAUACCCAUGCUCAUCGCCGCCGUCUCGCUUCUUCAAUCCCGGCAAUCGAUUCUUAAUGCUCUUCACCUUACUCCCCAAAUGUUGAUUGGUAACUCUUGCCUUGAUUUUCGACGUCAAGGACCUUCCUCCUCCGCUCUCCCCCUGAGCGGGAUCUGCAGUGACAAUCCAUUCCGUGACAACAAGCACACCCACACACUCAGUCACACAAUCACCAUUGCCGCAAACAAACCAUGACAACCACUAACCCCACACUCUCAAUCCACUGCCACCUCAUUCAACUCCUACCCAACACUCUCAAACCCAAGGAUCAGCCUCAGAACGCAUCGCUCACAUUUGCAACAUCAACAAUCGAAAGCACACCAACACUGUCAGCGGGAAAGAAACAAAACAAACGACACAAUGGCGAAGCGUACCCAUCGUAUGGCAACUGUAGAGAAGAAUCCAAACACACUCUCUCACUUUGAAAGUCUCGGAUAACAGGAAUCUAAAAAGCUCUCUGUCGACGCAACAAAUGCUGGAUCUCACUCAAUUGCAAUAUAACCUCCCUGAGCGGGAUCGUGAACUUUAACACGGCAAACUGAAUAUUCAACAUCAAGAGCGAGAGAGUGCGUCUCCAUCCGCAACCGGUGGUAGAAGAAGGUGACGAAGCCUUUUGAGAAUGGCCAAGUGGCAGGCGCCCCGCUGACUUAGCUUGCCACAUGUCGAUCACUUUCUUCACCGUCCUCCUUAUUAUCAGUCCGACGUCCGUCUGUGCCCACCCAACUUCGUCCGCCGGCAACUUCGUCCCAUUGACGAUCGACCACGUUUCGCUCUAGUACGUUCGUCAUUGACUAAUUCGCAAGCUGAUGAUCUGAGGGUUUCGAUGCACACGUAUUAGCCUAUCAGUCUCUCCGAAAAUAUUUAAUGCAUGGUAGUGCUUUAGUAUGUGUGGAUUUUUGGGUAUCAUGCAUGCUUUGGAUUUGGUCUUGUAAAGUGGUUUGUUGUCAACAUGUGGGACUGUCUUAAGGAUUUGAAAACACAUAAAUUUCAUUUGAUUUUGUUUGCAUGUACCUUUUGUUGAUAGUGUAAAAUUUUCUACCUUGAAUGGAAAUAUAUGGUUUUGAUCAAAAUAAAUAACUCAUUGUUAUUUGUAUCUUUGCUAGAAACAUUAAAUACCUUCUUUUCUAGAGAUAUUUUUAGAAAUAUAUAAUUAAGAAUUUUAAAGCCUAAGAUUAUAUAUGUAUAUAUAUAUAUAUAUAUAUAUAUAUAUUCUUUUAUUAUUUCUUAAAUUCAAUCAAUUAUUUAUUUACUGUUUCAAGUAAAAAAAUAGUUAGUUUUUGUCUUUGUCUUUGUAAAUCAUAUUAACAUUCUAAAAAAAUGUAUUUAAUAAAUAUUCAAUUUCAGUAUUACAAGUAAAUUAGAAAACAUCUUAGAAUAGACCUACUUGAAUAAGAAUAAGAUGAUAGUAUAAGUUUGUAAAAUAAGCACAUGUAAAAAAAUGUGAGUUGGUGCAUGAAUGUGAGUUGUUUGUAUUUUAAGAAUUGUGCCUAUGAAAAAGUAAUGUGUUAAUAUUUAAAAAUUGACAAUUUUGAAAAAAAAUUAUAGAAUACAUUAUAAAAUCAUUUAUUAGAAUUGAAUAAUAAUAAUAAAAAUUAAAUAAAAAAGACAUAAAAACAUAAAAAUGGACUGAAGUGAUAUAAAAGAUAUGGAGAGAAUAGAUGGUACAAAGUGCAAGAAUGAAUAUUAAUUAUCAUUACUUUAAAAAUCAAAUAUAUAUAAUUUUUUGAAAAUAUAAUUAUGUACUAAUUGAUUCUAUGAAAAAAUGAUAAGAAAAUUUGAUUGGUUAAGUAUUCCAAAUUUUAAUAAUAAAUAAAUAAAUAAAUAAAUCAAUAAAUAAAAACUCUUAAACUUUUUAAGUAUGAAAUAUAAUAAAAAUAUUAACUAUUUCAAAUACAAAUCAUACAUAAAUUUAAAUAUUUUUUAAGUUAACUUAUUUAAGAAAUAUUCUGUUUUAAAAUAAAUAAUAUUCUAAAAUUAAAAUCCAUUCUUUAAAUCUAAUGUGAUAUCUUAGAGAAUUAAUAACUUAAAAUUUACAUAGAAUAAUAUAGAAAGGACAUUUUUCUUCUUUUCUAUCUUUAUGAUUAAGUGGCACCUUUAAAGGUAGCUUUCUAGCACUACCAAAGAUUAGUCACAUAUCUAAAAACAAAUUUUUUUCUUAUAGAAAUGGUAUUUUAUAAUCUUUUUGAAGGUUUCAACAACUUUAUUAAUUCUUAAAGACAAUAAAUCUUAAUAAUUGGAUCUUGUAAACUUGUAGUUUUUUUGGCUUUUCAACUCUUCUAUUAAAAAUCUUGCAAUUUAAUUUUAUUAAAGUAUUCUUAUAAGAAUACAUUAAAGAAUAAUUUGGAAUCAAAGUCUAUUUUGUGGUUCUAUGUAGGUCUUGUAAUAUCACUAAUAAUAAAUUAGUAUAUUUUAAUUUUUUUUUAUCUUUAAAAGUUUCAAAACAAAGUUGUAAUGAUGUCAAUUUUUUUAGUUGCUAUAAUUUAUAAAAUCUUAAUAGCAAAUAUAAUAUACAAAUUUCUUUCAACAUUGAUUUUAAAGAAUAUAAGCACUUGUAUCAAAUUUGAGGUGGUUAUAUCAAAUAUCCACCUCUUAUAUCAAAAGAUAUUUAUAAUUUGUUUUUGCAAUACAAGGAAUCAAGUAUGCGGCAAGUAUUUUAAUCCACAAUUUUUCUUUGUUGCUUUCAUUCUAUUCUUCAAUGGUAUAUACUAUACUAUAAUUGCCCAUUUUAUAUACCUUAAAAAUUUUAUCUCAUCUUUGGCAUAAUAAUUAGUCUUGAAUGCAUUUGUAGUCAGGUCUAAUAUGAUACAAAGCUCAAAGUUUUGCAUGCAAUAAACUUGGCUUUGUGAAGUACAUGGUGAUAGGUGACGGAGCUUUAGUAAUCUUCAGAAUCAUUGAAAUUUGAUGCUUUUAUGAGACUUGGAUCUUGAUUUUUUAUCAUGGACAUCCAUAUUUAUAUUAAUAAUUGUCUAAAUAAUAUAAAUAGGUAGAAGUGGAUUAAAAUAAGUAAAUUUAAUAAUAUCUUAUAAAAAAACUUCAUAGAAGCUUCAUAAACAUGGCUUUGACUUUAUACAUAUUUGUAGUUGAUUGAUAGUUUAGAAACUUAACCAAUAAGUUAGCAACAUAUUAUACAUGUUAGUAGCUUAUGGUAUAAGCUACUAUGUGGUGCACAUAUAGAAAAUUUGCCUUGCAAGUUGAGAUAUGUAUCUUAUAAGUUAGAUACAUGUUGAAGGUCCUAUAGAACCUUGCUUUGUAAUGCCUAGUUAGAUAGUAAAUAUGGAGGCAAGAAUGAAGCCUUUUUCAUUCUUAUGAAUGCCUUUCUAUUCUUUAGACUUGUUUCAAGAUUUUUUUUUUUUUUUUUUUUUUUUUUUUUAAACCUUUUUGUCUUUAUUAAUAGCUAUUUUAAAUUAAUAUUAUAUUAUUUUAAAGUAAUUUUUUAAUCUUGUCAAAUAACAUAAGGCUGUAUUGAUCUUUUAGUCCUCUGAGAUUUAUAUUCUUGAUAUUUUGAUAAGAAUACUAACUCAUUGUUUUUGAUUUGUUUUUAUAAAUGAGUGGAUUACCUCACUUCUAUUGUUUUAUUUUGAAGAUUGUAGAUUAUCUAUCUUUAAACUAAUAUCUUAGUUUUUUAAUACUAUUUUUUUUUUUUUUUAAAGAGAGUGGACUAUCUCUCUUUGUGGAAAUUUUCUUUAGAUAUUAGAAGUUAUAGAUUAUUCUCCUCUGAUUUGACUUGUGAAUUUAUUUGAAUUGCCUAUAGAAAGAAAAAUUAUAGAUGCUACUCUUAUUAGAAGUAAGAAUGGAUUUGCAACUAUUGCAUAUCUUUACAAAUUUGUUAACAUUCUUAGAGUCAAAAUUUUACAUAUUUCUAAUAUAAACCAUAGAAUUAUUAUUUUUAUGCCUAUAGAGAAAGUCAAUAAUGAUAUUUAGAUUCUAUGCCAAAAAGUUAUGCAAUUAAGAAUAGCGAGUAUAUCAAGUUUACAAUUGAAUGCAAAAAGUCUUGGUUCUACAAUUAUGAGGGAUGUAAGAUAAAGUAUGUCAAAGAAUUUUAAUGGAAUAAGAUCAAAGUUUUAAGGAUUUCUUAUCAAAGAUAUUAAUCUUGAAGAAUUUAUGAUAUAAUAUUAAAUUAGAAUGGCUAAACUUGAAGAAUAAAGAUGAUAUAAUAUUAAACUGAAAUGGGUAUUGCGAAAGACAAGAAGAUUAGAAAGAAUUAAAACAAGAUUAAAGAUUAAAAAGGUAUUGACAAGAAUGAAGAAGGCUUCAUUCUUGCCUCCAUAUAUAUUCUUUAACUAAAAGCUACAUAGUAAUAUUCUAUAGGACCUCCAAGAAGUAUCUCACUUAUAGGAUAUAUGAUUUAACUUACAAGGUAAGUUAUCUACAUAUGUGCGACAUAGUUAUCUUUUUCUACAAGCUUUUAAUAUGUAUGCCAUGUGAUUAACUUGUUGACUAAGUUUCUAGCCUAUUAAUUAAUUAUAAAUAUAUAUAAAAUCAAAGUAGUGCCUAUGAAGCUUUUAAGAAGAUUCUUUAAAAAAUAUUAUAAAAUAAAUCUAUUUUUAUCUACUUCUAUUUAAUCAUAUAAAUAAUUAUUAAAAUAAAUAUGUAUGCCAGUGCCAUUAUCUCUCUUUUGAAAAACGAAUUCCACAAAGAGCAGUCAUUAUAUAUUAAAAAUAUCUAAAAUGUGACAAAUUGUAUUUGCAACAUACCUUAAUCAUUGUUUUUUUUAAAGAUGGUUGAUAGGUUUUUUUAGCCAUUGAUAGUGUCUCAUAUCAAGGCGGAAAGACCAUCCUAUUAUUUGAUUUUUGUUUAGGCCUUCAUAACUCCUUUCAAAUAAAACAUUUAAAACAUUGUCAAGAGUCCAUUCUACCACUAAUAAAAUCACCAAAUAUCAAAAAUCUCUUCCAAAGUUGUGAUAUCAAACAUAUUGUAUCUUAUCAUCUAUUCAAGAAAAGAUAUGUUGUUCUUGAGGAUCUUCAUCUUAAUUAUGUUAUCUAAAAGAUUGUGACAGUUGCAAUAUUUCAUCCAAUAACUCAAUAAAUGAUAAUUCUUGAGUUGAAUUUGUUGGUUGUUGAUUUUCUAUCUCUUUAAUAAUUCAAAUACACAAAAGGAACAAAGAAGAUAGAAUGCUUUUCUUGUAUCUUAUUUCUUUUAUAGAAAAGAUUUUCAAUUCUUCAUCUUGAUUUUGAUAGAUGUUGUUGAUGAAAAACUAAAUCUUCUUUGCUGCAUUUGCAAGAUUCUUUAUUAGCUUCCAUGUGCAUUCACUAAUAUCAUAUUCAUGUCAAUGAAUAAGAUAUUCCAAUCUAUUUUUUCAUCUUUGGCAUACAAUCUCGUAUCUCUAAAUUUUUGUAAUACACGACAAACAUGAAAUUCAUGUUUUUUGGUGUUUUUAGAAUAGAUUAGAAUGUGGUCUAAAUAAUAGACAAUAAAAUCAUCAAGAUAUUUACAAAUUUUUUUAUUUAUAAGAUUUUGAAAAGUAGCUAGUACGUUUAAGCGUCCAAAAGGCAUGACAUUAUAUUUGAAACGUCUAUACGUAGUUUGAAAAACAAUCUUCUAUUUAUCUUUUUUUUUAAUGCAGACCAAGUUGUAUGCUUAUUGUAGAUCCAUUUUUGUGUAGAUCUUUGCUUGAUUGAAUUAUUCAAGAAGUACUAAAAUCAAAAGUUAGAAGAUACCUAUUCUUGACGGUGAUUUUGUUAAGUCCUUGAUAAUCUAUGCACAUCUACAAAGUUCUAUUUUUUUCUUUAUAAAUAAGAUAGGAGCUCCAACUAGAGAUUUCAAAUGGCAUAUGAAGUUCUUAGCUAAAUUUUUGUCAAUAUAUUUUUUCAUAUAGCUAAUUCAUUUUGCAAUAAGUUGUGGAUUAAUUUGAAUGGUGGUUGAGCUCCUUCUUGUAAAUUAAUUGUACAAUCAUAGAGUUGGUACUUUGAAAGAAUAUCUAUAUUUUUCUUUUCAAAAAUAUCUUAAAAAUCUUAAUACUGGCUAAAAAUACUACUUGAUAUCUUUCCACCAUCAAAAAUAGGUUUGGCAUAUAUAGCAAAAGAUGAUCCUUCUUUUGCGGCAUGCAAGAAAGCUCUCAUUGAUACUAAUAAAGAUUUGGAUUUGUAAGCAUUAUAUAUUUUUACUUGACUAAAAAGAUUUUGGAUUAAACUACCAAAAAAGUUAAGAUUACAAGAAAUCUAAUCUAUUUGAAGAUUAUAUUUUUCUAACCAUGAUAAUCCUAAAGUAAUCGGAUUAAAAAAAGAUCUUAUUAUGUUUAAUAUUACUAUGCUAUUAUGAUCUUUAAUUUCUACAUCUAAAGGAAUAAUUUCAUAGGUAAUAUUUCCAAUAGACAAAAAAUAACCAUCUAUGUCUUCUAUAUCUACAGAUUUAAGUUUUUUGAUUAAAAAUAUUUCUUGUUUUUUGACAAAAUUGUUAUCUAUGAAAGAAGUUGAGGCUUUUGAAUCUAAUAAUAUAAUAACUUUGUAAUUUUUAGAUCUUAAACAUAUAUCUAUUGUAAAACAAGGUGAGAGAUUUGAAGAGAAAAUAGGACCUUUAUUAGGUGUUAUAUAUGAUUUGAACCACAAGAUCCUUAAUGUAGCAUAAAAAACUCAUUUUUUGACACAUUGUUUUUUUUGGCAAUCAUGCUCUUUAUUUUGUGAUUGCAUUGCUUCUUUGGACAAUAUUGAGCAAUGUACUUAGCUUCUCUAUAAUAUAAGCACAAACCCUCUUGACAACUUUGAGUCUUUUCUUCUGCAUGAGAGGAUUAAAAUGUACCAUAAUAAUUUAUAUUGAUUCUGGCUUUGAUAAAUAAGUUUUUAAAAACUUAAGAUCUGUAAUUUUUAUGUAGUAAUACAAAUGUAUAGUUAAAAAUAAAAAUAUGGAUGCUAUUAUAGAAGAGCCCAGUAGAAAGUUGUAGUAGAAAAAUAAGGAUAAAAGAUAGAAAAGUAAUAAAAGAUUGUCUUAAUAUUUCUUUUUUAUAGAAGAGACAUCUAUUUACUUUAUAGAAGCAUAAAUGAGCCAAAUCAAAGUAAAUGAGGUAAGAAAUUGAUAUAGACAUAUAUAAGAGAGAGUUAACAAUAAGAUAAAAUAAAAAUUACCUCAAAUUACUAAAAAUUAAUACUUAGAGAGGAUCAGUUGUCAACUUGGAUCAAAAUCAUACCUUGAGGCAUAAAACUACAGUCAUACGGCUACUUUAGAGUUCUUUAGUAGAUUAGAGAGUGAAAUUUUAGAAAAAACUUAAAGAAAGUUUUUUGGACAUUGAUAUAAUUUCAAUUCAAUCAAUGUUGAAUUUUUGAGGAAUUUUUAAAGUUGAAGAAGUUCUUCGUUGGUUUAGAUUUUGAAAAAUAAAUAUAUGUUUAUAAAUUUGAGGAUUUCUUGAGUUUAGUAGUGUGUAUAUAGAUAAUUUUUGGGCAGUAUGUUGGUGAUCUAGUUAUGAAUGUUUUUGCAAAUUUUGAAGUCAAUCAAAUGAUUAAAUCGAAGUUUGAAGAUUUUUGUACAUUGAAAUUUCAGAAAUUGGAGUUUGAAGAUUAAUGAAUAUUUCUAAGAUGUUUAGCAAUCUAUUAAUUGGAUUUAAGUAUUUUUUUUUAUUUAUAGAUAUUAGACUUAAAUUGCAAUAUUUCAGGUAAAAUUUGGAAGCAUUCAAUAGUUCAAUAAGGAGAUAUUAGCAUUGGAAGUUCAGCAUUCAAGUUAGAAUAAGAGGCUCCCAACACUUGAUUGAAUUAUCUUGUAUUUCUUUCAAUUGGUAAGUAUAAUUGAUUUCAUCUUUCUUGUGCUUGUUCCUAAUUAUAUUAUUAAGAGUAUAUAAUUUUGAGUUGAUAUCAACAACUUGAUCAUUAGUUGUUGAGGUUCUAUUUUUUUGUAGGAAUUGAUUUAGAGUUUGUAUAUGGUUCAGACAAGGCUUAGAAAUUGGUCUAAGAUUUGAUUAGGAUUAGGAUUUUCUUGAGAUUUGAUUAGAAUUAGGAUUUUUUUGAGAUUUGGUUUAAAACUUGAUUAAAAAUUAAUUAGGAUUUAUACAAAAUUUAUCUAGAAUUUAAGAUAUUAUUAGGAUUUUUUUAGGAUUUGACCAAAGAUUUGAUUAAGUUUCAAUUAGGAUUUUAAUUAAGGUUUGAUUUAGAAAUUGAUUAAGAUUCAAUUAUGAUUUUUAUUUAUAGUAUUUAUUUAUGGUUUUUAUUAUUUCUUUAAAAUUUUCUAUUUUUAAUAUUUUAAAAAGAUUAUUAUUAUUACUUUAAAGGUUUAUUAUUAUAUUUCUUUAAAAUUUUUUAUUAUUUUUUUGAAAUUAGUUUAGGAUUUUUUGUAUUUCUUUUAUAUCUUCUUUUAAAUUUAUUUUUAGUUGGUCAAAAUUAAAUUAGAUUUAUUAAGGUUUACUUAAAUUUUAUUCAAGUUUUUAUUAGAUUUAAUAGGAGUGUUAUUACAUUUCUACUUACCUUCUACACUUAGGUGCCCAAUGCAUUCUCAAGCAAGAAUAGACGUAAUAUGAUACUAUUGUUGUAUUAUAAUUGUUUGUAGUAUAUAAAAAUUAAUUAAAACAUAUAAUAUAUUUAUAAAUUUUGAUGUAUAUUAGAGUGGUUAGAAGGUUAAUUUAAAAAGAAUUGAUAUAAGAAAAUUUAUUUUAAAUUUUACAUAUUUUGAUUAUAAUAUUUAAAUUAUAUAGGAUUUAAAUAUUUAAUAUAAAAUUUGAAGAGAAGAUUGAAGCUCAAAGAUGAAGAUCCAAACCUCUAAAGAACUUAUUUAGAUGGAUGAAAGCAAGAUAUGGAUGGAUGAAGGUAAGUGAUGAAGUUCUUCAUCUCUAUUAGUCGAAAGCCAUGCCUAAUAGGCUCUUAGGAGGUUGUCUACAACCAUAAUAAGGAUUUUGGUGACUUCAAAAGAAACUUUUGAAAAUUAAAAUCAAGGAUUGUAAAUUUUUGGAUUUGAACUAUAAUUUGUGUACAAAGUUUAAAGGAUUUGGAGUUAGAGUGAUAAAAUUAUAGCCGUUUGAAGUUAACUAACUUUUUAAGAUAUACUAUUAAUCUUUUGAAAAUACAAGGAGUUAUAAAAUACCUUUUAGAAAUCAAAUAGUGCAAUUAAAAUCAUGAUUUGAAGAAUUAUGUCUUUUGUGAAAGAAUUUUUGCAUUUGAAAUUUUUAUAAAGGAGUUAUAGAACAUUGAAGAUAAUAUAUAUAAUUCAAAGGUAGUAAGUGAGCCAUUUAAUUGAUAGUAAUGGUUCGAAUCAUAUCUUGAGUUUUUACACAAAUUUUUGACUCAAAAUUUUAAAAAAAAUAUGAUAUUAUGUUAAAAAUCUAUAUAUCAUAAUUUUAUGGUAUUUAACUACUUAAUUUGUGAGAUAUUAAGAAAAUUACAAAUAUGUGUAUAUAAACAAGGAUUUGAAGGUAUUGUUAGGAUUUUGGAAAUAUUUCAAAAUUUGUAAUGAAUUUAUAGAUGAAAUUUGUUAUGAUAGUUGUUGAAAGUAUAUUAGUAUUGCAUAUAAAAUUUUGGUUUAUUUAGACAAUCUAAUUAUGAGAUAUGAGCUAUUGAAGUUUACAAAGAUUUCAUAUUAUGGAUAUAUAUAAGGUUUUAGAAUGUUUUUAUUAUAUUUUAGGUGAUCUUUGGUACUUAGGACUUAUGUAUUGAUGUAAUUGCUGCUAUAGAAAUAAUUUUACAUAUAAACUUGGUAUUUGUUUUUUUAAUCUUAUGACUUGGUUAUAUAAUUAGUGUCAGUCAUAAGCCCAAUGCUUUCUUAAGGAAAAUUCUCUCUAUCCCAACACCCUCAUUACUUAACUUGUUUGUCUUUAGUUGAAUCUUUGUUCUUGAUGACUUUCAAAUAAAUGAUUGUCAUGUACAAUGGCUUGAAAAAUAAAUAUUUUAAAAUUUUUGCUUCCGGCACUAUCAAUAAUAAAUCUUUGAUAUUAUCCUUCAAUCCAAAUCAAAAUUAAUUGAUAAAGGCUUUAUCAUUCUAAUUUAAAUUUCAAGCAAGGUUUUAUAAUUCAACAACAUAUAUAGUAGUUAAUUAUAAUUCUUAUUAUAAAGAUAAGAUUUUGAUCUUUAUUACUCUUUUUUUAUCACUUUCUCCAAAUGUGGCUAUAAAUACUUAUAGAAAUGAAUUCAAAUCACAAAGAAGUUGUGAAUUUUUUUCCAUCAAAGAUACAAAGUAAGAAAGAACACUUAAAGAUAGAAGUGUGCUUAUGAAUCCAACUUGAGUAAAUCCAUCAAGGCAUUAUAAGGAAUGCAAUCUUAGAUAUGACUUGGCUUAUUGUAAAAAUCUUUGAAAUUUUGAUCUUAUUCUAUUAAACUUCUUAGGCAUACUAAACUUUAUUUCCAUCAUAUUUGUAGAAGCAAAACUUCUUAAAUCUGAUUGUAAGGUCGAUCUACUUGUUUAUUUUAAAUACACAACUUCUUGAUGUAGACUUUGAAGUUCAUCUACAGGCAUAGGAUUAAUAUUUUUGUGGUUGGUAUUGGAGAUGCAUGAAAUUUCUACCCUAAAAGUGUUGAUAAGUUUGUAAAGAUUUGUAAUAGUUACAAAUCUAUUUUCACUUCUACCAAGUGUAGCAUCCAUGAUUUUUUUUUAUUUAUUUAUUUCAAACAACUUGAUAAAUCCAUAAGUUAAAUUAAAAGACGAUAAUUUGUAAUCUCUAAUAUCAAAUGAAAAUUUCCACAAAAAAAGAUAAUCUACUCUCUUUAAGGAAAAAAUUAGUGUUAGAAAACUAAAUAGUUUGAUUAAAGGUGGAUAAUUUGCAACCUUCAAAUUACAAUAAUAGAAGUGAAAUAGUCCAUUAACUUUUAAAAUAAGACAAGAAUAAUAAAUUAGCAUUCUUAUCAAACUACCAACGACAUAAAUCUUAAAGAAUUGAAAGAUCAAAGUACUUUUGUAUUAUUCAAAAAGACUAGAUAAUUACUUAAAGAUAAUAUAAUAUUAAACUAGAAUAGCUAUUGCCAAAGACAAAAAGAUUUGAAAGUCUUAAAACAAGACUAAAGUUUAGAAAGGUAUUGAUAAAUAUGAAGAAGGCUUUACUCUCACCUCCAUACAAGCUCUAAUUAGGAGCUAUAUAGUGAUAUUCUAUAGGACCUCCAAUACAUGUUAACUUUGAUAAAUACAUGACUUAACUUACAAGGCAAGUUAUCUAUAUGUGUACCAUAUAAUUAACUGAUUCCAUAAGCUAUUAAUACAUGUAUCACAUGAAUAACUUAUUAAUAAAGUUUUUAGUCUAUCAAUUAACUAAAAAUACGUGAAAAGUCAAAAUAGCAUUUAUGAAGCUUCUAAAAAGGUUUUCUAAAAGAUAUAAUAAAAUAAAUUUAUUUUUACCUACUUCUACUUAAUCAUAUAGAUAAUUAUUGGAAUAAAUAUAUAUGUUUGUGACGUUUCUACAAUAAGUGAAGUUCUACAUAAGAUUGCAUCCUUUCUAAUAUUUUGAUAAAUUUAUUCAAGUUGGAUUCAUAGGUAUAUUUCUAUCUAGGAGUAUUCUUCUUUAGUUUGCACUUAAUGGAAAAUAAUUUAUAAUCCUUUUAUGAUCUGAAUUCAUUCUUAAAAGUCUUUACGACCACAUUUGGAAAAAGUAAUUGAAAAAAAAUAGUAGAUACCAAAUUGUUAUCUUUACAAUAAGUAUUAUAUCCAACUACUAUAUAUGUUGCAAAAUUCCAAAAUCUUUCUUGUAAUAUAGAUUAGAAUAACAAAGGCUUUAUCAAUAAAUUUUAAUAAGAAUUGAAAGAUAAUGUCAAAUUUAUUAUUGACAAUGUUGAGAGCAAAUUCAUUGAAAAAAUUUAGUACUUAAGCUAUUAUAUGCAACAAACUCUUUAAAAGACACUAAAAGUAAAGAUUUGAUUGAAGAUGUAUAAGUUAAGUCAAAGUAAUAACUUUUAAGUUUUUAAAACCUUUGUAAAUUAAUAUGGUUGAAACCUAUGUAAAUUAAUAUGGUACAUUUUAAGAUUCUUAUAGGAUUUAAAAAAAAAAUCAAAAUCAUCAAAAAGGAUUAUACUUAUAAUGUAAAGAAACUAAGCAUACUACUUUACACUAUCCAAAAAAAGCAACAUAAUUAUAAAUUAAAGGAUAAAAUUACUAAAAAAGAUAAUGUAUUAAAAAAUAAGUUUCUUUAGUUACAAUAUGAAUCAUGUGGUUGAAAUCUUGCAUAACAGCUAAUAAAGGUCAUAUUCUCUUCUUAGAUUUUUUUACCUUCUUUUAUAAUAGAAGUUUAUUUAGGACCAAAAAAUCACAAAAUCUUUUUUUUGUUAGAUUUGGAAGCUUCAAUUUAUUUUAUAGACAAAGCCUUUGUUAAAAAAUAAGAAAUAUCUUUAAUUAAGAUUAAUAAAUCCAUGCAUGUAAAAAUCAAAGAUGGUAAUUUUUUAUCCUUUGAAGAUAUUAUCUAUAAAAUUAUUUUUUAAAAUAUAUCAAUUAAAGAUUAUAAUAGCUUAAUAAUAUUUAAUAUGAUUAAUUUUUUUCUAAUUCAAUUAUUUUAGGAUUAUUGUGGCUAUAGAAGUAUAAUCCUCAAAUAGACUAAAUUUUUUUUUAACCUUGAUUUUUUUCAUAGUUUAGUCCAAUUUUUUUUUAUUCAAGUAGAAAUUCAUAAAUUUAAUACAUCCAAAUAUUUAUUGGUAAGUGAAAGAGCUUUCAUAUGUGCUACAAAAAAAAGGUCGAAUUUUUCUAUAUACACUACACUUAUUUUUGAUAGAAAAAAGAUUUCAAGUGGCAUUCCAAAUUGACUUCUUAAGAUAAAUUAUUUCAAAUGAUGGCUUUAUGAUAGAUCCUAAGAAAGUUUAGACUAUUAUGGAUUAAAAGAUUUCAAUAAUAGUCAAAGAUGUGCAAUAUUUUCUGAAAUUUGUUAAUUAUCACUAAAUCUUUAUCAAGAAAUUUUUUCUAAUUGUAACUCCUCUUAUACAUUUGACCUAUAAAGACAAACUUAGAUAGAGUAAAGAAGUUGAAGCAUCUUAUAAAUCCUUGAAUAUAACAUUUAUUUUUGCACCAAUCUUUUAUUAUGUUGAAUUUUUUAAGGUAUUUUUUUUUUAUAUAAAAAUAGAUGCAUUAGACUUUACUUAAGAUGAUAUAUUGUUACAAAUGAGAGCAGAUGACAAACUCCACCGAGUAGCUUUCUAUUCCAAAUUUUUUUAGUAGCCUAGAUCAACUAUCAGAUUCACAAUAAAGAAAUUUUUGUAAUUGUAGAUUAAUUUCAAAAAUAGCAUCAUUAAUUAGAAGAUGCUUCUAGUUUAAUUAUUAUCACAUGUAAAGAAACAAUCAAGCUUUUUUUAGACAAUAUCUAUUGCUAUUAUGGAUUGUUAAAUGAUAUUAUAUUAGAUAAAGGGAUUCAAUUUGUAUUAAGAUUUUAAAGAAUCUUUUUAAAGAUUCUAAAAGUAGAUAUAAAGCUAUCUUUGGCUUUUAAACUUUAAAUUGCUAUAUAAAUAAAGUACAUAAACUAAGUCUUGAAGUAAUAUUUGAGGUGUACCAUCAAGAUAAUUAGGCAAAAAUUUUAUUAUUAUCAAAUUUUACUUAUAAUAAUACAAUAUAUUUUUUUAUAUAAUAUUUUUUUUUUCUAUUUAUGAUUAUCAUCCAUAACUCGAUAUUUUUGAUUUUUUAAAAAUUGAUAAUCCUAUAAUAGAAGUUUUGAAAAAUUAUUUAUUUGAGCUAUGUAUAAGAAUGAAGAUAUAAUUAAAAGAAGCUCAAGAAUAACAAAAGACCAAUGCAAAUACAAAGAACAACCUCAAUUCUACAUUAGCAAGAAGGUAUGGUUAUUUCAAUAUAAUAUCAAAAUUUCUAAGAUUUCUUGCACUCUAUUAGUUGAAUUAGAAUAAAAGUUAUGUAUGUAGGUAGUAGACUUAUUUUUCUAUGUACAUGAGAAAUUUGAGACCAACUUAAUAAUACAAAGGAGAGAUAUUAGCACUAGAAGAUCAACAUUAAGGUUGGAAAAGGAAGCCAGCCAACAUCGAAGCAGAUUUUAGGAUUUUUCUUUUAUUUGGUAAAUGAAAUUGUUCUCAAAUUUUUUGUAUUUGUUUAUUACUAAGAGAUUGAGAGGUGUGUAAAAUUUUAAAUAAGAUCAAAAGUUUAAUCUAAAGAUAUUGAGGUUCUAAACUACCUUAGGAUUUGACUUAGGGUUUAGGAUUUGGUUUAUGAUUUAGAAUAUUGAUAAGAUUUGUUUAGGAUUUAGAUUAAGAUUUAAGAUUUGAUUAGGAUUUGAUUUAGGAUUUAGGAUUUAGGAUUCGAUUAGAGUUUGAUUUAGGAUUUAGGAUUUGGUUAGAAUUUGGUUAGGAUUUAAUUUAGAAUUUGGGAUUUGGUUAGGGUUUGAUUUAAGAUUUAGGAUUUAGUUAGGAUUUGCUUUAGAAUUCAGGGUUUGGUAAGGAUUUGGUUUAGGAUUUAAAAUUUGGUUAAGAUUUGGUUAAUAUUUGAUUUAGAAUUUAAGAUUUGACUAGGAUUUGGUUUAGGAUUUAAGAUUUGGAUAGGAUUUGAUUUAGGAUUAAGAAUUUAAUUAAGGUUUGGUUCAAGGUUUAAGAUUUGUCUAAGAUUUUGUUUAGGGUUUAAAAUUUUUUUAAGAUUUGAUUGAAGUCUAUUAGGGUUUCAACUAAGAUUAAAUGAAAACUUGGUUGAAAUUUAUUUAAGAUAUAUUAUGAUUAUUUUAAUAUUUUUUUAAGACUUCUUAAGGAUUCUUUUAAGUUUCAUUGUAGAUUAUCUUUCAAUUUCUUUAAGAUUUCAUAUUGUUUCUUUUGUAAUUUUUUUAAGAUUACUUUUUGAAUUUGAUUAAAGCUUGUUUGGUAAUGUUAAGAUUUAAUUAAAGUUUAAUUAGUAUUAUAUUAGAACUAAGAUAUUGUUAUUGUAAUUUCUAUUCUACCUUCUACAGAUAGGUGCUUGGUGCACUCUCAAGAAACACUUUAUGUAUUAUGACAUAUUUAAUAAACUUGACAUAAAAAGCUUAAAAUAGAAGAUAUUUGGAAAAUAUCUUAGGUUAUUUGAAUUAAGAAGAAGGAAGGUAAGAGAGUUGAAGGAGGGGCUAUAGGUAGUGCUUCAAUUGGAGCUUUAAAUGGAGGUACUAAUAGAGGAUAAGGUAUGUAUUUUGAUCAUAAUUUUGUAAGCAUGUUUGAAGCUUUUGUCUUAUUCAUGAAAUAGCAAUAGAUUAAAGAGUACAAAUAGGGUUUGGCAAACAAAGAAUUACAAGCAAUUGUGGAUAAGAUUGAUCAAUUUGAAGAGAAGAAUAUUAUAAAGUAUUUAAGGUAUUAUGUAAAAAAAAUGGAAUUGAAGUGUGCUCCAAAAAGGGAGAUGGUUCAAUUAUUUGAAUUGACUACUACAUCAAAGAUAAAAAAAUCAUGUAAGGUCUACUAUAGGAUAUUCUAGAGGUUUAUGGAAAAAAUUAUCUCAAGUAUAAAAGGAUGAAUUUUUCUUGAAAGAUAGUAAUUGAAUUAUAAAGAAAUUAUUUUUUGAAUGGAUUAAAAGGCCAAAGAAGGAUCUUUUAGCAAUAAAAUUAUUAAGAGAGUUUAAAAAGUAAUAUUCUUCUUUAUCAAAGAAAGAAAGAUAAUUAUUAGAUCCAAGUAAAAUAGAGCUCUUUUUUCAAGCAGCUGAUAGACAGUUACAAGAGAAGUUAGAAAUCUUGCUUGAAGAUAAAAAAAAAAAAAAAAAAAAAGAAAAAAAAAAGAAAAAAAAAGAUGAAGAAUUGACAAAAAUAUUGGAAGAAAGUGGAAGAGGUAGUAGGAUUUGUUGGCAAAAAAAGAAAGAAGAAAUGAUAAAGUAGGUAUUCAAAGACCAUUACAAGCAUCUAAGAUAAAAAUAUCUAUUAUCCAUUCAACAUCUCUAAUUCAACUUUCAAUGGCUACAUUAAAAAAAGAAGAAAUAGGCAUCGAUGAAAUCAUACGUAGGAUGAGAGAUUUGCAAAUAAAAUUUGCAGAACUUGAAGAGAAGGGUCAAUCAUCAUGAGUAUCAAAAAGACAAAGAUUAGGGCCAAUAGAAGGUUUAAUGUAUAGGUACAUGUAGUGUGAUAGCACAGAUCAUUCAAGAAGAAAAUAUGAGGAUUUUACAAAGGUGCUAUAUAAAGGUGUUAUUUUUUAAAAGAUGGCAUGAUAUACCUAAAAGAAAGUGGAGAAAAAUUGGAGACAAAUUUUGAUAAAAGAAGAAUGAAGAUAUUUGUGGGAGAUGCUUUUAAAGUGCAUAUAAUCUCAAGCAAUGAAGCAUCAACAUAUUCGAUGGAAGAAAAUCUUAAUAAAUAUUUAAGUAUAAAUCUUGAGCUUCUAGGAAAAUCUAAUUCUUUGUAGAGAAGUGUAAUGAAUUAUGCUGAAAGGAAAAAAUUUACUAGAAAUGAUUUAAAACAUAUUGAUAAUAACAUUUGACAAAUUAUUGAGUGAGACGAUCUAGUAGAUGGUUUAUCUUUGCAUGUUUAUAUUACAAGAAGUCAACAUAAAGCAUUAAUAGAAGAAAAAAAAAUAGAGAGAUGAAAAUAAUGAAGGGCCUUCAAAAAGAACUGUAAGGAGAAAAAAAAGCACAACAACAAAAGAAUCCUAUAUAUGAAGAGAUAAUACAAAAUAUUUCUACAAAAAAAAGAUUUUUUUUUUUAAAAAAAAACAAAGGCUCUUGCUUAUAAAUUACAAUUAGAUAUUGAAGUUGCUACAAAUUUGAAAAAGGUAUUAGAGGAGCGGAUUUUAAGUAGAAAGGUUGAAUUUAUAAUUAGUGAAAUUCUAGGAAUUAUAAAGCAUGAGUUUCAUAAAAUUAUUAUUGAUACAAUAAAGAGAAAAAGAAAAUUUAUAGGAGAUAUUAUGAUAUCAAAUGUACAAAAAAUAAGAACAACGAAAAGCAACAAAGUUGAAUAAGAUGAAAUGCAAAAUUUUGGAGGUAUCUUGCAAGUAAGAUUUAUAGAAAGAAAUGAUAUAAUUCAAGCUUCUAGUCAUUAUUCUUGAAGUCAUUGGGUAUAGGCUACUAUGGAAACUUUGAUAAAAUAAGAAGAUUUAGAAGAAUCAGUUAUAGCAUUGAUUGAUUAUGGUUCUAAAAUCAAUUUGAUGUCAAAAGAAUUAUAUAAUAGGAAAAAAUGGCCUAUUGAUACUAAACAUGGGUAGAUGAUAAGAGCAAUAAAAAAUUCAAAGGGAUAUUUGUAUAGAAAUUGUCCAAAUAUUAAGGUGACAAUAAGAGAUGUUAUUCAUGAACAAAAUUUCUUUAUGCAAGACAUAUCUACAUAUCCUAUUAUAUUGGGACAAUCAUACAUUAUUACCACACAAAUGCAAAUAAAGAUAAUAGAUGAUGGUUAAGCCUAUGCAAGAAUAAGAAGCCAAGAUGGAUUGAAAGCAAUUGAAUUUUUAAUUGUUUAUACUAAUCAUGAGAGAAAUUGUGAUAAGUUAAGAGAGAAGCUAUUAUCAAAUGAGAAAUUUGAAGACCUUGAGGUUUUUUAUUGCACACCAUUGUAAGGCGAGAUUGGAAUGGAUUAGAGAGAGAAAUGCUUCUGCUAAGUUAAAAAGAAGAGAUAUUAACUACUGAACUUAUUGGGAUGAUACAAGAUUGUAUAUUUUCUUUUAAGACUAUUGAAAAGAUGAAAAAGAUGGAUAAAUGUUAUAUUAAAAAUAUUGAAUAAAAUAUGAAAAAAAAUAAAGAAUUGGUUGAAAAUAAAUUUAUUUCAGGAGAAAUUGAAGAAGUAGGUUUUGUUGAUACUAUGGAGGAAUUAAAUUAUUUAUUGCAAUGUGGAUUACAAAGAAAGAAUAGAGUUAUUAAUGUAUGUUUUAAAGAAUCUUAUAAUAAAAUUCAAGGAUUCAUAGAAAAUUUAAGUCAUAAAGACGUACGUAUUGAAACUAAGUAUAAAUCAAUAGCAAAAAAAGUCAAAUCAAUGGCUUUGGUACUACCAUCAAAUUGUGAAGAAAGGAUAAGUGGAGCAUCUACACAACCAAAUUUAAGGGAUCCAAAGAAGAUAGGGCAUGAAUUUAUGAAUGCUACAUUAGAUGAAUUAAAUAUUAGAUGUGAUGGAUUUUUGACAAAAUGUGAAAAAAAAUGUUGUAGGAAUAUGCUUUCACGUCAUCAAAAGGCUUUUAUAUUUGAAGCACAUGAAAUUGGGUGUGUUGAUUCAAGUAUUGUAGCAUCUAUGAUUAUUUUUACUAUUUCUCAUAAACCAUGGAAUUUGUGAUCAAUUUUAGUACUAAGAGCAUAUUUAUCCAAGUUAGUAGAUUUACUCAAUGAAAAGAUAAAAAUAAGAAUUUUGGAACCAUCUAUUAUUCCUUAUUCUAAUUGAUGGUUUAUAAUGCUGAAGAAAAAUGGAACAAUGAAAUUUAUAUAAGAUAUGCAAACUAUGAAUAAAGUGACUAUUAAAAAUAUAGGAUUCAAGCUUGAUUAUAGAUGAAUUUUUAGAAGCAUUUGCUAAAAGAUCAAUUUAUUCAAUGGAAGAUCUUUAUUCAGGAUAUGAUCAAUUUCAAUUGGCAAUGCAAAGUAGAAAUUUGAUAACUAUGAAGACACCAUUAGGAUUGGUUAGAAUAUGUACAUUAACACAAGGAGCUACAAAUUUUGUGGCACAUAUGAUGAAUGGAAUGGAUAAGGUAUUAAGAGAUUUUAUUCCAAAAAUAAAAAUACCUUUCUUAGAUGAUGUAUCAAUCAAAGGAUGUGAAGAAGAAAGAAAGGAUAAGACUUUGGAUUCAAAGAGAUGUAAGAAGUUUGUAGUAGAUUAUAUUGAUGAUUGUGAGAAGAUUUUCAAAAGAUUAAAAGAAGUUUGUUUAAUCUUAUUGGAGGCAAAAUCAAUGUUUGGUAUAAAACAAGUUUUGGUGGUAGAACACACGUGUAGGUCAUAUGGACAAAAGCCAAGUAUGAAAAAAGUUGAUAUUAUUAAAAAGAUGAAAGAAUGUGUAAAUACAAUGGAAGUGAGAAGAUUUUUAAGAGCAUGUAUUUUCUAUCAUACAUAAAUAUCUCAUUUUGUAUAUAUAGCAGAUCCAUUGUAUGAGUUGUUAAAAAAAAAUAAAAAAAAUUAAUAGAAAGAACAACAAAGAAAAGCUAUGGAAAAAUUGAAAGAACUUCUUUCUUCACUUCUAACUUUGAAAAAAAAUAAAUUAUGAAGAUAGAAGGCUAGUGGUAUUAACAAAUGAUGCAAGUUCAAUUGAAAUAGGUUGGAUAUUUGGAUAAGAUGAUGAACAAGGGAAUACAUAUGUAGUAAGGUUUGGAGCAAAGAUUUUGAAUGCUAGAGAAAGGAUAUAUACACAAAUCAAAAAAAAAUUAUGGAGUGUAGUAAUAGCUAUGAAAAAUAAAAAAGAAUACUUGAUUAGAACAUCAAUAAUUGUAGAAACAUAUUGUCUACCUUUAUUGGACAUGAUUACAAAUUGUCUAACUUCUGAUGUUUUUAUGUUAAGGUGGAUAGCAUAUAUCAAAUCUAUGAAUCCAAAAUUUAAAGACAUUGUAGGAAAAGAAAAUUCAAUUGUAGAUAUAUUAUUAAGAGCAAGAUUUUAUGAUGAAGAAGAAAUGAUUGAUUUAAAAGAUGAUGUGGAUACAAAAUUUUGUACUAAUGCAUUAUCAAAAGAAGGUAUAUAUUUGAAUAUACUAUUAAAAAUAUUUUUAAGAGAUUUAUAUGAAGAUGAAUGGAAAGAUGUUGGAAAAUAUUUAAACACAUUAAAAUGACAAGAAGGUUGGAUAGAUUAAGAAUUCAAGAAAAUUUGUAAGAAAACCUAUGGAUAUUUUUACGUGAUGGAUAUUUAUGGAAGCAUCCAAAAAAAAGAGAAGAAGUAUCAAAAAAGGUGAUAUAUGGUUUAGAAGCUAAACAAAAGAUUAUUAAAGAAUUUUAUAAAAGUUUAUAGAUAGAGCAUCGAGGUAUCUGGACAACAUUUAUUAAAUUGAGAGAAAAACAUUGAUAGAAGGAUAUGCACAAAGAAUUAAUUCUAUAAAAUUUGCUAUAUCUUUGAUGCAUAUCCUUCUAUCAAUGUUUACAGAAUUGAUGGUACAGAAUUAGAGAUAUCUAUAAUAAGUAAAUAAAUCAGGAUAUUUAAACAAAGAGAUGAAGAUAUUUGUUUUGAUAAGAAAUAAAAUCCAAUAUAAGAUAUUGUAAUAGAAGUAGAAAAAAAAUUAAAGAUGAAUAAUUUGAACAAGAUAAAGAGCAUUCUACAUCAACAUAUUGAAAAAUCAUAAGUUGUCACGGCCAUAAUCAUGUAAGCUAAUAAUUACAUAUAGAAAUAGGUAGAAGUAAGUAAAAGUAGGUAAAAGUAAGUUAAUUCUAUAAUAUUUAAUAUGGAAGCUCUCUAGAAACUUCCUAGACACUGCUUUGACUUCAUAGGUGUCUUUAAUUGACUUUUUGGAUUAGAAACGUGGUCAACAAGUUGGCCAUGUGCCACACAUGUUGUUAGUUUGCAGAUCAAGCUAACUAUGUGGCCCACACAUAGAAAAACUUGCUUUGUAAGUCAAGGCAUGUGCCCUACAAAGUCAACACAUAUUGAAGGUCCUAUAGAACAUCGCCACAUAGCUCCUAGUUAGAGAGUAUAUAUAGAGACAAGAGUGAAGGCUUCUUCACUCUUGUCAACUCCUUUCUUGCUUCUAGUCUAGUUUCAAGGGUCUUUAGUUUUCUUGUCUUUUGGCAAUAGCCAUUCCAGUUUCUCUUUCAAUAUAUAUACUUGUUUAUAUAUAUUUUGUUACCUCUCUUUGAGUGAAGGCUCACUUGUCUGAAUUAUUUUUUUCAUCGAGUUCUUGUGCUUGACAGAUUGACAAGAGUACACCUACAAUAUCAGAGCUUUGUCUAAUCUUGAUUAAGAGUGGAUUACCCUUUUUUCUUGAUAAGAUCUAAGCGUAUUAGAAGUUGCGGAUUACCCUCUUCUAAACUGAUAUUGUCCUUAGUAUUUUCUUUGUCCGUAAGUCCUCUCUUCUAUUUGUCUUGAGCAAUAUUAGACAUCUUCUCUCUUCUAAGUGUUAUCAUGGCGGAACUUCUUGAAAUGAAGAGUGCAAUGGCACAAAUGUAAGAGCAAUUGAGGGAGUUAAUGCUUGCAAUGCAUCAACUCAAUUUACCACCACAAGGAGCAAUAAGAUUGGCAAGAAGUGAAGAUAUAGAAAUGGUUGGAGCUGCUUCAACAUCUGCAUCAAAUCAUGUCCUUUCUCUUAUGGUGGAACGGCCUUUUAAAUGUUAGAGAACCAAGAAUUACCCUAUCCGAGAAGUUUGAUGGCACAAGAUCCAAGUUUCGAGGAUUUAUCAAUCAAGUGCAACUUGUGAUUGAACUUCAAUCCCAAAGCUAUCCAACUCCAGGAUCACAAGUUAGAUUCAUUGGUGCGCUUCUUUCAAGUUCGGCACUAUCAUGGUUUUCAUCUUUUCUUGAACAACGAGAUCCAAUAUUGGAUAAUCUAGAGGCUUUUUUGGCGGAGUUUCGAUCCAUGUAUGGAGAAUAUGAUGCAAUUCGUGUUGCAACCAAUAAGAUCCGUAUUUUACGACAAGACAAUCGAUCAGUAACGUUAUAUGCUUCACAAUUUUGACAACUUGCAACUGAUACCAAGUGGGAUGAUGCUGCACUUAUUAGCCAAUUUUUCUACGGAUUACAAUAUGAGGUAAAAAAAUUAAUGCUCAACUUACCUGAUCCUCAAAAAUUAAGUCAAGCAAUUGACUUUGCUGUGAAGUGCGACAAUCGUCUUUUUGAAUUUCGAUCUGAGAACCAUACAAGUGGACCUCAAUGUUACUAUAAUUCAAUGGCAACACCAACACCUCUUCAACACAUACAUUCGGAAGUAGAAGAUAUACAAAUUGAUGCAGUACGUUUCAAACCUCUUACUGAGUAAGAAAAGACUCGUCGUUGUCAAGAAGGAUUAUGUUUAUAUUGUGGAGAACCAAAGCACACUGCUCAACAUUGUCCAAAGAAACGACGCAUUUACAAAAUGAAGAGUAUGGCUGUAAAAGAAGAUAAUAUGUCACAAAAUGAGUUUGUCUAGCUACAAUAGGGAUCGUGCGGCUGGAACCUUGCACAACUUCUAGUAUAGGUCCUAUUCUCUCCUCAAAGCCCUCUCCUUGUUUUACAUUAAAUGCUAUUUUAAGACCUAAACAUUACAAAGUCUCUAUCUUGUUAGAUUCAGGAGUCUCAGCGUAUUUUUUACAUGAAGAAUUUACUAAAAGACAUAGCAUAUCUUUAGUAAAGAAAACUAAACCUAUUCAUGUAGAAAUCAUAGAUGGUCGUCCAUUGUCUUCUGGAGAUAUUACUCAUGAAACCCUUCCUAUAGAAGUAAUAAUCAAUGGUCAUAAUAGUUUUGUAGUAUUUAAUAUCAUUAGAUCUCCCUCUAAUCCAGUCAUUUUAGGUUUAUCGUGGUUAGAAAAAUACAACCCUCAAAUAGACUGGAUUUCCUGAACUCUCACUUUCUCUAAAAGUAUAACUAACAAUGUAGUUAAGCAAGUAGAGAGUCAUAAGUCCAGUUCAAUUAAACCCGUAUUUAUAGGUGCAAAAGCUUUCUUGCAUGUUGCUAUGAAAGAAUCACCAUACAUUAUUUAUGCUACACCCAUUUUUACUGGUGAAAAGACUUCAAGUGGCAUUUCAAGCCAAUAUCAAGAAUUUCAAGAUGUAUUUGAAAAAAAAAAUGUGGAUACACUCCCGGAAUAUCGUUCCUAUGAUUGCUCAAUUGACCUUCAAGAAGGAACACCACCGCCAUUUGGACCAAUCUAUAGUUUAUCACAAAAUGAGUUGGCUGAACUGAAGGAGUAUAUUGAAAAAAAUCUAGCCAAGAAUUUCAUACGCCAUUCUAAAUCUCCGACAGGAGCUCCAAUUCUAUUUGUGAAGAAAAAAAAUGGAUCAUUGCGGAUGUGUGUUGAUUAUCGAGGACUUAAUAAGAUUACCAUCAAAAAUAGGUAUCCACUACCUUUAAUAUCCGGACUUCUUGAUCAGCUGAAUCAAGCUAAGAUCUAUACAAAAAUAGAUCUUCGGGGAGCAUACAAUCUAGUACGCAUCAAAAAAGGAGAUGAAUGGAAGACUACGUUUUGAACUAGGUAUGGACAUUUCGAAUACAACGUCAUGCCUUUUGGACUUACAAAUGCACCAGCAGCUUUUCAACAUCUAAUGAAUGAUGUUUUCGAGAGUUUUUGGAUGAUUUUGUGGUAUGUUAUCUAGACAAUAUCUUGAUCUAUUCUAAGAAUCCAAAAGAACAUGAACUUCAUAUUCGUCGUGUGUUACAAAAAUUAAGAGAUGCAGGACUCUAUGCCAAGAUAGAAAAGUGUGUAUUCCACACUACUCAAGUCGAUUUCUUAGGUUACAUCAUUUCAAAUGAUGGACUUAUGAUGGAUCCUAAGAAAGUUCAAACUAUUAUAGACUGGAAGAUCCCAAAAAUGGUAAGAGAUGUCUAAUGUUUAUUGGGAUUUGCCAACUACUAUCGGAUCUUCAUCAAAGACUUCUCUCGAGUUGCAGCUCCACUUACACGUUUGACUUAUAAAGACAAAUUCUAAUGGAAUCAAGAAGCGGAAGUUGCUUUUGAAUCUUUGAAGACAUCGUUUAUUUUUGCACCAAUCUUGUAUCGUGUUGAUUUUUCCAAAGCAUUCUUUAUGAAAACAGAUGCAUCGGACUUUGCUCAGGGUGCGAUUUUAUCACAAGUGGGAACAGAUGACAAACUUCAUCCAAUAGCCUUUCAUUCGAGAAAAUUCUGAGCAGCAGAAAUCAAUUAUGAGAUCCACGACAAAGAACUUCUUGCAAUUGUGGAUUCUUUUUAAGAAUGGCAUCAUUAUCUAGAAGGCGCUUCUAGUCUAGUCACCGUAUAUGUGGAUCACAAGAACCUCAAAUAUUUUAUGUCAACACGCGUAUUAAAUCGUCGCUAAGCUCGUUGGAGCAUGUCUUUAUCAAGAUUCGAGUUCAUCAUCACUUAUCGGCCAAGAAAACAAUAAGGUUUAUCUGAUGCCUUGUCUAGAAAUUCUUAUCUUGUACCAAAAGAAGGAGAUGUAGCUUUUGAGCAACAAAGAACGAUUCUCUUGAAGCCGGAGCAAUUUCAUCUCCAAGCAAUAAAAUCAACAUUGACUGUUGAUUUAACUUUCCUUAAGCAAGUCCAGUUAAGUAUGUCUUCAGACUCUCUUGUUCAUGAUAUCAAGAAUAAUUCUUCUAAAUCUCAUGAUCCAUCUAAAUUUGAAUUCAAGAACAACCUACUCUAUUUCGAAGGACGCCUAUAUGUUCCAGAAGGAGAAGCACGUUUACGUGUUCUUCAAGCUCGUCACGACUUCCCAGCAGCAAGACAUUUCGGAUAUAAUAAGACUUUGGAGCUGAUAUCUAGGGAUUUUUGGUGGCCUCAAAUGUGGAAGGUAGUUAAAGAUUUUGUACAAUCAUGUGAUGUUUGCUCAAGAUCAAAAACUCCUCGUCAUCGAUCUUUUGGACUUCUUCAGCCAUUAUCCAUUCCAAAACAACCAUGGUCUUCUGUUUCUAUGGACUUCAUCACGGAUCUUCAAAUCUCAAGUUCUUAUGACUCUAUAUUCGUGAUAGUAGAUCGUUUUAUCAAGAUGGCACAUUUUGUACCAUGUACAAAAACUAUCAUAGGUGAAGAAACAGCUAAGCUCUUUCUUGACAAUAGCUAUCGCUAUCAUGGAUUACCCAAGGAUAUUAUAUCAGAUAGGAGAACUCAAUUUGUAUCAAGAUUUUGGCGGACUCUUUUCAAGAUUCUUAAAGUAGAUAUAAAACUAUCUUUGACAUUCCAUCCUCAAAUUGAUGGAUAAACGGAGCAUGUUAAUCAAGUUUUGGAGCAAUAUUUAAGAUGUACCAUUAAUUACCAACAAGAUGAUUGGACAACUCUUUUGCCAUUGGCAGAGGUUGCUUACAAUAACACGGUACACUAUUCUACAAAAUAAACACCUUUCUUUAUUAAUUAUGGUUAUCAUCCACGACUUGAUACUUUUGACUUUUCAAAAGUUCAUAAUCCUACUGCGAAAGAUUUGACAAUUCAUUUAUCAGAGCUACAUGCAACGAUGAAGGCGCAGUUAAAAGAGGCUCAAGAACAACAAAAGGCCAAUGCGGAUGUCUAUCGAAAGGAACAACCAUCAUUCGUCUUGGGUGAUAAGGUAUGGCUACUUCGUCACAAUAUCAAGACCACUCGUCCUUGUGACAAAUUGGACUAUCGAAGGCUCGGACCAUUUUCUAUUUCUGCACAAAUCAAUCCAGUUGCAUAUCGUUUAUAUCUACCAGAGUCAAUGAAAAUCCAUCCAAUAUUCCACAUGUCUCUUCUUGAACCAUACAAGACAGUGGACAUACCAAGAAGACGACAAGCUCCACCUCCUUCUAUAGAAGUGGACAAUAAUGAAGAGUUUGAAGUAGAAGAAGUCUUAGAUUCAAGGCGACGCCAAAAUAAAUUAGAAUAUCUUGUCCAUUGGUGCAGAUAUGAUAUUAGUGAACGCACAUGGGAGCCAAUAAAGAAUCUUGCAAAUGCAGCAAAGGCGGUGGAGGCUUUUCAUUGACGAUAUCUAUCAAAAUUAAGAUGAAAACCUUCUUUAUAAAAGAAACAACAUCUAGGCAAGAUAACAUUCUACUUUCAAUUCUUCUUUGUAGUUUCAUUGUAGUAGUGGCACUUAGGAGAUGGAGAACCAACAACCAGCGGAUUCAACUCAAGAGCCUUCAUUUGCUGACCUAUCGGAUGAGACAUUACGAUUGUCACAACCUUCAAGACGACACAAUCGAGAUGAAGAUCUUCAAGAACAACAUGUUCUUCCUCGAAUAGAUGGUGAGAUACAACGCGUUUGGUAUCACGAUUUGGGAAGGGACUCCCAAUGUUUGGUGAUUUUGCUAGAGGUAGGAACAACUCCUGAUGGUGUUCCAAAUAUUCUAUUCGAAGGAAGUUACGAAGGCCUCAACAAUGAUCAAAUAACUGGGUGGUCUUCUCGCAUUGGUAUGGGACACUACCGAUGGUUGAAAGGCCCUAUCAAUCAUCUUUGAAGAGAACAAAGAUCAGAGUAUGUGGCGAAUAUAAUUCAUUGCAUUAUAGAUUUUCUCAACAUAUGAUGACCGCUCCUUGUGGAACUCGUCCCUAGAAAGGGGGGUAAUGUCACGGCCAUAAUCAUGUAAGCUAAUAAUUACAUAUAGAAAUAGGUAGAAGUAAGUAAAAAUAGGUAAAAGUAAGUUAAUUGUAUAAUAUUUAAUAUAGAAGCUCCCUAGAAACUUCCUAGACACUGCUUUGACUUCAUAGGUGUCUUUAAUUGAUUUUUUGGAUUAGAAACGUGGUCAACAAGUUGGCCAUGUGCCACACAUGUUGUUAGCUUGAAGAUCAAGCUAACUAUGUGGCCCACACAUAGAAAAACUUGCUUUGUAAGUCAAGGCAUGUGCCCUACUAAGUCAACACAUAUUGAAGGUCCUAUAGAACAUCGCCACAUAGCUCCUAGUUAGAGAGUAUAUAUAGAGACAAGAGUGAAGGCUUCUUCACUCUUGUCAACUCCUUUCUUGCUUCUAGUCUAGUUUCAAGGGUCUUUAGUUUUCUUGUCUUUUGGCAAUAGCCAUUCCAGUUUCUCUUUCAAUAUAUAUACUUGUUUAUAUAUAUUUUGUUACCUCUCUUUGAGUGAAGGCUCACUUGUCUGAAUUGUUUUUUUCAUCGAGUUCUUGUCCUUGACAUAAGUGCAUGCCGAAGGAUGCAUAGAUUUAAUGGAGGUAGAUGUCAUGAUCUAACAUGGCUAAUAUGUGAAAGAGUGAAGAAAUUAUUAUAUUAUAAAAGAUCUUAGUUAAAAACAUAAUGGCAAAUUAUAUUACAAAUAUAGAUAAUAGUCAAAGGGGUAGUAAAACUAAAAUAUAUCAAUAUUACCUUUUACAAAAUGAACUACUAUUCACUUUUAUAGGACCAUAAAGAAAGAAAAAUAAAUUAAAUUAGAAAAUUAAAUGAUGUAGACAUGUGUAGGAGAGAGUUAAAAGUAGAUUUUAGCAAAAUUUACCUCAAAAAGCCAAGAAUUGAUACCUAAAGAAGAUCGGUUGUCAACUUGGGUCGAAAUCAGACCUUGAAGCACAAAAUUAGACACCUACGGCAACUUCAGGGUUCUUUUGGAGAUCAAAGAGUGGAAUAUGAUAGUAAACUUGAUAAGGUUUCUAUGAGCAUUGGUUUUGUGUGAUUUCAGUUUUUAAUGACUUUAUAAGAUCCUUACAAAGUUAAGAUUGUUUCAAAUGAUUCAAAGUUUUGUGAAAUAAAAGAGGGUUGAUAUUUUAGGCAGUUUCAAGUAUUUUGUAGCAGAUCUAUAAGUGAAAUUUGUCAUAUAUGUGUGUGGAUAGUAGACUUUUUUUUCUACAUAUAUGAGAAAUUUGAGACCAACUUAAUAGUACAAAGGAGAGAUAUUAGCAUUGAAAGAUCAGUAUCAAGGUUGGAGAAAGAGACCAAUCAACAUCUAAGCAGAUUUUAGGAUUUUUCUUCUAUUUGGUGAGUGUAAUCAUCUUCAAAUUUAUUGUACUUGUUUUUUUAUUCAAAGAUUGAGAGGUGUAUAAAAUUUUAAAUAAGAUCAAUAAUUUGAUCUAAAGAUAUUGAGGUUCUAAACUACCUUAAGAUUUAGUUUAGGAUUUAGGAUUUGUUUAGGAUUUGGUUUACGAUUAAAGGUUUGAUUAGGAUUCGAUUUAGGAUUUAAGAUUUGAUUAAAGGUUUGAUUAGGAUUCGAUUUAGGAUUUAAGAUUUGAUUAAGAUUUUAUUUAGGAUUUAAGAUUUGAUUAGGAUUUGAUUUAGGAUUUAGGAUUUGGUUAGGAUUUGAUUAGGAUUUGAUUUAAGAUUUAAGAUUUGAUUAGGAUUUAAUAUUUGAUUAAGAUUUGAUUUAAGAUUUAAGAUUUGCUUAGGAUUUGAUUUAAGAUUUGUUUAAGGUCUGAUUUAGGAUUUAGGAUUUGGUUGAAAUUUGAUUUAAAGUUUAAGGUUUAAGAUUUGGUUAGGAUUUGGUUUAGGAUUUAAAAUUUUAUUAGCAUUUGAUUGAAUUCUAUUAGGAUUUAAAUUAGGAUUAAAUUAGAACUUAAUUGAAAUUUAUUUAAGAUAUAUUGUGCUCAUUUUAAUAUUUUUUUAGAACUUCUUAAGGAUUCUUUUAAGGUUUAUUGUAGAUUAUCUUUCAACUCUUUUAAGAUUUCUUAUUGUUUCUUUUGUAAUUUUUUUAAGAUUUCUUUUUAAAUUUGAUUAAAACUUGUUUAAUAUAAUUAAGAUUUAAUUAGAUUUUAAUUAAUAUUCUAUUAGAAUUAAGAUAUUAUUAUUGUAAUUUCCAUUCUACCUUCUACAAUCAAGUGCUCAGUACACUCUCAAGUAACAUUUCAUGUAUUACGACACCAAGGUCUAUGAAGAUUGAUCAAGUAUUCUACGUGUCUCUUUUUGAACCAUAUAAAAUAGUGAAUAUUUCAAGAAGAAGACAAAUGCCACCUCUUCUUAUUAAAGUGGAUAAUUCAACAAGCUGCAGUUUGAACAAGACAUUGCAAUUAUCACAACCUUCAAGUUGACUUAAUAGAAAUGAAGAUAUUCAAGAAUGACAUAUUCUUCAUCAAAUAGAUGGUGAGAUAUAAUGCAUUUGAUAUCAAGGCCUUAGAGACUUUCAAUGUUUGGUGAUUUUACUAUAGGUAAAAACAACUUUUCAUGAUAUUAUAAAUAUUUUAUUUAAAAGAAGUUACAAAGGCAUAAAAAAUAAUCAAAUAACAAGGUGGUUUUCUUGCCUUGAAAUAAGAAAUUAUCAAUGGUUAAGAGGACCUAUCAACUACCUUCAAAAGAAACAAAGAUUAAAGUAUGUAAAAAAUUUAAAUUAUUACAUCUUGGACUUUAUCAACAUGUAAUCAUUGCUCUUUAUGGAACUCGUUCUUAGAAAGGAGGUAAUGUCAAAAAUAUAAAUAAUUAUUCCGAUAAUUAUUAAUAUGAUUAAAUAGAAGUAAAUAAAAUUAAAUUAAUUAAAUAAUAUUUUAUAAAAAAACUUUCUAGAAGUUUCAUAGAUGUGACUUUGACUUUAUACAUGUUUGUAGUUGAUUGAUAGAUUAGAAACUUAGCUAAUUAGUUAGCAAUGUGUAACAUGUAUUGAUAGCUUAUGGUACAAACUUACAAUAUGGCGCACAUAUAAAAAACUUGCUUUGCAAAUUAAGCCAUGUGUCUUACAAGUUAGAUAUGUAUUGGAGGUCCUAUAGAACAUCACUACAUAGCUCCUAGUUAGAUAGUAUAUAUGGAGGCAAGAGUGAAGCCUUCUUCACUCUUUUCAAUGCCUUUUUAGUCUUUAGUCUUGUUUAAAGACUUUCUGGUCUUCUUGUCUUUAGUAAUAGUUAUUUUAAUUUAAUAUUAUACCAUCUUUGAGUGAUUUUUUAAUCUUUUUGAAUGACACAAGAGUAUAUUGAUCUUUUGGUCAUUUGAGAUUUAUGUCCUUGACACUCUAUCAAAGAAUAUUUUUUAAAAAGAAGUGGUGCAAUUUUUUUUUUAAGCUUUUUUAUUGUGGAUAGCUGUAAGUAGUAGAAGAAGGGUCUAGAAAGCAUAAACCUAGACUAAUUUGCAGCUUCAUAUAAGAUUAGAUAAAUUUUAGGUAAAAUAAUCUAUUAUUAAAUUUUUAUUUUAUGUAUAUUACAUGAUACACUCUGACCUUGAGGUUGUAAUUUUAAUAUAUGGUAUAUAUAUGUUGAAAGUAUGAUAGAAGUUCUGCUAAGAAAUGACAAAUUUUGUAUUUUUAAUGCUUCUUAUGAGACUAUGUUGUUGUUUUCUUAAUUGACAUAUAUAGGAAGAAUUUUUGUUUAUUAUUUAUUAUGAUUUUUCAUUGUUAUAUAUCCAUAAGUAGAAUGAUUAGAAGUGAAAGUGAGAAGAUCCUUCAUUAGGAGGUUUAGAUCUUCUAUGCUUAAUUUUGGAUGAUAAGCAUUCUAGAUCUAUCAAAUUAGUAAUAUUAUUUGCAAAAAAAUAUUACACAAUUAAUUUUUGUUUAAAAUAUAAGUAUGAAGCAUUGAUAUAGUCACAUAGAAACCUUCAAGAAACUAAAAUUACUUUAGGUUUAGGCUACAAACACAUCUCAAAUUACUAUAUGCACACUUAUUUUGUUUAUAUACACAUCCAAGACCUCUAAUUGGUUAAUCCAAAUUCUUUCUUCUUUCUCUUAGUUUAGUCCAUAGGAGGUGAGAAGUAAGAAUUAUGUCCAAACAAAGAGAGAAGGAAGGAAGGGAUUGAUAUCCACGCUAGAACUAAGAAGAAAAAAUAAAAAGUCUAGGUCCGUGUUGGCACAAGAAAGGAGGAAUCUAAAUUAGCCAAUCAGAGGUCAUAAGUAUGUGAAUAGACACAAUGGAUGUACACAUAGCAAUUUGAAGUGUGCUUGUAGCUUGAGCAAUUACUAUAUGGUCUUUAAGUAAGAAUUUAUUGACUAUAUAAACUCCUAGCUAAAAACUUUCAUUAAUCAUUUUCAAAAAUUGUGAACGGCAAUAAUAGGAUACCAAAUCCUUUGUCACAAUCUUAUUACAAUUUUCUUGUAUAUUUUAUCCUUAAAAAUACACAUUUAGAUUGCUAUAGCAUUGGAGAAUUUUGAGAUUAUACAAAAUAAAAAUUAAAAAGAACAAAAUGCAUGUCUAAAGUAAUUAAAAUACAAUGUUGAAAAAGUCAUUGUUUAUCAAAUUGGUCUUGUUGGAUAUUGUUUUUUUGAUGUAAUAGAAGUAGAUAUGGUGAGUUGCAAAUGGAUAUUAAUUGAACAAGACUUAGUGUGAAGAAAGUGAAAAAAGGUGGUGUAAACAAGUACAACAACAACUUUGCCAAAAUAAAUUGGAAGAUGUAGAAGGAGAAACAAGCAAAAAAUGAAAUAGAAUCCAUCAAAUAUUUUCUUGUAAGUAGUUACAUUCAUGUUUUAAAUUUAAAAUAUUUCAACUUUAUAAUUUAUAAUUUAAAAUAUUUAAAAUAAGGAGGGAUAUGUCAAAGCACAUUAGCUAUGUUCUUAAGAUGAUAUAAACCAAUCUCUCAAAUGUGUAUUAAAUGAGGACCAUUACUAAUAUCAACAUUGAUCUAAAAAAGAUAGUAGAACUUAUAUAAUUUGGAAAUUUUAAAGUUUGACUCCAUAUUAUUUUCAUAUAUUUAGACCUAAAGUAAUAAAAUUUAAUUUUUCAUAAAAAUUUUAAAACACCAUUAUUUAAUAUAAAUUUAUUAUUUAUAUCUUAUACCUAUUUUAAUUUACUAUUAUAUAGAUUAAUAAAUAGAAUAUUCAUAGACUUUGAAUUAUUUAAUUAUAUAUCAUUUAGUUUUUUUUUUUAAUCUAAAAAAAAAAUAAUAUAGUUUAAUUUUGAUUUGAUUUUUAAUAUGAUGAUCUUUUAGAUUUAUUUGAAAUAUUCAAAAUUAAUUCUUAAACCAUUAUGUAAUUUAUGUAGUUAUAUAGUUAAUAUUAUAAUAAAAAAUAAAACGUGUUUUACUCCAAAAAAGCAAUGGUGCUUCUAUCACUAUAUUAAUGAGUCAAAAUGCCUGAUAAAAUAAAACAAUGUAUCAAUUUUGAUAAGGUGAGGCAAAAGCCUCUUAUGGCAAUGUGUAAAUUAGAGAUGCAUGAGAAGGCACUGUCUUGGCUUCUAAGAUUUGCAAGUCUGUUGGAGUUUUUUAACUUGUUUUAGAUAUUUUAGCCAAUUCUAACAUUUGAAUAAAUAUUUGUAAGAUUAAAUCAGUAAUAAUAUAAUCACAACCUGAUCAAUAACAAGCCGUGAAACCUUUGUUGAAUAGAAUUUUUGAGCUUGUAUAGCAUGUAUAAAAACAAGUAAUAUUUGAUAAAAAUCAUUAUUUGAUGAUAUUAUCAAUAAAAUUUACAGCAAUUAGACUAAGUAUAAUUAAAAUAUUAUCGAACAAAUCUUAGAUAUGAAUAAAGAAUUGGUGUGAUUACAAAGUAUAUACAUAUAAAAUUUGGCAUACAUAAUGUGUAUGCAUAUGAUAUAUUGUAGAAUUACUAGUUCAAAAAUCAAAAAUCAAAAAAUCAAAAAAAAAAAAAAACACUUUAAAAAAAAAACACUUUAAAAAAUGUAUUUUUUGUUUAACACAUGUAUUAAAGAAAAAUUAAAGAACUAAAAAGUGACACUGGCAAGAAGUAAGAAAAAAAGUCUAAAAAAAUGCAAAAAAACUAACAAAAUCUAAUGUGAUCAAAGGAAGCUUCUCACCUCAAAAGUUGAAAACACUAAUUGAAAGGAACAUGGAAAUGAGGUAUCAGAAUGAAGAACCAGAGUUCAGUGCCAUCAUUUAACCAAAAUGCUGAUGAACAAGAGAACUUACGAAUGCAUGAGGUAGGAUACCCCUGGGGGUUGAAAUGGGCCAUAGUGAGGGAGUUGCAUGAGGUGAUCACUUGUACCACUUGGCAAAUCCAUGAGGUUCCUCAGGUCCUGAGUCACACCAAGUCGUCUGUUGAGCUGUCUGCUGAUACGGUGAGUUUCUCGAAUGGCUGGACACAUUGGACACCUGUGCUGCUCAGUCAGUACCAAGCGUUACGUAAGCAAUGAAACAAUAAGUAAAAGAGUUAGAGUUUCGUUUCAGAACGAGAGGUAAAUUAUACACCCACAUCUGCAAAAGUCACAGGAAUACAAUGCUGGUAUAAUGAAUGAUACAACAUUUACAGUUCAAUGUCGCAUCCUGAAACUACAUCUGCAAACACCGAUAUGCACACCUCGCUUCUUAUUACGAAGGAGCCCAACUAAUAUACACACUUUCACUAGUGUAAGUAAAUAUCGCAAAUGAAUGACGCAAGAAUACCCCGUGAGUGGGAAGCCUAGUUAAUAGGAACCUCGCCCUUCCAUUCUAAAACAGCAAUGUGAUAUAUUGGCAAAGGGCUUAUCCAAUCCCUGCAUGACUCACGGUGCAUGUAUCCACCACUGCUGCUCUUGGUGAAACAUCAGUUCAAGUUUUCAGCCUUGAAUAAUAUCUGUAGCCGUGGUCAGGCUGAGAAAAUGCUUGUCAUGCUUGUAAAUCGUAUUGAAUGCCCACUCAUCAAGUCAUAGUAGGAGACGUGUACCAAAUCAAAAUCAUACUACAUAAGAGGGAUGUAGGUGCCGCCAUGGCCUUUUCGUAGGAUUAAGGGCCCUGCAGAAUCUGGCACCUUAUCUAGGGCUUGCAUGCCAGCAUCAACAAUAUCAGAGAACCCAGUCGCAACGGUGGCCAGCUGAACACGCGACUUAAUAUCUCGGACAAGUUUUAAUAAAAACCUCAUGGACUUGGCCAAAUAUGUCGAGCCACCUGGAGGAGCUCCACCUGAAGUAAGCCAUUUAGUAUAAUGAUCCAAGUGAUCUCCUCGUGCAGAGACCUCCGCACGAUAGAACCGGGCCAAUUCCAUAAGGAGGGUGAAUGGAAGGGGGAGAGACGCAACAAAGUCUGAUAAAUAUUGAUCGAUACGACCUGACUGUAACAUCUGAUUCCAUAAUACAGGCACCCAUUCUUCUGUUUGAUUGAGAUCAUAGGCCUCGGCCACAAUAAGAGCCUCUUGAAAGCGGGGCUGUUCGACCAGCCGACGCCUUGCAUUUGUUUCCGACAAAUUAAGCCACGUUAGCUCCGGGAUUCGUAAUUGAAGAGAUAUGAGUGACGCUUGUGCACAACACAUACUGGUAUUCCUGCCUGCGAACACCGAGUCUUUAGGGUAAGUACAAGUGAGUCAGGUGAAACCAACAUACUGCAAUUUUUCAGUUAUGCAAAUGUUCGGCGCUUUAAGGACUAGUAUGCAUACCAGCAGAAAUAUUUGAAAAUGCUUCCGCUGCCUCCACGUACAAGCGCAUUGAUUCCAGCACAUCUUCACAAUGUUCAGGGUCAGUAUGGUCUACCCAUUUCUCCACAGAUUUUCGUGCCCGCAUAAGUAAUAAAAUAGCCAUUUCCUGCGGCAUAUUGAAAUGAUUGUACACCUGUAUUUCACACUCGGCAGAUCCAUCCCAUAGUUGUUAAUAAAAAGAACUUGUCAAUGCGGCUUGAAAAGGAAUAUGUACACAUGCUGCUCAAAUCCACCAGAACCAAAUCCAUUAAAACCAGAACCCAUGCGUAAUCAUACUUUAAGUCCACACACCAAAUACGUUAAAAAGAAACCAAUAUUUACAGAGGUCCUUGCCAAGCAACCACUUGUCAGAUCGGGCACACACCUGUAUCAAGGCAUCCUGGUCAUUGACAUUAAAGCGCUUGAGGGCUGAAAGUACAGCCAUACAGAAUCCACGAACAGAAAGUGGUGAAGUUUCUAUUGCUGGAUCAAAGAAUGGUUUCUUCUGAAGAAGAAGUUGCAAAGAACCAUGCUCGAUUAAGACAUCCAGUAUGAAGCGGAGUCUGUGAAAGUUGCUGAUACCCGUGACAAGUCGUGCAAGAAGAGCAAAUUCGCCCUCCAUAACAUAUAAAUCCACACGUGCGGAAACCAAGGAAACUAAUACAUCAAUCCCGUCUAAGCAUGCAGAUAUUUCAUAGUAAUGAUGCGCCAAGAUGAUAAGCUCCACCUGCACCAUAAUUCACCCGGCUUAUGAAAAUCUCGAACAAUCCUUCUUCACCAAUUUAACUUCAACAUUGAAUGUGAUGAAUGGCAACGUAAUUUAGAACAUCGAUCUUUGACCAAAACUCUCCAUGCCAACAUUAACACAUGAGGACGAGCUAUUUCAUGAUGUGCUUGAGUAACUGAAUAGGUCAGACGUUCCAGAUACCUCGCACGAAUGUGGGAUUUCACGGCCACUGAUGACCAAACGCAUUAGUGCAUGUCCAACUUCAGGUUCAACUGGACACAGCUGAGCCCAUAAUUUGAAAUCAGAGGACCUCCACAGCAGCGGCGCCGGACCUUCUUCUCUGUAUGAAGACUCCAUAAAACCUCCACGAUGCGCUGCUAAAAGUCCCUGAAAGUCACAAAAUCAAAAAGUCUAUUAAGCAGCUUGCACACGUUAGAAGAUUCUUCAUAAAAAAUCAACAAACGGGUAAAAUACAGAGAAUUUGGAGUUAUCCAGACGUUACCUUCAAGUAGGAUUCAGCUAGGAUCCUUGCAAUGGCUGGUGCUUGUAUUACGUGAGUGUCUACCAGCAACUUAGCCUGAGGAAGUGCUUCUUUUCCCUUAAGUGAGAGUAGUUGCAGUAGUUGGGGAGGCGUCUUUGAAGUUGCUUCUGUAUAGGAGAGACCCAAGAAAUGUCCGAUUUGAGCCACUGCAGCAAUUCUUUGGCAAUGACCACGUCCACAACCCUCUGGACAGGCAUUUGUCAAUACCUUCAACACCUGCAUUGUCACCAAAAUCGAAGUCAUUUAAACCUUGAGUAUCAAAUUCCACACCACAUUAAAAUCUAUCGUUCAUGCAAAGAGUAGAACAGCAAUUAGUCGAAAUGAAGGGAAGUAUAUACCUGCAUGGAAGUAACUGAAUCAGAAGUUUCAAAGAUACCAGAGGAACGAAGACAUUCUACCACUGUUGGAUGAAGGAAUGCAGGAACAGAACCCUUUGCUGUAGGCACAGACACAGUUGCAAUCUUCUGAGCAGCUUCAACAAGAAGAAGCUCCAGAGGAACAUGUGUAGGAGCCAGCUUCAACUGCAACUGUCUGGCUGCAGUAAUCUGGCCAACUUCCACCAGAGCUAAAACUGCUCUUUCAACUUCUCCUUCUCCAACUCGUUCUUCCCACCCUCUUGUUUCAACAUCGCGCAUUGGAGCAUGGUCCUCUGAAAGGUUCAUCUGGCCGUCGUUAAUUUGUGGGUCUCUAAUCCGAUCUUCGUCAACUGGAAGGCUGAGAUGCCUGCUAAGAAUCUCUCGAUCCUCGCCGCUGUUAGAGCGAUUGAUACUUUCACGUCGAUCAAAACUAUGAUGACGAUCAAUGCUAAUUCUUCGACUUUCUUCUGGAGAGCUAGGAGAACCAUCUUCCGUAUUGUCCAUUUGUGAACGUCUUAACUGCUUGCUUCUACGUUUCAUCCUUGCAACUGACCCACCCUGCGAGCUGCUAAUCUCCCCAAUUUGAAUGCUUCGAGAACGAGACAACGCACGAUCAUUCUCUUCGGCUACAAUAUCAGCUUGAGACCUCGUAUUGAACCUUCUCAAAUGACUGUCAACAGCUGCAACAGCGUUUGCUGUACGGUCGACAGGAUUUCCAGAAUCAAGUUCUCCAUUCCGAAGUCCAACGGUGCUAAACACUCCAGACCGCCCCAACAGAAUAGUUUCCUGAUCUCGACCAGCUUGUGCCUCCACUUCAGCUUCAACUGCAAGAAGCCAUAUUCGAAUCUCUAGCUCAUGCAACAAAUGCAACGGAUAGACUCUGCCAGGAAAACAGCUGCAUGUAAGCAUUCUUGAUCAUGGUUUCGGAUCCCACAGAACUCAAAUUUUAAAAUUAGAUAUCAACAAUUGUGAUCAAGUGAAACAUCAAAGUGAAAUAAGAAGCACAAUACCCCACAGCUUAACAGGUAUAACAUUUUCAUGUAACGUUCCCUCUCUCACCUUCCAACAAGAAAAAGACAAGAUGCAGAAAUAAACGCAUGCUCUUAAACCACAUGAAGGAGAAGAAAGGAGGAUAUUUACGGAGAGGAAUUAUUGAACGAGCCACUAAGCCACUGGAGGGCUAGCAAGAGAAUACUAUGUAGUUCUGUGGUUGGAACCUGCCCUUCUACUGCAUUCGCAUGUUUCAAGUAGAACAAACCUGCCUGUGUUCACGAUGCCAACCGUUUCCAUCAGUUCUGAUCAAUGCACAUCGUAUGUGGAAUUCAAAUGCUUAUAAAUCAUACUGAGUUUUAUACUCCAAGAUGUAACAUUAGUGACAGUGCAUGCUAAAUUGAUAAAGCACUAACCUGCAACGGAGGAUAUGAGUGCCUCAUGAAAAGUGCUUGACAAUGACCCCAAAGAGCAGCAUGUUCCUCUGGCACAUCCCACAGCAACUCUUUCCACUCCUCUACCAUUGCUUCUGCCUGUCAUGAGAGCAAAAAUAAAUCUUAAAAGCGAGCCAUUGUAGUGACAGAGUACAAAUGAUAGUGACUUUAUGAAAAAAUUUAGAUACAAGACAAAAGGAAUUCAAGUAAACUCCACCCAGUAUUUCGAGGAGCCAGAGAAUGGAAGGUGCAAAUUAUCUACUCGAUGGAAUCAAUACUUCAGCAGGAACAUUGGGUGCGGUAAAAAUGGUUCAGGAAUUGUGUCCUACAAACACAGUACCAAAAUCUAUUGAAUAUUCUGCUUUUGGUUAAGGUACUAACUUGAGUCUCAGUUACAUGAUGAAGAGCAGAGCUGGUGCGUUGUGAGCUGAGAUCCAGCUGUCCCGCCCAACUCCGGGCUUCCUCCCACUGACCAUUCUUCUCCAACUCCUGAAGCAAUACAUCAUCCUCAAGAUCCUUUGCAUUAGCCAACAAGCCUGAUCCAGAACGUAAAUCUGGCUCUGCCAAUUGCAUCUUCCAAUAUAAUUUGCGGAAUCGAAUGGCUGCUAAGCCACCAUCCCCAAAAUCUGCGGCUGAAAGUAGUUGCAAAAGGCAACGGCGCUCAUACGAAGAUGGGCAUGCAUCUAACAUGGCAUCUGCAGCUGCCACAGCCGCUGCUGUAAUCCAUACUGUGUUACCCUUCGUAUUUCUAGAAUACUGGCUAUGCUGCUUGCGAUAAUCCUCUUUAAGGCAGUGUGAGAAAGAUGCCAAAUGAGCCCCCGCUUCAGAAAUACGCAUUUGAGCAAAAGCCUACGUUGGCCCAAAAUUCACCAUACGAUUUGGUUAGAUAGAACGUACGUGGUUAUUUUACAUCUCAGUACAUGGUCUGCAUAGAUAACCCAGUAACUCAUAUCACCAGACAUUCUUAUCAUCCAAUUCUCCGGAAUGAAUAGCAGAGAAGGGUUUCAUUUUAAUAAACUAUUCACUUGGUUGGAUGAAACCCUUAAUAAACACAUGGGAUGUACUAAUUUCAUUGUAAUAUGCACAGAGAGUUACGUUUGAAAUCUUGAGGAUGAAAAACAUUUCCUCAAAAAAAAACUGAUUUACUAAUACAUCCAGAGAAAUCUUAAUAAAUGAACAAUAUUUUGAACUGACCUGUAAGAAUCGAAUAAAUGGCAAAAGCGGUGAUGUAGGUGUAAACAACUCAAACGCUCGAAGCAAGGGAACAAAACGUUGCUGCUCGCACAGAACAGCCACCAUGGCUGCCAAAGACUCCUGUUCUUCAGCUGCGGUUGACCCAAAGGAGUUGAUUACCUUAUCCUUCUGUCUAGCACCAACCUCAUUUACCAACUUGGUAGUAUGUCUAAGGGUUGCCUCCCGAGGACCUAUUUCAGCAGCGGGUUUCUUGACUUCUUUCGCUGCUACUAUAUCAUUUGAUGAUGACACGCAACACUGCCUCUUUGGGUUUCUCCGGUCAAAUCCGACUGCGCAGGUACUGUUUUCAAGCUGAGCAUUUGUUGAUUCCACAGCAGCUCCCACAGGAGCAGAAACUUGAGUGAAAACAUCUUUCACCCGGAUUGCAGAAGUUUCCCUGACAGAUACAAUACGCGUUAAGUUUUGAAUGUAGACCAACAUCAAUCAAUCCACUCGCUCACAAAAGAAACUCCAAAUAAUCCAAAUACUGCUGCUCAUUUCAUUACAAUGCAUAUGAGUCCCUGCUUCAUGUUAUGAAAUACAUGGAAUGUUUUCAGUGGGGUUUCGAGACGGCAAAAUUUCUAAAAAAUAACUAUAAUAAUAAAAUCAGAUGAAGAUGUAAAGAAACAAGCAAAAACUGCGCUUUUGAACAGACCUGGCAGCUGUUAAUUCCAGCCAUGUAGUCAGGCAUGAUAAGGGUGUCACAUCAGUAAAACACGACGCCACAAUAGCGAGCAGUGGCCAUCGCAAAACUUUGGCUCUGCACAAGAGUUCUCGACCUGCUUGUUUUUUUGUCUCACACUCUGCUAAGAUGAAAAAUAACUCUCGUGGCGCAUCACUCUCAAAAGUAGCCAGCGUUUCACCUGCAAAACCUGCUAAAAAUUUAACCUAUCCAAGUCGAAUACAUUCCAGGCCAUUGAACAAUUAAAUAAUGGGCAACAUUUUCUAAUGCUUGAAAGACACCACACUACGGAAACAAGAACAUCCAAACCAUCCAUAGUUGAGAAUAAGAACCCUAAGAGUGUCACAUGGACCCACGUAUGUUUGGACAAAAACCUGAUGAAAAGUGCGAAACGUUUCCAUAAGUUGUUGGUGGUUUUGGUGAAGCCGUAGGUAGGCAUUUUAGCACAGUCAAGAUGUGGCUGCGAAGACGCAAAUCUACGAAUUCUUUGGAUGCCUGCCCAUGAUAAAUGAAAUAGCAAGUCGGACGCUUAUGAAACAAAGAUAAAAAGAAAAAAGAAAAAAAAUCAGACAUGGAAAUCACAGAUCUAAAGAUUAGUCAAUAUAGGAUUGGAUCUCAGAGGCGAGGUCCAUCCAUCACAGAAAGAACUUAGACUAUGUGAGCAAGCAAAUGGAUUGAAAAGCCAUUUAACAUUGACAUGAGCCUGGCAAGUUGAAGAGAACUUACCACAUCAACAAGGAUAUCUAGGGGGCAACUUUCAAUCUGAGCCUCUGCUAAAAAUCCGACCUGUCAAACCAAAAACAAUGUUACUCAGUCUCGCUCUUUUGCAAUCGCUAAGCAGGUGUUACUUAAGAACAGUCCCACGCAUACAUGGCAUGAAGAGUGUAUCUCGUGAAAGGCAAGUAAAAACGUGAUUACCCAAUCAUUGUAUCUGGCUAUUGUUGCCAGAUAAGUUGUACUCAGAGGAAGCUGAUGUCCACGACAGAAAGCUGUCACAAGACUCCACCGUGAACUCAUCGAUCGUUGCACAGUUCUUAACUCAGCACCAUCACCAACUCCAUUCAUGAGCCAAGCUCCGGCAUUGCUCUCUAGCUUCUUUAGGCCAUCGUGAUUCAAACUAGACUUCUCAAGUAGCCGCAAAAUAGCCAUCAACGGCUCUCGAGGCCUUGUAUUCGCCACUACUUUGCCGUUAAGUAUUCCGAUGCCGGCAUUAGUGUACUCCUCUGCAAGCCCUUCAACUAGAGAUCUCAUCAAAACAGCUCUAGCAUAUUCAUUAGCUGCAAUUUCCUGCGAUCCUAGAUUCAGGCUACCGUCCUUAUGCUCUUGGUCUCUAAUGUAGAAGGAUAUACGACUAAGAACUGCAACAUCCACUUGCAGGAGUUGUGCUGAAAGGCCACAAAGCUCUAUGAAAGUUACACAAGCGGCCACCACAUUGAUGUUCUCAAAACUUGUGAUAGCUAGAGGGAGUACCUGCGAGUAUUACUUCAGGUCAGACACUAGAGAAACCACUUCUAUGAAACAAAAUACGAGAAUAAACCAUGGCAUAUAGGAAUCCAACAUCAAGUAUACGACUUCGGUAAGAUGAUCAACAGAAUGUUGAUUAGACUGAAGUUCUACUCUCCCUGUCCGGACUAAAAAGACAUUAACAUGCAAGAUUUUAUGCAUAUACAUAAGAAGUCUAGCAAUUCAAUGGCAUAAGGUUGCGAAAAAAAAUAACGUACCGAAGAAAUAAUGGAUUCUUCAGUUUCCGUUAGAUUUGAUAAAAGGUUUUGAGGGUCAUAAAAGGAUUGCCGAUCUAGUUGUAAGUUGAAGGAGCCUGAGUUAUGCAGCCGCGUGGAAAGAAGCGAGUUGAAUGCUGCAAGAGGACGACCCCUUCGAAGAUGAAGCUCAGCCUCCAUACCAGCCUCCUACGCGCCAAGAAAAGAAAACACCACAUUAAUAAGUUUUAAAAAAUUAUAUUAAUUUUGAAGAAGCUGUGCUUACACAUACAUCAGCUUUCAAGCGCAAAAAUAGUUCUGCUCAAACUUCGACAACGAAAAAACAUACGUUCGCCGUGAAGUGUCAAAAGAUAACCAUUUUUUAUAUACCUCAGCAAGGCUAUAAAAAGAAACAUCUUGUUUCAUUGACUUGAAUGCGGGACUUAGAAUCCUAAUAAUUUGUAUGAAGUAAACUUUUUCAAUGACGGGGCGUUCAACCGCAAAAUGUGCUACAAAAUAUCCAAAACUAGAACUAUCAGGAUAUCAAAACCUUUCUUAUAAGCACAACAAAGCCCAAUGUUUAUCAAGUUCAUUAUAAACCCAUACAAUUCGUCAAGAUAAACGCAAACUGACCUCCGGAGAAACAGCGUGUAACUCUCCCUUAAUAGUCAUCUGUGUAGAUUCUUCCCAAUUUGAAACGGUGGCUUCUUCCACCUCCAUACCUACUCUUCGAGCUGCAUGCUCUCUAGGGCCCGUGUCUGGCACGGAUCCAAGUGUUGUAUCAUUUCCUUGUGAAAUAGCCACAUGACUUUUUCCAACAGCUCCCUGAUUUCAAUGGAAGAAGCAAUUCAUAGAUAACAUUUAUCAGCGUGACACUACUGGUAAAGACUUUCAAAAUUGCAGUAGAAUUGUUAUUCAAACUAAGCUUAUCUAAAAAUAAGCGAAAUAAGGAAUAGACUAAGAUCACAGCGUCAGCUCAAACAUUAAGAACAGAGACCUGAAUAGCAAGUUGGAGGAGACGGCGGACACUUGUUGGUAGCCAACGGGGCAAUAAUUCUCUCAAUGACGUAUCGUCCGCUGCAGAUCUGAACAUAGAUUCUCGCCAUUCCAAGUAACCAGACAAACCCUUCAUACUUCUUCCUUCACGUUCAUCAAAUAAAGUUUGAAUCAGAAGAAGAAAAGGAUACAAGCUAAACUGCAUGCAAUCAUCUCACCUCGAGGAUAAGAAAUUUAGAAAUAAGCAGGCAGAUAUGCCAUCCUAUGUUCUUGUGAACUUAAUGACUACCAUUAAUUGACUGUAUACCUGUUUUGGGUCCAAGAGGCCGAACAAAACUCCAUGCAUCGUGUCCAUAACAUGCAGCGAAGAGGGUGUGGUACAGAGUAGGAAAUUUUUGAAGCCCAGGUUGAAGAUCCACCAUCAAACACUGCCAUGGGCGGAGGUCCUCCCUGUUGACACUGUCCAAUACUAAGCACUUCUGAAUAGGCAAGGGUCCAUACAUAAAGGUUGCAACUGCAAAUAUUUCUCUAUUCUGCAACAAACUGCUUUCCCCCAUCAUAGAUUUUAAUCCGCCGCCAUCUCCUGACCCAUGGCCAGAGGUUAAAUCUUUUCCAGAGACAGUAAAAGCAUUCGCAACAGAAGCAUCGUACUCCCGUCCUUUCAAGCGUGAAAGAAGGAGCCACUGUGCCCAGUUGCAAUUCCCCUGCACUCAAGUGGGUGCACUAUCAGAUGAACAUUAACUAUUUUUAAAGAAAAUGACAUAUUCUAGAUGUCGUCUGCCACUUGAUUGCAUUUGACUAACGGGUAUAAGUAAGAAAAUAGAAAGUUCAAGAACAUCAAGCAGAGAUUGAAAUUAGGGUAUUACCACAACAGAUUGCAUAUCAGCCACGGACCCUUUAACGAGAGCUAGGGAGUGGUAAUUCAGAUAUCGCUCCAAGAGAUUGGUAAGUGAGUACUUCACACAAUGCCGAACCACAAGUUCAUGCAGUGCUUUAACAGUGUCUUUGUGAACAGUUUCCUUCCUAGGGACCCCAAUCAAAGAUGAUGGUUGUUUACUAGUGGUGCCGGAUGACUUUCCAGAACCACGUUGGAAAAGAAAUCCGGCAGAUGCUAUCAACGACACAAGUUCAGAAGUUCCUUGCCAAUGUGUGCGUAAGAAUAUCUGGCUUCUGGCAAGCUUCACUUCCAUCAUGUGCCAUAACCAAGCACUGCACAUGGACCGCAUGUUGAUACUCAAAAUAUGCACCUUAGGUAUGCAGCACAUUAUUUCUUCACAAUGUUGUGCUCUUGGUGAUUGCUCAUCAGAUAAAUCUAGAUCCGGAUGUUUGCAUUCAUCGUGCAGAUAUUCAACGUCCUCAUCUGUAUCAAGAUGCACUCGUAGUUCGUCAUCGUCAAGAACAGAAUGAGGGAUGUCGUCUAGUAAGGCCGAGACCUGGGACCAGUCGUUGUGUACAACAUGGUAUUCCAGCUGAGCACCCCAAGAUCUAUGUUCUUCAGUGACAAGUGAUUGAUCCAAUAUUACCUGCAAAAACGCCUCCCACAUUCUCAGAGAAAACCCUGUGUAAAGGAAAAAUGACUACGUAUUAACGACAUUCAUUCGCCAAUGAUGUAACUAAGAAAAUUUUAUAAAAAAGAUAGUUAUACAACCAACGCAGAGUGAAACCCACCAGAAUGCAUCUUCUGAGAAAUUGAAUACGCAAACUUUAUAAGCAUCCCAGAGCGUUCGAGCCAUUUAAAAAGGAGAUAACACUUACCCGGUCUACAGUCACCUCGUCCCAAGCGUGCAACCACACAGCAGCCGUUACCAGGUACCCCGCAGCUGGGUUUGCUUGAUUCCCAUCUGCACCAUCUGAAACUUCAGGAGGAGCUGCAUAAUUCCACGACCCCAGGACCACUCCAUCUACCUCCCCACACCGUAGGAUAAAUGGGCUAACCAAUCCACUGCCGCACCUUAAUUGUAAUGAUUGAUCAUCGUCUUCAUUUGACGAAGGCACCUCUACAGUAUGGCUAGAAGAUUUUAUCUUCUUACUGCGGUACGAGCUGCGAAAACUGCUGAUAGGAUAGAGAUCCUGUCAAGACAAAGGCCACUAUCUUCAGCCAAGCACGUUCAACCAGAUAAUGGUCAGAACAAAUAAAUCAUGCCAAAAAUCUCGAAACCUUACCACUUGAACGUAUAACACCUACCAACUUCGGGGCGAGACAAGAAAAAUUCAAUAAAUUAAGAAGAUACAGCACUCUGCUACCUCUAAAUAUGCAACGAUUUCGAGGAGUUGAGAGUCCCGAGAACCCAAACGAUUAGAACUGCGCCGCAACUCUGCCCUCAUUUGCUUCCGAAGACCUCGCCUAACAGUUCCGAAUGCUAGCUCAUAGAGAGCAACGUCAAUCUCCUCACCCAGCCUUCGCAAAGCUGCCAUUGCCAGAGCUGUUUUACCCUGAAACAGAAAAAGCCAUAAAUGAGCAAUUGAUGCUUCACAUUGUGUAAAACAAGUCCCCAAACAUGAGUAAUGAUGCACUAUCAUAUGGUUUCAGGCUACUAAUGACACGUUUACCUUGCACAACAACUCGUACACGAUUCCUCGCCCGAUUCCCUGAACAUCCUGAAACACAUCAAUCAUCUGGGGCCGCUGGGUAUGAGAACCACUCAAAUAUUCCCUAGACCGGAUUUUAUGUAGCUGUACAACAGCCAGAGGAACACGUCCAGCGCGUAAAGCAUCUCGUACAACAAUUUCAGCAUCCACGUCCUCACUCUCCCAGCGUGCAAACAUGUCCCCAGCACUUUCAGGCGCUGAUCCUCGUUUAAUCUUUCCAUCAAAGGAACCACCAGUAGGGGCACCCCAAGAACUCCCAGAACCAACUAGUAUUCCUGUCGGCACUAAAGCACCUGAAGUGACACUAUCUUCAGAGGCUAGAAGCAUUUUAGGUUGCUCCUCCUUAUUGAUAAGCACAUUCUCUAGUUCAGCAUUUUGCACAGCAUUUUCAGGGGGGAGUUCAAUGAUUGGCUUUGUUUUGCUAAGCAAAUCUCCUGAUGAUGCAACUGCUUCAUUGCUCGCAUCCGCCUGUUCAAGCACAAAAACAAGCCAGCACCCUGGUUGUUGAAGAACAUAGGAAUCGUAUUCAUCAAAACAACCGCACUAAGAUAGUGUGAAGGAUGAACCGUUACGAGACAUUCCAAAGAGUAGUACUUUAGGUAUAUUGUCUCGUUAUAUUAACGUUUUUACAAAAUCAAAUAAUCUAGAUACCUAAUAACACACGUAAUAUAGGCAGUGAUUAAAAGACACUUCGCAGAAGCACUUAGUUUAAUAUCAGAGGGUUCGUUGCACUGUUUAAGACUCAGAAACGUCCAAUACUUUCGAUUUCUUGCACGUUCCUAGAGCUUCAAAUGACGAUGAAGGAAAGAAAAGAUACCUUAACGCUUCUACUUGGUCCAUUGCGUUUAGACUGUAAUCGCCCCUGUACACUUCGAAUCACCUCAAGCAGUCGAGAAAGUUCGUUAACAUGAUCUACAGGCUUGAGAUUAGACAGGUUCUUGGGUGGGAAUCGUGCAGACAACGCAGGAACUAUUGUUUUACUAGACCUGGAGCGUUGUCGCUCCCAAACCCCAUGAGAUCGAAUAAGCCUUGUUGAGAAUCUAGCUGCCAAUUCAAGAAGCCUGCAAUAAUCACAGCUCAACUCAGCAAGCUACUUCCAGUAAUUGUUAGGAUAAAAAGUACUCCCAACACGGUUUGAAAAAGGUGUUAGUUUGAAUGAAGCUUAAGUUGAACAAUGGACCUGGCAGCCCUGAAACAGACUAUCCCUUCAUAAACAUUACCCUUUCACAAAGAACUAAAUGCAUUCCUAUUUCCUUUUCAGGAAGAUAGACAUAGGUGGGAGGUUUAUUCCAUGAACUAAAUUAAUCCACUAGACCUCCAACAGCAAGGACACAGAUUAUCUGACCAACGCAGUUUAGUUGUUAAAAUAAAGAGUUAAGGAUAUGUAGAUUGGGAGUCAGAGGAAAAGUAGAACACCUGCAGGCUUGGGCAAGCUCGUUGUCGGAUCCAAAAGAAUUAGCUAUAAGUUCAAUAGCAGCAAGUAGCACCUGUGGUAUUCCCGCUUCCGCAACCCCAACCUGCACAAGAGCCUCCAACGACCUGGAUCACACAUUUUGAGAACUAGUUAAGCUACUAGAGAACCGCGACUGCUCACAGACUAACGAUAUUCCAUUGCUUACCGGGGUGAACUUACGAGACAGCAUUUCCCAGGACAGAAGACAAGAAACUCAGACUUUCUGAUCAAUGUAAUAGAAAAGUAACAGCAUCGGAGAGGUAGAACAAGAAAGUAAAGAAGAGGGGACACGCGUCAAACAGUAUCAAGAUGAUCGGACAUUUCAUUUCAUAGAAACUGGAAUAAUGAACAUUUCAAAAGAGGAAGAUUCUUACUCCUCUACUUCAUCCACUUGAACAUAGUCCAGAGCAAGUUGCAAUCUCCGAAACCUCAUAAGCUGUAUGCUCCAUCCUACAAAACACGAACUUUGUGGUUAAAGAUUCAAAAAGUUGAUUCAAUUAAGACCAGGUGGAUCGAGGAGUAUGAAAGCAGAUCUCAUAACGAAAAAUGAGUUUCAAAUGAAAUUGCAAGUUCUCCCUAGUCUAGCUGGGAGUUCAAAAGUUUGCAGGGUCAGAGAUCAGCUCGAGCAAAAUAAGUAUCCACAGAGGUAGUGAAUUCAUGACUUCCUAAUUUGUUCACAUUCUAGCCAACAGUUUUCAGCUUAGACUUGUGGUGACAUCACCAUUUAGUCCAUCGGUGCUCCGAUAUUACAUAUUACUUGUAAAUUCACAAUGGAAAAGACUGUGUUCCAAUAGGUCAAAAUGAAACUCCUUGUAUCCAAUUACUUAUAUGCCCGCUUAUAGGGAUCCAACAACAAUCUCAGUACAGCAGUUUCGAUUAGUGUUAAAACAUAAGCCUUUAAAAAUGAUUAGAUGGAACGUGGUACAAAAGUUCUAGGUUAAAUGUCCUUCCAGACUAAAACUACCUUCAUUCAAAGGCUGUUGGAUUUCACACGGUGGUGGAAUAAGAAGAAUUAAACGAAUACUACAUCGAAACAUGUAAACAAACCAAAUGGGAUUCACACAGUAAUCCUAACAAGCAGUAUAAAAUAAACCACAAUAUCACAGGCUCAAGCAGCUUAGUUAGUCGUAUUGAGAUGCUCACCGUUCUCCAAGCACAAUUGUUCUGCCUCCUUCACGCUGUUGAAGACAAGGCACCUGUCCAACACUUCUGUCUGCCACUGCCGAGGAACGGGUUUGAGGCUUUCUAGAGGCAGCAAACAGUCCCAUUUCCUUGACCCAUUUUUCAUUCCUAUUCCACUUCGCCACUUAGUACCUGGCAAUUGAUGUUGUUGACUUGCCACAGGAGGAAGAACUACAUGUAGCCCUGUUUGAGAUAUAAUAUAUAAACACCCUUGAGAGCUGAACAUCAAAACGUCGCCUAAGGAGAAUUCACUUUGAAACUUAGAGAAGCCUUCAUUGUCGUUCAUUUGAGACUCAUCUAAUAGUCCAUGUUUAAUGCGCAAUCCAUGCUGAGAAAAAAUGAACUUGUCGAAAGUGUUAAGUACAGCACACGUGAUGCUGUAUGGACUCAAAGCCAUCCCAAGCAAUCCCCUCGAAGGCUCGUUGGGCACGAAUAACCUUCUCAGAGGCUGCGAUUGUGUAUGGACCAGGCCUAAUCCUCGAAUCUGGUAUUGGGUGACACGGUCCCUGGAUGUAAAACCACUUGCUCCCAGAGCACAGUUGCUAAAGCUGUUUUUCACAAAGGUAGGCAAAGACGAGUGACAUGCCUCAUGCUUGAAAGACGUGCCAGUGCCAGAAUUUCCACCCUCAAAUGACCAAUUAUUCCAAUUUCGGUAUGGAAUAGCACUUCCAUGAUUUGCGCCACCUAUAUCUGAUCCCGCUACUUCAUAAAUGGUCAAUGGCUUCGUAGCGUGGCACUCAGCACCUCGAUUCCCAGGAGUUUCUGACGAAAUGAACGUAUCGCUUGCAAAGUAAUCAUCAAUAGAGACUAAAGAUAUAAUCCCAUUAGCAUCACUAAUUGCUAACAAUGAAGAGUCAGCAGUUACCGUAACUUGGUAGAACCGGUUCUUGGCUCCAACAUCAGAACCUCCAACAGUUGUCGUUAAACCCUCGAGAGUCUCUUGAGGUGCAACGCCCUCACUCGUGGCAUGCUUAAAUUCAUGGUCUUCGCCAAAUGGCGUCUCAAAAGACUUCUUCCCGUGUUCGAUCUUUAAAUCUACUCUACAGAAUUGCGGGAUAUCAAUUUUCGUAAUAAAAGUUCCUGCAAAUAAAUUCCACAAAAAAACCAUUCCAUCUUCUUUCAAGGCUACAAAAACACUGUCGGAUAGCUGAAAAUCUGUCCAUGGUACAUUUCUCGUGAGCCCUGCUCUUGUGUCAUGGGAAAGGAUGCGCGAAAGGACCUUCAAUUCCUGACAAUAAACCCCUGUAAUCACAGCACUAAAAUCAUCAAGAGAUUUGAAUUCCCUCGUUGUUGAUCCAACUGUAAGUUUUUCCCCUGCCACUAUUUCGUCUUCUGGAACAUGCACUGCAGACUUCUCCACCAGUAUAAGUGCUACAAGGUUCUGGAUAGGACUGGACAGCAACCUUACAAUCUGUAAAUCCUGCUCUGGUGUAUUACAGCCAGACUCUCCUGGAACCUGUGCACUUUGGGUGGUUGCUUGUGCAAACUUACUAAGGAGUGAAAAGGAAGGAGAUGAAUAGGACAUGGAGAAUGAGAUACACUCGGCUAAUGCAGGCCAAGGUUGAUGUUUGAGAAACUCCAUAUGCAACUCGUCCUUCAAAGGCUCGAGUUGCCCAUUUACGAUGAAGGACUGAAAUGAAGACCCGCCAACUAUGCCAACGCUCGGUACCACUCCUUCGCUGCUUAAAUCAUCUGUAUUAGUAUUGUUAUCGUCUCGAAAGCAUAGUUUUCUUUUGCCACGAUCAUCAACAGAGUCUUUGAUUUCUUCCUGCUCUUUCCAAUUCCGCCAUUUACCCUUCUUGUCACCAUCUUCAGUCUCCCUCGAGUCCAGUCGCAAUUGUCCACCAUUAUCUGAUGUGUGGUCCACCGUGCUAACUCCCUCACCAUCAUAAUUGCGGAAAGCAUGAAGUACCAAACCAUCUCUCCCUGCUGUAAAAAGUAUGUCGUUGAAGGGUCUAGCUUCUAAAUUCGCAGCAGACUCGUCCCCGCAGCAUGCCCAUGCGAAGCAGUCAAUACCAUCAAUUAUACUAAAAGAAGAAGAUAGCUUAGUUGCUCCGUUGGACUUCACAACAAAGCUUGGCGCUGAGGCCUGUUGUAACGACGUCGGGGAGGAAGUACAAAGAGGAGUGGAAGCAGAUGGAGUGAAGUAAGGAGUGGCUGGAUGAGGUUGGACAACGGAGUUUCCAUGAAAUGUACUGGACAGGCGCCUGGGAACAAAUGCAGGAGUUCCAUAGGGUGUGAAUUGUGGUCCUAAAGAAAACCGAAACUCGGAAGACGGAGUGGUCCUUGAUUCAUGGCUCUCGGAACGCAAUGAAUGAUGGGGAGUGGAAGGAGCUUCGAUCUGUGCCCCUGCAGAAUAAACUUCAGAGGAUCCAAUGGAUGUGGAUGCUGGGGAUGCCAAGCUGCGCAGCGGUGAGGAAACCAAAGAUUCUGAGCACGUCGCAGCUUCUUCAUGUUUUCUGGGAACGAGAGGUACAAUUACAGCCUGCUGUUUGUGGGAGAGAAGAGCAAGGCGUGCUCGGGAGGAUGAAAGAGCACCAAAAUUGAAGAGGGAAAUAGGAAGAGGUGUACUGGCCCAGUUAUGAAGUCUAAGCAAGGCCACAGGACCUCCCUCCUCUUGUUGCAUUCCAUCUAACUGACCCAUUGGCACACCAAGGUGUGGGAUCGAUGGAAUCACACUGACAUCCAAGUCGGACUGUCAAUUUCCUGAACAUAGGAAUGCUGUGAGAGAAUAAAACAGUCCCAUAUACGCCGUCUGUCAUCAACUCCUACAAUCUGAAAGCCACAUUCGGCAUACAAAGCAAGCGUCAGAAACUAUUUGAGGUAAAUGGCAAUCUCCAUUUGUAAAAGGAGUCGCACCUUGCAGAAAUAGAUUACUUAAUUGACGCACUCGCGAACCUAGUACUCGAAAAGAGCAUUGAAAAUGUCUAUAUACUCAUAUCAGUCCAGGGUAACUUGUUUGAGGAAGGGAACAGGAACACAAGCAUGAUUACAAACUUUUUCACUCAUUCAAUUCUCCUACUAUCAAGGUACGAAAAUUACAAGUGAUCAAAAGGAAAAAGUAUUUGUCAGAAUCAUUAUAUUCGCGAUUAUUUUCAUCAUUGACAAUUUGCAGAUGGUCGCAACUCCUAAACCAAGGCCUUAUCUCCAAAACCCUAUUAUCCUUAUUCCCUUCUCUAGACACCGAAAGACACAUGUUAACGCGUACUAACGUUACCUGCCACAACCGAGACGCUGACAAGAAAACUAGUAAACUAGACUCCGAGGAGAAUCCCUCAGAUCUCUAGGCGCCCUACACGCUUAAUCACAUGUUAAUAGAACGCAAAGGAAGUGAGAUUCGGGACCCUCAAGAUACGCCAGGUUACACGGGUUUGCCCUCAAAUCUCAAAUCCCUUGUGUUUUAUGUAGGCUCAGGCACGUUUCACGAAGAUAAGCUACUCGAAUUCCCAUGAUCUACACCUCCCGAAAAGAGAUGCGAGACAGAAAAAGAAAAAGACCGUCUCAUCGUCAGCAAGGUGAAAACAAUCAAAUGACUGCGUUUGUACAUGAAGUCGACUGUUUCUCCCCAGCUACACUCUCCAACAAACCGAGAUCAGAAUGAAAUCCUCUGGCAAGAAGCGACAAGACUCACCUCCGCAAACUAAAACACCAUCACAAAAACCCAGCGACGAAAAUCCAAUAGUAAUCCAGGCCGAACUAAUCGCUUCCCCUCACGCUCGCCAAUACAAAAAUUUCUAGGCGUGCCAGUAAUCUGUAGUGAGCUCUCUUUGUCCAGCACCACUCGAAUUUUUCGCAGUUUGCGUAAAGCAUCCGUUCCGAGUUGUCGAUCAGCAAUUCACCCCACUGAUACCGUGGGAACUGGGCACAUGAACCGCGCCCUUAGUCACAGACCAUGCGAUAAUAUUCAUCUGGUUCUACAGGCCCAGUUCACUUCCCCGAAGCAUAUCAUUUUUGCAUUGGAUUUCCGAGCUUCUCCGGGGUUCCAGCACCUACAAGCCCUAAAUCUGCCCCAACUGACAACUCACACUGACUGAGAUGAAGGAGCUAGCCAUGUUGGAUGACACGUAACGAACACUGAGGUAACCUUAUUCACCCUCCAGUUGUGGCCUGGUAGCCCCCCCCCCCCCCCCCCCCCCCCACAUACUUUAUAGUCCCAACGUCUUUCUGCUGUCCAUCUCUCUCUUGCUGCCUUCGCUGCACCCUUUCUUCGUCAACACCGAAGGUGCGUCCUCCCAUUUACCUUUCCCAUUUCGAAUCUUUUGUGUUGUUUAUGUUAGUUUCGUGGUGUCAGAGACAAUGAUUUUGAUAUGACUUAAUAGGAUUUGCAGCUCUUGGAUUUCCUUCUGGAGGUGUGUCCUGCCAGCCCGUCUCAGUUUUUUUUGUGUUUGUUUUGAAGUAAAUUGUUUCUCGAUCAAUUUUGGGGAGUUGUUUUCGAAGAGCUCAUUCUAACAAGUGCAUGGUCCGAGAUCUCUGUUGUCAUUGAUGUGUGGAAAUCUAUUGUGGCUGGUUUGAAUUGGGUUUAGGGUAGUGCAAUUGUUUUUUUGUGGGGAUGAAUUUGCAUGUGUGAAUGCGAAGAGUCGGUUCUUGUUAUACGUGUGUGUUUGAUAAGGUAUGUUGGAGGAUGAUGCAUAGUUCGCACGGCCUGGUGCCUGCCGUCAGUACUAGCUUCCUGUUCAUGCUGGAAGUGAGUGUUAGUUUCUGUGAAAUGUCUGUGAGCUUGUGGCGUGGAAUAGUAAAAAAUCACUUACAUUUCUUGGAACUGGCAUUCUUUCGCUGCCUGAGAACCUCACACGUAAUAAGCUUUCCGUUUCCCUUUGAUUGGUGCCUCAGAUGUCGUUUAUGCCCUGUCUGGUUAGCAUAUCUCAUGGUCUGAUUGAAGACGAGCAGUAUGUCGUGCUUUUCUUGUGAUCGAAGUGGGUUGACUAAGUUGCAUAGCAUUGUUGUACUAAUUUUUGAACCGGAUUGUCUUGAGCAGAGAGGCGCCUUCAAAUAUAUUUGUCCGUGAAAGUGUGUGGGUGCCAUUUGCAACCAUGAGUUCUCCAGCUGCAACCGCCGGAGGCCGCGGGAAGUCUAAGGCCUCGAAAUCUACUUCUCGGUCACAGAAGGCCGGUCUUCAAUUUCCGGUAGGAAGAAUUGCUAGGUUUUUGAAGGCUGGUAAAUACGCCGAACGUGUGGGAGCUGGUGCACCUGUCUACCUAGCCGCAGUGCUGGAAUAUUUAGCGGCCGAGGUGAUCAUUCUUUUUCAAUUCUGGACUUGCACCAUUCCCAUUAGCGUUUUGUAGAAUAUGUCCAUCUUGUACAGUCUUAUUUACUUUCAUCAUGACAGACAAACGAAACAAGUGCACGAUCGUUUAACGGUAACUACGGGUGGGAUUUGGAGCACUUGUUGCGCUGAGUGUCGCUGUUACGUCUUUGCGAUAUAUUCACAUUGAACGAUGUUUCUGCACUUACGUUGCUGUUAUAAGAUCUUUGAUUCCUCGAUGACACUAUGUCAACUACAAUGAGCUACUGAGAUUAGUGUCAGGCCUUUCACCGUUACGUGAAUUAGGUUAUCCAGAAAUCCAUUUACAUCCUCUUGUUGUGUCUGCUAAGCUUCUGUCUCCACUUCGCGAGCAGCACUGCGCCUGAAAAGCGGCUAAGUGGUUUCAGUUUGUUCGUGGUCUGUUUCUGGCGAUCCAUACAUUUGUGCAGGUACUUGAAUUAGCAGGAAAUGCCGCCAGAGAUAACAAGAAGAAUCGCAUUGUACCCCGCCACAUCCAGCUGGCAGUGAGAAACGACGAGGAGUUAAGCAAGUUGUUGGGCACUGUCACAAUUGCCGCCGGUGGUGUCCUGCCCAACAUUCACACAAUUCUAUUGCCGAAGAAGACUGGUAAGGGCGGCAAGGACAUUGGUGGAAGCAUCUCGCAGGAGUUUUAGAGCUACCCUAGUUUGUACAUAGCUCCGUCGCUUUUUCUCCCUCAAUUUGGAGAAUGCACGAAAAAAUGGCAAUGGUCUUUUUUCUGGGAACUUCGACAUCACACAAUUAUUGUGUUUGGGCUCAUCGGCUUCUGAAGGCUCCAAUUUACUUAACCCCGCUGAAGCGUAGGAAUCUGUGUCGCGAGUGUGCAUGGCAUGCUGCUUCUGCUUGAACUGUAGUAGACGUGGCAACUUUUACAAGUUUUUGGAUUGAACUUGUCUUCUUUACCGCUUUGUGUGGCAAUCUGCCACUCAUACUGCCGUAUAAAGAAGUCAUUUUUGUAAUGUGACUCGAUUUUCAAUUGACGCACACCUUAGCGAUGUAUGUCUAAAUGGCGGAGGACCAUAAUCUUGCUUGCCCCUUGGAGUCCUGGAAAGCUUCUUUUCAAAAUUUGAGAAACUAAUGUGGUUUUCUGUGCAUAGCAUGCCCCAGUCUCGUGGGUUUGAAUCAGGUUUGUGCCAAACUCUGAAGUCUUCCAAUGUCGUUCACUGUUGCACCCUCGUGCUCUGUUAACGUCCUUCAAUCCUCCGAUCAGACCAUCGACAUUCAUCAAGUACGUGCAUGGAACAUUAUGUCUACGAAAUUACAGCACAUCAAGGACAUUGAUGGAUGCCUUCCUUGAUCGCUUUACUCAACGUUCAUGUCUAUUUAUGUAUAUACAGAAGAACAAAUGAAAGACAAGAGUUGAGCUCAUUUUUACUUUGUAUACAUAUACAUGUAUAUUUAGCAUAGUUAUACACCAGGGUGAGUUGACCUCAUUUUUACUUUGCACAUAUAUAGUGUUCCCUUCAUUGAGUAACCCCCCUUCCAAAAAAAAUAAUAAUAACUCACAAUAAUUAAUUAUAACUUUGGGAAGCAAUUUUGUUUCACGAUAUAUAGCUACUAACCUUUUGAUUUCUAAUAAUUAAUCUAAUUUCAUUGACUCUUACUAAUUGAUAGGUAAUAAACAUUGGCAUUUGAUUUUUUGAAGUCCUAAGGUAUCCAAACUUUGACAAGGAUUUUGAAGUGCACACGGAUGCUAGUGGUUUUGCAAUUGGAAGAGUGUUGAUGCAAAAGGGAAGGCCCAUUGCAUAUGAGAGUAGAAAACUCAUGGGUAGCCAACUAAGGUGGCCCACCUACGAGAAGGAACUCUUUGCAGUUGUCCAUUGCCUUGAAGUAUGGAGACAUUAUUUGGGUGGCAGAGAGACAAAGGUCUUUACUAACAAUAUAUCAUUCAAAUAUUUUGAGACUAAAGCACAAGCCUAAAGAACUAAGGUGGUAUGAUGUGAUAGUCUCUAUGAAUGUAGUCCUCAUUCACAAACCGAGAUGUGAAAACUUAGUGCCAGAUGCAUUGAGUAGGAAGGAGGAACUCAUGACCUUGUUAGCCUUGACCUCAAGCAAGAAUGACACUCCUUUGGAGAUGGAAGUCAAAGACAUAUACGAAGAGGAUGAAGAAGCUAUUGAGUUAAACAAGAUGUUUGACUACAAGCUAGUCUCAAAGAAGGCAUUGUCUUCUAAGUUCCCUAGACUGAAGAUAGUCAAAAGAGUCAAUGAGCUGAUCUAUUACAAGCAAAGUAGAUUAUAUCUUCCCGAAGGGAACCUAAAGAAGAAAAUGAUGAGGGAGUUCCACAAUAUGCUCAAAGCGGGACACUGUGGAGUACUAGUGACAACUAAGGAGUUGUCCAAAAGUUAUUAUUGGCCGAAUCUCAAAGGAGAUGUGGAGAAAUAUGUCUCUUUUUGUGCCAAAUGACAAAUGAAUAAGGCUAGCACUCAAAAGACAAUGGGAUUGAUAAACCCUCUACCCAUCCCGAAAGCACCAUAUAAGUGUCUUUCAAUGGACUUGAUGACAUCCUUAUCAAUAGUGCAACGAUAUGAUGUCAUCUUUGUGGUGGUUGAUAGGUUUAGCAAGCAAGCAAGGUUCAUCCCAACAAAGUAGGGCGAUGGCAGUGAAGUCACAGCGUGACUCUUCUAUAAACACAGGAUAUGCAAAAUGGGAUAUCUAGAGAACAUAGUGAGCAAUUGAGAUGCUGAGUUCUUGACUACCAUUUGGCAGUACUUAAUGAGGAGGUCAGGAACCAAGCUCAUUUUGACAACUACAUUCCAUCCUCAAGGAGAUGAUCAAACCGAACGCAUGAACGCUAUUCUCAACAUGUACCUGAGAAACUAUAUAGCGACAGAUCACGGAGACUAGAUGGAUGUUUUAUCGUAAGUUGAAUUUUGCUACAACACCACCUACUCAACAAGUAUUGGCAUGAGCCCAUUCAAAGUGGCUCAUGAGUUUGAUGCAUUAAAGCCUACUAACCUAGUAUUAGCAAAGAAGGAUGAGGAUUUCUCAUCCACAUUCUUUUCUAAGGAAGCGGCAAUGUGAGUCUCCAAAAGAGAACACAUAUAGAAGAGGGCAACCUACUUUCUGGAGUGCACUCAGAAGAAAUAAAAGCAAGUGGCGGAUAAGCACCGAUGCAAUGUUGUGCACCAAGUAGGAGACAUGAUAUGAUUAAAUACCACAAACUUAUCGAUUCUCAAUUCUUUGUCAUACAAGUGGGUACAAAGAUGGGCAGGACCUUACAAGGUGAUCAAGGUGUUGCAUAAGGAUGUAUACCUUAUUGAUAUUCCAAAGAAGGGCAGGUUCCACCAUGUAUUCCAUGUAUCAGUAUUGAAGAAAUUCACACCGAAUAAGGACGAGCUCCACCCAGAGCAAGUAUUAAGGCCAGAGCCUUCAUACAAAGUUUGGGACAAGAAAAUGGGACAAGUUAAUGGAAUAGUAGGUAAGAAAAGAUUGAAACAAGGUCUAGUAUAUCAAUGCACCUUUGAAGGGUUUCUAAUGAUGGAAUACCAAUGGAUAUCAGCCAGUUACCUCAAGCAUGUGAAAUCACUCAUCGCGGCCUAUGAAGUGAGAAUGUGUGGUACUAACAAUGAGAAGCGAGAUAUUAAGAGAAAGACUCCGAAACGAUGAAGACAUUGUUCUCUCAAAGUGGGAGAAAACAAGCCACUCAUCAACACAACAAUAUAAGUAAGAAAGCUAAUAAUGUGAAACCAAUAUCUUGGUUGGACAUGUGGUUGAGUAGAAGAGUGAAGUUAGUGGAAGUUACCGCAAGGAGGCGUGCCGCUAAGUCAGCUCUCGAAGUAAAGUAAGAGACCUCACUCGAGACGGGGGUGAGAUUGUGAAUCCGGCCUUAUUGGGAUUAACUUGUGAUUAGUGAAAACUAUGCAUGAGAGUUGCUCCUUGCGUCCGAAAGGAAUACAAGAACCAAGGCAAGGUGAGUCUUGGUGCAGACCUGAGAGUCGACAAUCGCUCAUUGCACACCUGGUUGGAUCAGGGCUUUGGAAGGGAAACAAAGCUAAUGGAACUGAAAGAAGAAAAAGGGGAAGAAGUGACAAACAAUGAUUCUUCCACACACACACACACACACAAAAAAGGUAUAAGCGCCAAGUGAAGUGUGGCAACUUCACAAGAACAAAAAGUCCAUUGUAAAGGAUUAUAAAUAAGAGACUUAACACACCAAUGUUAAUGCAGACAUUAACGUUUAAAGUGAGGGAGAAUGUCACCUUCCUAAAGUGUGGGCUAAGGGAUGACUCACGUAAAAGGAAUCACUAUAAGGUAGUGAUUGUGAGUAAGACCCAUAAAGAAGAACAAGUCACCUAGGUGACUCGGAGUGGCACUUGGAGAUGAUGACUUGGGGAGGUCGCAUGAGCUUAAGGCACAUGAGGACUUCCUUGGCCCCGCCGUGGCAUAAGGAUGUCACAAGAUGCUUGGAUUGGCUCCAAAUACGGAUAGGGUGUUGGCCAGAGCGCAAAGGCACUCUAGGACGACUAACACUGGGAGGGGGUAAAGUUGAAGCCCCUCUCACCAAGAAGUAACCUUGGUCCCGGGUGUCGGAGGAUAGAUGUCGGCGCUAGGGUCCAAGACGCUAAGAAAGAGGUAGGAUCGUCUGACUUAGCUACUAAGCGAGGGUGAAUGGAAAGCUGCUAACCUGGAGGGGUAGUUGGGUACAGGUGACAAAAUACUCGAGACUCAAGUAAAGUGACUGGUAGGGUUACAAAAUCAUACACGAUUGGGUGAAGCAAGGCCAUAUGGCCACUAAGGAUAACAUAAUCAAGGGCCUUGACAAGAAUGGUUUUUUUUUGUCUUCAAUGAGCCACCUCUAACAGUUAAUUCUUUUUCUUGCAAUGAAUGAUAUUAUAACAAGGAAACACUGUGAACAUAUAUAUAUAUAUAUAUAUAUAUAUAUAUAUAAAGAAGGAUGAAAAUUUGAACUCGAUUACAUAUUUAUAAACUGGAGGGUGUGAGUUGUGAUCCAAGAAAAUGGCUUCUAGCAUUUCCAACAGUGCCAAAACUAGCAAAUCUAAAAUUAAAAAAAAAAAAAAAAAAAAUGAAAAAAAAAAAAUAUAUAUAUAUAUAUAUAUUGAGUCAUGGUCUCAUAAAGAUGAAGUGAAGUGGGCACAUCUCAAUUUGGCCAAGCUCAGUGGAUGUAGAUGCUUCUAGGUCAGGAAAAUAAAGAAGAAGAAGAAGUAACUUUAAACAUAGAGAUUAUUUGAUAUUAAAAAAAAUAUAUAUGCAUCUUAUCAAUUAUACUUUUUUAUUAAUAUUUUCUUUAUUUGUAAUUUUGAAAGUUACAGCUAUAAUUUUUAUACUUGCAUUUGUUUGUGCAAACUGCUAAAUCCAAGCAAUUCUUGUGAUUUUGCAUUAUUACAGCACAAACAAGAAAUUUAUCUUCUUAUAUUAAAUAAAUGUAUUCUAACCUAUGUUUUGAAAUUUUGGGUUUAGAUAUAUUAUACUGAAUUUAAAUCCAUCUUGAUUUAGUUUUAGGUUCAUCUUGCGCUGAAAUAUGGAUUAAUUAGUAACUAGAAAUUUGUCAAUAAGGGAAAAUGCAAUUUUUGUAUAAGCUAAAUAGUUUGACAAUCACAAGAAAAUUUCCUCAAAAUUCUCUGUUUUUUAUCAUAAAAUUAAGAAGCAACCAUUACAAUGUAGAUAAAAAAAAAUGCAAGACUAAAUUUGUGUAUCGAUGAACACAAAUACGAAAGGUCGCACAAAUUGAAGUUGAUACAAUAUGAAUCUUUUCUCUUAAAUAUAUCAUAGUUGAAGAGGGUUGUUUUGUUUCUAUGUUUAAUAUUCCUGUGUGUAUGAGUGCGUACCAGAAAAACCAAAAACAAACGAACUGCUUGAUGGGUGUAACACUGCAACAUGUGCCUUAAUGUGCAAUUUUUCUUCAAUUCAAAAGUAGUUUGUUUCAGUUAUUAGUACAGAAAGUUGAAGAUUACAUGUGGUGAUGAGAGGGGCUUCCAAGCUAUUCCCCAGCAACCCAUCCACUUAAAGCGUUAACCAGGAGCAAAUAGCCUUCGACCAAAUGCAUUCAAGGCUAACUGAAAUCCUAACCCAGGUGAUCACAUUAUAAUACCCAUGUGGACUCCUUGAGGUGAAGCUCAAGCCUAUGCACCUGCAUCGACUUACCAAUCACCUUCAACUUCAGUGAAUAACACCAACAAAAAAUACGGAGGUGCUGUUUGUUUUGGUAAUCAACCUAGCGAUCAAAGAUAUGCGAUCUGAGCUUGUUAUUCAAACUAGAAUGAAUGAAUUGGAAAACCAUGGGGAAAGAAGCUGGGUGAUGUCUGUGUCUAAUAAGUUUCAAACUUGAAGUUGAUCCAAAACUUGUUACCAGCUGCAAUUGAGGGCCUUGUGAUGGCUCCAUGCACCCUUGCACGAACCUAGAAAGUCUAAAAAACCACAGUUAAGCGUGUCUCACCAAUUCGUUUCGAAGUGGUGUUUAGUAAUUGUCGCCAUCAUCGUCACCUUCAGCUUCUCCCUCGGUUUCUCCGUCGGUAUUCUCCUCUUCAUCAGCAACUUCGUCUUUCAGAGGUAGCUCCUCAGCUGCCUCCGUGUCACUACUUAGGCGCACUCCUCUCAAGUCAUUGAACUCUUCCAUUAAAUCACUUCUGUCUUCAAGUGGUAUAACUAGACUUGAACCCACUUCAGAUUGGGCUUGCAAUUCCUUUUCUUUGGGCCUCUGAACGUGCUGCUCCCGCCAAAUCCGCAGCGUCUCAUUUGCUUCCGGAACCUCACAUAUACAAGCUGCAGGGUUGUCGUGGAACCCACCACGACCAGGUUUAACCUGCAGUUCGCAACGAGGAAUGGAUGUAUAAUCAGAGGCUACUCUGAACAAAUUUAAUCCCCUUUGAUACAAAACAUUGAUCCGUUAGAGAAGCUUCCACUUGCUAUCUGAGUGCAGGACGAUAAAGAAGUAUUUUGCCUUGGGUGAGGGCACCCCAACACACGCUACGCAUUAGCUUUGAACAAACAAAGAGAUUGAAGUCACUUCAGAACAAUACAACACAUAGAGAUCAGUUGAAGGUACGAUGGUUCUCAUGACACGUAGAAAGGUUUUGAUAAAAUACUUAUAACUCUUCAAUACUAACCUCCAUAGGGUCACCUAUGAAACCCUUUUGAUGAUGUCUCACGCUCUUGGCAAAAUCUUCCCAGGACAUAUUAUGCCUGGCAGAAAAAAGCACUCCCAACUUCCUGACAUUGGGUCUGAUAGUUCGCUUGUGGCCAUUGAAACGUCUGCAUAAGACACCAUAGCAGCAAAAAUAACCUGUUUAGAUACUAAUGAAAAUAGAAACUCAUAACUUCAAAAAUACGUACUCAAAUCCACAAAAAAAAUGGUGCUAAGAAACAGACGAUUCGGGAAUGCACAAGUUGAUUCCAUGCAUCAAAUCAAAAGUGAUGACUAACGCUUAACUAAGCUGAGCCUAGAUACCUUUCACCCGCCAAAAUCCGAACCAUAUUCCCAUUAUUGUUGGCCACAAACACAUCACUUCUUGAACAGACGAUAUAGUCUAUUGCAGCCAUUCGUGACGAGAAGUUAGCAAAAGGUGUCAACUCCACCUGAUUUGCUAAAAGCUCUUUAGUAUAGAAGUUUGGAAACAAAGCUUUUAGAGGUGCCAAAGAGGCUUCUCCAUUGUAAACAUCACCAGAUGCCACAUACAAAUAUGUGUUAUUCCCAUAACCUAGUGCACGGAGCAUGAUGCCAACUUCUUCUGGAGUCAGAGGGCAUUUCCCGAGGCGUCUUUCUCUCUCAGGGUUUUGAAGCUGCAAAUUUAACGAGUGAACAACAAAAACAACUUCAACAUCAUAUUCUGGCUUCCAAGUAGCAGAAGAAUCACUCAAGACUUCCAAGUAACAAAUCUUUCCCCAACAAAUAUAUUACUAUAUACCAUCAUGAAUAUGAAACCAUUUGCCACUUGUCUAAUAGUAUCUAGAAAACUACAUUGCGGAAGCAAGAAAAAGCAGCAAACACGAAAGCCCCUAAAACUAAAAAUUGAUUGAAAAUCAAACCAGACAAAGAUUCGCUAAUAUAUUUGAUUUCAAAAUCACAACAACAGAACCCUGAUUUCACUCGAAACAAGAUCCUCAAUCAGCCAACUACAGAAACGAUACUCAACUUUGCAGUAGAUGCCUUACACGUAGUGACUUCCAACGCUUGCGGAUGGAGCCUAAAUCCCGUCUCUCUCUCUCACCGCCACCGUAAUAGCAUCCCGAAAAAGCUAGCAUAUCAGAUUCAAAUCUGCAAAAAGAGGUGAUCGAUAGAGAUUAAUACAAACUCGGCAUUCAGAACCACUUGAGAAAGAUGACAUGUCCAGGAUUCACUGAGAAUUUCGGCCAAGUCUCUCUGCACAAUGAGAACAUAGAGAACAAAGAACGAGGUGCUAAAUUUAGACCUUUUUCAUUUGGUAGCUUGCUGAUAUGAAAAAUACUAAACAAUGAAAUAAAUUAAAACAACCCAUGUGAUGUCAAGAAUUGCUACCGUAUGAUGUAAGACGGUUUAAUCCAGACCUUAAAUGCAAUGCAAUAUAUCGCCUACCCUUAGCCCUCAUCCUGUCAACAAGCACUUGUCCUAUGUCUUGAAGAGAUUUCGUGAACCUCAGUGCCUGGAAAGAGCAUAAGACGUGUCAGAAGCCGACACCAACUCAUUUUUCUCCAGGAAUUAGAAAAAGUUAAUUGAAUUUCAAUGAAAUUUCAUGGCAACAACAGAUCCUUCGCUUGUGGAAAAAGAAAGCGGUUAAAUCAUAGGAGGUUUUCAACUCAGUCUGUACUAAGCACAAAAUUCCAUAAUGCAAUUUUCUGCUAUUUUUGAAAAAGAAACUAUGGCCACUAUUCAUGCAGUUGAUGGAGAAACCUUGUAGUUUGUGCGACAUCUCAACUUUUGAAGGUCUGUUUCCAGCUCGUUCGCCAGUCGGUAGUCAAAUUUAGUAAGCCGAAGAACCUGCAACAAUAGUUUACAGGAAUUGAACUUACAACUAAGAUUUUAUUACGAAAAACUGAGGAGUACCAUCGAAAACUUAGUGAAGAAUGCGACUUAGUGGUUCACAAUAACGUAAACAUAAUACAGCUGAUCAUUAAUAUGCUUUAGUAGGAGUGUGCAAGAUCCUUACAUGUUUCCUUUUAAGGAGAUGCCGAAUCCGUCGUGAAUAAUACCAUGCUGGGACCUUACGUGGGACUCGUAGAUUAUAAACCUGCUUCGGAAGACUUUUUCUAACAGUUUGAGGCAGCUCUUUGAUCACUGUCACGUCAGGAGCUACAGAUUGUAUGAACCAGUCCACAUCAAAAAUGUCACUAAAAUUGCUGUCAUCCACAAUCCCGUUCAAGCACACCAUCACAACUUUAAUUAUCAGAUAAAGCAAUUUGGAAUCAAGAUUGCUUGAUACUUAACAACAUUCAGAGAAAUGUCAAAUUGCAUGACUUAGGUCAUCAGCAUCGAUGAUAUCGAAUUAAACUGGACUAGACCAACUCAAGAUAUUAAAGAAAGCAUCUGAUAACUCUCAUAAUCAAAACAUUGAAAUGUAAACCUAACGAGUUACCCCAGCAGGAGAACAUGAGAGUUCUACCUCGGAUCCUUCCAGUAUGAUCGAUGGUCAAAGUGCGGAACAACAAGUGUGGCAUUCAGGAGCCGAGCAACCACCACAGAAUCCGUAAUCUGCAGCGCCAGUGACCAGACGCUAGUUCAUUAUGGACAGAUUUAAGAAGUAGCGACGAGACAAAAACUUGAAUGAGUUGUAGAUGACACAUGAGACUGGCCAGAAAUAGAUGAAAAAGGAAGUGGUAGAAUCACUAUCACAACCCACAGGACUCAAAAUCAGAAGCACAUCUAUAUCACUCGAAGUACAGAAUUGAACCUGAAUAAUUUGAAUUGAUAAACCAUGGACAUCACAUGCUGUGCAAUAUAAUGUCAGAACAUACCCCUACUCUCUGCUGAUUCAGGCCUCCGCUAGCUGCAAUUAGAAGAUAUCCAUUAACUUCCAUAUUUGGAUCGACUGCAUCACAAUUACAGAGCUGUCAACAGAAUGCCAUAUUCCUGGGCAGCACACGGUUAUCGAGAACAAAGUCUAUAGUCCUGUUACAAAUGAAAAGUGCUGUAAGGAAUGAAUGACACCUACUUGAGUAGUUCUUGCUAGGUUUGAUGCAUCCAUAGUAAUAUUCAGCGUUUUCAGAAUCCCAAACAUGCGCUGCGGAGGCGUCCCACUGGUCCUUUCAUCCACAUUUUCAAACCACCAACCGUAAAUUUUAACUACAUAAAGCUGCAUGACUUCAUCACGAAGUAAAAGUAAUCCAAGAAUGGGUAGGAACAGUAUUCGAAGAUAAACCGCUCAGCUAUGGAUACGUGCUAGGAAGUGCCAAAGCAGAGCUGAAAUUCAUGCGCAAAAACUCAAGGCAAAUGUAUAAAUGAAAUGCUGAAUAAUGGAAGGAGCUACUAAAUUCAGCACAAGUUAAAACUUACUGGAACAUCCCGCAGCUUUCGCAACAAAGAAGGUAUGUCUUCAGCUCCUGAGGUAGCCUUUUGCAUAAAUGCCGAGAAUCAGUAUUAGGUGAAAAUGGAACUAAUGAAUAUAGAAGACAUUGAUAUGGUUCUUUGGAAUGAAAAUAACUGUGGUAUUCUUGUCAGCAAAAGGUGAAUGACCACCUUGACACGUGGAGACACAUUUCUCUACAACUGCUCCAAUAAUUUACUGUGCUAUGUAUGACUAUGAAAUGCUGUUGAGAGUUUGCAUCUCCGCACAUCAACUCGAUGACAGCGUAUAUGUCUAGUUCACAAGAGGUUUGAGUCCGAAUGAAAUAAUUUCUUGAUCCAUUUUAAUGCUUUCUCGCAAAAGAGCCACCAUUGCCUUCUAAAAGACUGUCACGAAAAUUACAUCUUCAAACCAUCCAAGCAAAAUCCUCAACUUCAUUGUGAUCGUCUAGACUCAAAAGUCUGCGGAAUGGUCGCCUUUUCGAAGGCAUCAUGGGCAGGAAAUACACUACACAUGGGUUGAACUCCAAAAGACGCACUGUCAGCUAAGUCGAGGUUUAAACAGAUUGCAGAUGUAGCUUACCUGUGCCUCAAAGUCCUUGUUGCGAGACUUGAGAACUGGAUCUGAGUAGCGCAGAGGAUUCUCCAUUUGAAGAAACCGGAACGUAAGCAUUAACAUUGUCACCAGGAAUAUGGCGCUGAGGCAGAUCACGUAAAAAUAGGAUAUUGAAGUACAGAGCACCUGCCUCGAUUUGCUUCUAGCUCGCCCCAUCAUGAAGUCCACUAAAACAAACUCAUUUCGUGGGUGGGCGAGAGGAUCUCAGCCACUUAGCUUGGAGAUUCCAAAUACCCAGCACUCAGUUCGAAAGUCUCAUAAACCCAAAGCCCUAGCUCGAAUGGAAAGAUACACAUUGCAUUGCGUAUACCAACAAAUAAAUCGACAAUAGACUGAACAAGGAAAAAGUUAAAAUUUAGCGUCAACAUUGCAAUUGCAACUCAGGCAAACACGAAUCUCCAUGAUCCUCCAAAAUCUCCGCAAGUGCAGGAGAAAUAACAUAGUUCGCACAGGUCUCGUAGUAAUCAUUCCUAGUCAUUUCUACAAAAUGAUACGUAACCUGAAACAUCAUCACAAAUUCAGCACCAUAAACUGAAACCCUAAUUGAGUAACACAAACCUCGAUUAUAAGCUCCCCACACACGCGUCGCAUCUUGUCAUUGAAUACAUCACAAUUAACCUAUUCCACAGGAAUCAUAAUCUGCACAAGACUUCCUGAAGAACUGCAACGCAAACCAUGACAGACGCGUCCAAACGAAAUCCGAUUUUCCAAUUCGUACGCAUUGGAUGCUUUUACCGAUUUAUAACCACACUCUUGAUUAGGUUUCUAUCAACUAGUUAAAUCUGCCAAAUUAUUCGCAAACCCAAUCUCCUUGUCGUUUUCAUUCGUGCCAGUGGAUUGGACUAUUUUUUCGCACUUUUUAGUCCGCAACGUUAGAUAUCCACUAUUUGCCGAUUGCUGCGACUAAUUUUGCGUCUCACUGAGCCUGCUGUAGAAACUAGGUCACUCAAUUAUUCUCACCCCAGCUCUCAGAACUUUGACGAAGGUGACGUAAGAAACCGAUUCAAUUUAACCGCUCCCUCAUUUAACAGCGAGAUAAGCUAUGUAAUCUUUGACAUCUAUGAGUUUUCAACAAGUUGCCAGCAUUGGAGCUUCUCAACAGGAGGAUGAGAUGAUUUCAUUGUUGAUUACGAAUUUAUUGACCAUGGCUAAUGUCCAGCUUGAUCUUCCAAACUGUCAAAGAUUAUAAGAACAGCGAUAGUGGUGUUUCGAGUAGAAAAAAAAAUUAAGUGGAAGAGAGAAUGUUGACAGUUCAACAUCUCGACCAGAAUUUAUUGUCAGGCCACAUACCACUAUACACUUUAUUAGACUGUAAAAAUGUAUGAUGAUAAUGCUUAGAAAUGUCCGCCAAUAAAGACUGGAUGCGCUUCCUGUGGGUAACAUUCGACUACUUUUACUCGUGCUCUCAGUAAGAAACCUCGGCUCAAAUUACAUGAGUUCCUCAUGACCAAACAUUGUAUUAGUGCACAACGGAUGCAUACCGUGUGCUAGAUCGACUAAAAUCACUUUUCGAUUGAAAGUGCAGGUCUUGCGUUGAAGUCAUUAUCAUUUACUGAUUGAUGUCUUCACUGUAAGCUAGAGCUGUAGAGUCGCCGACCACCGAAGCACUCAGAGUUGAUGAUGCCAUCGGAAUCUCUUAGGACGCCUAUUUAACUGUUGAAGGCUUAUCCGACAAUGAUUUCAAUGUGAUUGAUGAACCACUAGAUUACAUGCACUCCAAUUUCGAUGUUGAAUGAGACCCCCCGCAAGUGACUAAUCAAGCCGCUUCCAUUUCAUCAUCAAACACACUUUCGCCUUAACUUGAUCAUGCGUAGAUUCAUGAAGGUCAAGGGUGAGUCUGAAUACUGGACAUGGAAAUUACCAAGGGAGAAAGUACUCAGCGAUCACGAUCAGUGGGAUUUCUGAACUACUCCUUCACCUGAGAUCAUGUCACCACAAGAGGCAACGGAACGACGAUGAUCGCUGACGACAUUGUUUCACUCGGCUCACAGGGUUUUUUACAGCACCUUGUUGAAUUCAAGUAGCUGCUACUUCUGCUGUGUUGGACUGGAUUGGAAAAGAUGUAUGAGGCAAAGAAUAAAGGGAAGGGAGGUGACCAACAUGGCGGCGGACUGUCAAAAUUUUCAAGAUGACGGAAAACUUUGGCUACGGAUGAUCAUGUAAGCAUCAAAAGCAAUAAUGGCUCAAGAGCUCAGUAACAUAAGUUCAAAUGACGCUUCUAUUAGGUUCAUUGCCAUCUGCGCACUCAGGCCAACACACGGCCAUCACCUGUCACUAUGUAGAGAUUAGGUUCGACCAACUUCUAAGCACAGGAGGGUCGACUCAAACUUUGACAUCACUAAGACGGUAGCGGGUAAGCCUCGCCUUUCACGUCUUCCUCAUUUCUCCACGGCGGUACCAUUCUCCACGAACGAGUUGAUACGGCAGUUCCGCAGGCAGCCCUUCUCACUAUAUCUAGAGCUAUCUAGACAGGUCCAGGGACUCUAACCGAUGGACUUCUGACCUACGUCACUUUUCUCAAUCAACACGCUCUGCGUGACCAUAAAGUGCCUCGUUUGCGCUCAAAAAACUCACUGAGAGCGCACCUGUCCACUUUCAUGUCUUGAAGACAAUGUAAUGACGACGAUCAAGGGGCCGAAACUAAAAGAAAAAAACCCAAUUCCUUCCCAAUCUCGUUGAAGAUUCCGAGAGCAGAAGCAAUACAGAGCCAGAAGAUAAAUUUAGACCUUUCCGGUCCACGGCCAAGGCCAACCUAACCAAGCAUUGCUUCAACGCCAGCUUCAGACCGGAAGCUAAAUUGGUUUUUUCAGUGUCGCAGGCUGAUUUCCCAUGGGUUCUGAAUAAAGACACAACCCAGCAUGUCAUGGGCUCAAUGACAGUAAUGGGCCCCCCGAAGUCACAACCGGUCAUAACAGUGUCACUCGCAAUGCAAAUCGUUGAGACCUGCUCAAGCAACAGCACACCAUAACAUACUCCUCCCACAAGAGAGCAGCUGCGUGGAUUUCGGACGCGAUAUUCGCUCUUGGGGGUCCUGAAAAAGCCUCCCGUCACAUGCAGCAAUCUGGGAUGGCGGCAUCACCCUCCAUUCGUUCCGAAUCUAUUCUCCCAUAUUGAAAUGCACGCAAUCACUGUCAGAGCACCUUCGCAACACUCCAGUGAGCUGUACAGAUUACUUUUAACAAGCUAUUUAUCAGAAACUUCAAAACUCAUGCGCUUCAAUUGUGGGUGGGAAGAUGCCACGACAACGGAGAUGGAGUCGAUUGCAAAGGCCUUGCACCUUGACAGAUCGGUAAAGUUGGAGGGUACAAACUCGAAACCAGCGGGGCAAGAGUGGAUGGCAAGGCUGGAGGGUUCAACAAGUAAGCAAACAAGCAGGAAUUAGAGACUAGGUGCGGGGACAAGUGCACUGGAAGCUCAAGAGCUGCGAAGUGAAGAAGCAAUGGGGGUGAAUGGACAGUCUUCAAAUUAGGAUUUCCUCAAUUGGACAUGAACAUCACGUGCAUGCGUGAACGCACUUAUAUAGAACUAUCGUUCGUUCAUUCGUAAAAUUCAUUCAUUCGUGCAGGCCUUCCAUUCAUCGAAAUUGUGCGUUCAUCCACUUCGGUUGUUCAUUUGUUUCAGUCGUUUGUUCUUAUCGGUUGUUCAUUCUAAUUAUUCAUUCAUUCUUAUCUGAAAGAACAAAUGGUGUCAUGGUGCAAAGUGAGCAUGACACCAUCAAAGGCAACUUGAGAGAAAGACGUAGUAAUAUUGAAAUUGAUAUCCAUCUGGUAACUUGCAAGAGCUUCUACAUGGAUCAAAAGAACUAAUUUGACAUUCCUUUUUCUUCCCCAAAAUUAAAUGUACCAUACACAUAUGCAUGUAAAUAUAAAUAUAAAUUUUCACACACACACACACACACACACUUAUCAAAAAAAAUUACAUGUGUGGAAAAAUUCUGCUGUGUAAUUUAUGUUUAAAUUGAUGCCAAUGCAAAAUAUGAAUCUUGGAAGCCAACAAUUGCAUUUAUUUUGAAAAUAUAAAAAAAAUCAUAUUAAAAAAAAUAUAAUAGAUGUGUUUCAAAAAGUCAAUUAGAAAGUUAGCUUUUCCUAUCAGUCCUAGAUAAAUAUGCAUGUCCUAUAAAUAUACGUGAGUGUGUGUGUGUAUAACAUGCAAUGCUUUAUUCACAACAAAAUCACUGAUUUAAAGUUGGACACCUCACACACUCAACCACCAACACAUGAUCUGGAUUGCCUACAUGUAUGUAUGUAUGUAUUAUUACCACCAUUCUAAAUGGACAGUAGGGGGAUGCAUGCUGCAUUCACUAGAGAUAGCACAGGAAAGGUAACGUUUGCGUUUUGGACAAAGAAAAGAAAAACGGCUAAAGUUAUGUUAUCGGGAUCUGCGGCUGGGAAGACACCGCAAAUUAUGCAAAAUGGGAGAGAGGGGGGUGCCAGGUUGGCAGCGGAAUUAGGAUGAGGUGGACAAAAGGUAAAGUCCGAUGCUCUCGGUGUGGAAGGAGAUAUUAUCAAGUGGUUUCUCUCUCGCAGGUUGGCUGUGGUGGCACAGGCACACCUCCCCAGAGCCCAUCAUCCAUCGCUAUUCCUGCUGCUGCCUCUUCUCGCUCGCUCUCUUCCCUCAUUCCCUCUUCUUUGCUGCUCGAAUCCCUUGUGCCUGCUUCCCACUCCCCUCGCUUUCCCGUUCCGAUCCCUUUUCUCGCCGCAGAAUUCCGUCUGGGUUUGAGUUUUUUUGGUGCAGUUCGAGGGUGGGUGUGAGCUGUGCAGAAGCGAGGAACGAUGCUUUGUGGGUUGUGUCAUCUCAGGUAGUGGAUUGCGUCUGAGAGUUUUAGCGUGUCUCAUGGUGUUGUGAUUACAGGUGGAUCGAGGAUUUGUGGGUGGGGGGUUUUUUUUGGGGUGUUUCUGAGGGUUGGAAGGUUAGGGUUUCGUGAUUUUUGUAGAGGUUUGCAUCUUGGUCUCGGGGUGUAGAUUUGGUGGUGACACGAGAUACAGCAUAUGGGUUAGGGUUAAUAGUGAGGUAUGCGUUUGGUCGCGUUUGGUCGCCUCCCAAUGUGUUCAGCUCAAUUUGGAUUUGUUGUGGUUUGGAGUAGAUUUGAGUUUGAUGAGUCGUGGGGAGGAUUUUAGUGUGAAGCGCUUUUUUGGUUUGUUUUGAACGUUUUUGACAUUAACAUCGAUUUGAGAUUUUUGUCUCCUUUACUUUUUUCGAGUCUGUAGGCGGAAGUACUUGGAAAGGAGUUCCUUUUGCAUCUGAAUCGUGGUGUAGGUUAGAAAAGAGAGAUGGCUGGGAUCUUGAAAAAGAUUUUUGGUGGUUUUUCGCACCACCAUAACAAGAAAGAGGAGAAAGAAAAAAUUGAGAAGGAGAAGAAAGUUUCAGAAGUUGUCGCUCCACAAUCGAUACCUGAAGAAGUAAGUUCGGGACGAGGAGGACGAGGUUUCAGUGUGCAGGUUGCCGUUCCGGCAGAUCCUGUUGUUCAUGCCCCUGUUGUUUCUGAAUGUAAUGGUGAUGGCGGAGUCCAAGUAAGUUUUAACUUCGUCAAAUGCCUGUUCCUUUUGUUUUCUCGUCAUGGCAGUGUUCCAUGUUCUGUUGGUUAUAAGUGUCGAGGUUGAAGUGCAGUAGAUCCAGAAGUGAAAGCUGUAGCAGCAGCAGCAGCAGCAGCAGCAGCACAUAUUUGGCAAGUCACGUGUGAUUUAAAGCCCACUCUCUCUGAUGCAAGACGUGUAACAAGGAUGUUGCUGUAACUUCAGAGGGCAUUCAAAUUUUCUGGCUGCCAUUGUGUUUGACAAUGCAGCUCCUGCAAUGUUAUACACACACUGGGCAGUUUUUGAUCUCUUGCUGAAUUCUUCAAGUUAAAGAUGUGUGACCUGCUUGAGUCAAUUAUAUUAGUUUAGAAGACGAGGAUUAAAUAGGUAGUCAAUCGGUUCCUAGCGUUGGCCAGCUGUUAAUGAUUACGGCUUCAUUUCGUAUCUAGGAGUUGUCGAAGUCUGACCUCUUUCGUCUUUACAUCGAAUAAGUGUUUAACUCGAUGUUUCGGCUUUCGACACUUACUCUUUUCGGUAUGCACAGGGGUUGACAUGGUAUGCUAAAGAGCUUCGUGCAGACGACGAUGGCGACGUUGCGCAAGAGUUUUUGAAGGAAGUCAUUCCUGAGUCGCGAGACCCCAGUGUAAUUACUCCGUCAGGUUUCGAAGCAGUGGCGGCAAAGCACACAAGACCGCUGAAAUUUAAAGGCCCUGUUUGCACACAGAAUGGAAACGUGCAUAUUUCUUGAGUUUUCUAUGAAAUAGCUGUGGAUAUGAAGAGAACUUCAUGCCGCAUUAACUUAAAUUAUAAUUUGAGGUCAGUCGUGUAAGGAUAGUUUGGCUGUUUCCUCCAUUCUUAAGGUAUGCAUGCCUUUAUUUGGACUUUACGUCCUGACGAUUAAAAAUCUACAUCUAGCGUCAAUUCUAUGAAUUGCUGAGAGAUUCACCUUUCAGGUGCUUGUUUCUGAUCUUCCCAGAUCGGAUUUAAUACUCCUCCUAAGGUAGGUGGAGUUCAACUUGGUGUUGAGGUAUUUUGUUCAUCUGCUGCACCUAUUGAUGCUUAUGUGCACAAUGGUGCUGCCUGUUGAAUAUGGAUCGAAUUUCCCUUUUUUACUGAGGCUUGUCCUUAGCAGCUGUAUCAUGUCUCUCAUACUGCGUCAUCUGAAUCUGCAACUCAAUUGUUACACUGUUGUUUAGAGUUCCAUUAGGAGUCUCAUGUGGUUCAGGACAUAUGUCAUAUUUAUCUUAUUUUAGAAUGUGCUGCAAAGAUUUCUGAUGGGAAUGUGAGAUGUUGCCUUUACUUCCGAGGUUUUACUUCGUGGACGCUUGUCAGUCUCGCCACUUUGAGAGGGACCAUUCGUCAAGGUGUAUGUUCGCAGCCCAUCACGUGAUUAAUUUUCAACAAUAUAGAAGCUCUACUGCUACAGGUAAGCCAUACUGGAACCUUGCAAGUUCACAUCAGAAGUGAAUUGGCGACUUUGGAAUGUGACACACAUUGCUACGGAAUAUCCAGAACGUGGUGGAGGUAUGGAAGUAAAGUUAGUGCUCAUGGAAAUAGCAUGGAUUGGACAAAUCUACUUGUUGUGGGAUGCUAAGAGUUGUCAACUGUACGAUAAAAGCAUUUGCAUGGUUGUCAACAUUUUUAUAUGUUUCAUUGCUUGAACAGCUUUGCAAAGUUGUAAGCAUUUUGGCACUUAAAAUAGCAUUUUCCAUAAUUAUGCAUUCAAACUUCUUCUUCGAUUCAAUUUCGAUACAAUACUCAAUUCAUUAAUGUGGGGCUAGAAUAUCACAUUACCACUUCUAUUUUUGUGUUGUUAGUCAAAAGUUGCGGCUUAGAAUUGUGAACUGGGCUAGUCAUCAGGAUUAAUUUGCUUUGAAGACAUGGUUUGUGAUGCCAUUUCAUUGCAUUUUAGUUGUAAAAUGGUAUCACUUGACUAUAUUUGAGGUCAUAUCUCUUUUAACAGACGACGCUUUCGAAUAAUUCUGAUUUAACAUUGUAAAAUGUUAAAAACUCAAAUAAUAUUUCAAAAACCCAAUUUGCAACGAAGCUAAAAAUAGAAACGCCUUUGCAUGAUGUUCAAAUAGCAAGCUGUAAGAGAAAGCAUAUGUUUUAUUUUUACGAAUUGCAUUACACAAAUUGCUUUGAUACUUUGAUGGAAAUCUUUGACAGCAUUCUUAAGCAAAGUUCAUAAAGUGAAGCAUUUUUGUUCUAAAAUUUAUUUCCAUUCAUUAAAUGAUUGAUUUCUUUUGUACCCUUACGAGGUUUGUUUUUAAAAAUAUGUGUAUAUAUUUAACACAUAGCAUUAUUUUGCUAUGUGGAUAUAUUUAACAUGUUCACUUAUAAAUAUAUGUUUAUAUAUUUAACACAUACUAAAAUAAUAAAUAAUGGGUUUAUUUUUAACAAAAAAACACAAAAAAUCAAAAAUAAAAACAUGUAAUAUAUACAUAUAUAUAUAUAUAUAUAGUGAAAGUAUUUUUAUUAGCUUUUUUUAUAUAAAGAAAAAAAAUGCAUCCAUUGACUCUUCAGAAUACAUAUAUAUAUAUAUAUAUAUAUAUAUCACUUAUAACUUAUAUUCUAAAUUAGGUCUUGUGAAAAAAUAAAAAUAUCAAAAGCAAUACUCAUUCUACAUGUAUUUAUUCUUAUAAAACUAAGAUUGCCUAAGCUUAAAUUUAAUGCAAUUUAAGCUUCUAAAAAUACCUCUACUAUAGAGAAAUAAAAUAAUAAAUAUUUUUAUUUUAAAGUUCAUUUAAAUAAUAUUAUUUUAUCAAUAAUAAAAGAUAAUAUUUAUUAUCUUAAAAAUAUAUUUUUAAAAUUUUUAAAAUAAAAUAAAAUAAAAUAUUUCACUUUUUAAGUAUUUUUUUUUUGUUAACAUCAAAAAAUAUUAUAUAUGUCAAUGGUUGAGUUUGUUGAAGUUUCAACUUGCAAGUCUUUGGUUUGCAAAAAUGUCUUUAAACUAUCCAAGCUUUGAACUACCUAAACUCUAGUAGUUCAAAAUAUUUAAUAUUUUGAUUUAACAAUUCAAAUCUUCAUGUUUUUGUUAUGUAAUUUGAUAGUGAAUUACAACUAACCUUAGUUUUUUUUUUAGAUUUUAAUAUUUGUAAAAGCAUUACAUUUAAAUAUGAUACUUUGUAAUAAUACAAAGUAAUUUUUUUCUUAAAUAAUUUUAUUUAUUAAAAUAUGCACAAAUUCAAUUUAACACACAACAUAAAUGAAAAUUAUUUUGGGACAAUUUUUCUUAGUAUAACUGUUUGAUAGCAAGUGAUUUAGUAUAGUAUUUUCUUUUAAUCAAUUCUAAUUAAGAAGUAAAAUUCCAAAACUAGUCCAUAAAAUGUUGACAACGUUCAUCUAUACAUUGCACUUUUCAAUGAGUUUCAAACCUCAACUAAACUAGGAGUAAAUAAAUCAACAUGUGUAAGAGUGCUAUGACUAACUCUUUGCAAGUUCAACAAAUACAAAUAUCAAUCAUCAACAUUCUCCAAAAUUAUACAAUGUGCACAAAUCACAAGUUAACAAAACCUAUUAUAUUAUCCAUAAAUCUAGACAAUAAUAAACAUCAAUACAAGGAAUGAAUGUUAGACAUUCUAAAUGAGUAACACAAACCAUUAAACCAUUGAUGCUAUAGUGUGUGGUGCAAGCAUAGGAACAAUUAGGGGGUUUCAAACAUGGCACUUUUGCAAAACUAAAUAACUGAAAUUCAAUACCUAAUAUUUUUAGAAUCACUCAAAAUAUCAAAUCCAAAACAUUACCAUUAACCAUUGAGGGAAGAGAGUUGAGGCGAGUGACCCUGUUUUUUAUACUUGAAAUGCCCCUCUUUUCAUAUUUCAAUUUCAAAAUCAUCCAACUCGUGAGAGGUAGGUGAUUUGGUGAAGUAUCAAGUGAUAUUUUGAAGUGUCAAAAGAUUUUGAGCAAAUAUCAUGGGUGAAAUAUCACCCGAGAAGGCCAUGUUUGGACCCAAUUGACAUGUAUCAGUCAGGACAGAGGAAUAUUGAGGAGGAGGAGCUUGGCCACCACCUACACAGCAGCACCACCACCAGAGUUGUUGUUGUUGUACCAUAGCUAGUGUGGGAGUGAGGGAGGCGUGGGAGGUGCUGCGUAAUGAAUGAAUGGAGCACUCACCUGUCAAGUUGCAGGUGGUGGUGGUAGUGGUGCUGCAUGGAUUACACACAGUCUAAGGGAGCAGCUCCGCCAUGCCAGCAAUCUAUCUAGUCUGAGCAAACUCCAGCUUGGGUUUGCAUGAUCUCAUGCCCAAUCUCUGCCGAUAUAAAACUCACCCACAACAUGGGGUGUAGCCACUCAAACCUCUAGCUGGACUGCAGUACAUUAGUGCAGGAUUCAAGGACGCUGGGUUAGUGUUUGUCUUGCCUUUGUUGUGGGUUGAACGCCCACUGCAUCGCUUGCAAUCAUCAGCAUAUUCUCCACAUGCUGUGAGUUCUGUGGAUACAGUUGGGUGGGAUACGGAAUGGCGUUAACGAUGAUGUUUGCUGUUGUUACUGUUGCUGUUGCUUUUGGAGUGUUGUUUCGUGUCGAGCAGGUUGUUGCUUGGGGAGCUGACGGACACCGAGUCACUUGUCUGAUUGCUGAGGUGAGUUGGACUGCGAGGUGCUGCAGGUUGAGUGGUUGGAUGUUUGUGAUAAGUUGAGGAUGUGUUGGCUGGAAGAUCUGUUGGAGAUUAUGAUUCUGUGGGUGCUGCAGCCUCUGUUGUAUGAGCCUACCAAACAAGCUAUCGCUGCAUUGCUCCCCAAAUCUGCCAACGGGAACUUGGCCGACUUGUGCACAUGGCCAGACGACGUGCGCUGGAUGGAUAAGUAUAAAUGGACCCGGGAGCUUCACUGGGUUAACACCCCAAACCACGUGUGCAAGUAUGACUACAAUCGUGAGUCUGCAACUCCCAUUCAAAUUACGUAUAAUUAUGCAAUUUUGUUUCAGUCAGAGGGUUGUGGAAGAUGCAGUUUUCUUUUCAUGUUUUGGUGCAGAUCUGGGAACAGAGGAUAUGAUCUUUGGUCUUCAGUCUCGACAUCCUGAGGGAAAAUUGAAGUCCACUCUUGAGUGUCGCUUCUGCUCAUAGAUUCACACAUCUCUACAGAGGAACUUAUGAAAAAAAUUUAUAAACUGCAAGACCAUGUUUUUCGUGGUUUGUUAUUAUCCAUGUCGUGCUGAGAAGAAAUGAAACGAUUUGUAUGACAGGAGAUUGCCACGACCACAUGGGAACUCCAAAUGUGUGCAUCUCAGGGGCUAUCAACAACUUCACCCAUAUAUUGUGGAAUCACACCAGAAACCGCAACAUGAAAAACGGUAGAGGUAUUCUACUUUGCUGCUAUGAAGUUGCAUUAAAAAUGUUUCUCUGUUUGUUUAUUUUCAUUCCUUACAAGUUGGAGUUAGAACCAAUGUGUUCGAAGAUCUCGCAUGGUUUUCUAUUGAGCUCACAAGCACACUAAAGCCUGCAACUAGAAAAAGAAUCCACUCAGAUUCUGGAUCUUCAAGUUAUGGAUCCUCAUCAGACAUAUUCACUUGUUACCGGGCAUUUGUAUUCGGGGAAGCGGAAGAUGUGACAGAAGCUCUUCUCUUUCUAGCUCAUUUUAUGGGUGACAUCCACCAAGUAAGUACUUGAAUCACUGGUUUUUAAGAUCCCACAUAGCAUCAUCCAUCUAAUUUAAACGUAUCCUUCUCAGCUCCACAAUCAACUACAGAUGUGUGUUUCUCGAACAAGAAAUUGUGUACAAUUCUGAUGUGUAGGAUAUUUUUAGUAUGCGAACCAUCGAGGUGAAGUUCGUGUUUGACAAGCUUGACUGCGUUGAUUGCAGCCAUUGCACACUGGCUUUCGAUCAGACCAGGGAGGAAACAACAUCAGCGUAUAUUGGUACCAUCGGAGAAGUGACUUGCAUCAUGUAAACCCUCUGCCUGGAAAUGAAAGCAGCCCAAUUACCUCGAUCCUUUGUCGAAUUGAAAAGUCCCACAUGCUGUUUAACCAAAAAAUAAAAAAUAAAAAAAUAAAAAAAAUAGAACAAGUUAACUUCUCAUUUCUAAUCUCAGCGUUUUGUGUUGCGGAGCAGGUAUGGGAUACUGAAAUUGUUAGCAAAGCAUUGAAAGAAAACCACAACUCAGAUCCGGAAAUCAUGGCUGACAGUAUACUCAACAAUGCAACAGUAAGAAAACCUCACAUGCCAUUAAUAACGAAAGCUUCAUAUCGAAGAGAUGAGCAAUUGCACAUCAAUAGCUUCUAAGAUCUGAACUGUCUACAUGCUUGAGAAACUGUUUCAUAUAUCCAUUGAUGGGGAGGAGAGAGCUGCAGGACAAUUGGGCAAGUGAGGUCGACGCUUGGGGCAUUUGCCACAACCGCAAACUUUCCUGUCCCGACACGUGAGUGAAUUCUCCAAAGGCUCUCUCAAUCUUCUAAUGGCAAAAACUGAAGAACCGAGAGUGCAAAACCAGUGCAUGUUAUUUAUACCCAAGUAUCUAUAUUUUACGCUUUUGAGAUCAUUGAUAUAGAUAAUUGAUCUCCAUCCUUGGCAGGUAUGCAACGGAGAGUAUAAAUCUUGCCUGUAAGUGGGCAUACAGUGGUGCUGCCCCUGGAACUGCACUUGGUGGUGAGGCCCUUACACUCACUUUAUUGAUUUGAGCACAUUCUCAAAAACCUCUACUAAACGCCGCAACCAUUGAAAACCAAGCGUUGUUCUCCCUGCGCUUGUAGUAAAAUAAACUUCCAGGUUGACAGACAGAUGUGUUCACAAGCUGACUCGUUUUGCGUUGCAGCUGCUUUACUGGGUUUCUAUGAAGCUAGAAAUUGUAAUGUCUACAGCAAAUAACGUUACUUUUGUUACAGAGAAAUACCGAAUGAGCUGAACAUAUUUGCUAAUAUUUAUAUAUUUUUUUCUGGCUACUUGUGUAGAUGAAUACUACACGUCCAGGUUACCAACAGUUGAAUUGCGGUUGGCACAAGGAGGUGUAAGGCUUGCAGCAAUUCUGAACUCUAUAUUUGAUCCAAAUGCCCCCCAGUGAAGUUUUCUUCUCGUCUCAUAGAAAGCUUACAAGGGAGACACGUUUGACAAAACUAACAAAAAAGAAAACAAACAAAAAAAAACAGGACACAGUUUGGUGAUAAUUGAAGGGAGAUUGAAUCACAAACCAGUUUGACAGAAAGAAUAAAAUUAAAGUCCCAAAAAGAGUUAUCAAAUGCUUACACAAUAGCAGAUUCUCUGAUUGAGUCACCUUGUGAAUACAAUCGUUUUACAUUUUUUGAGAAGAGUCAGUAUGGAAAACUAAGCUUAGUGAAAACAACACAACUAUUCCACUUUGAAAAACAAAUGUAGUAGUACAGAUUGUAAUGUCUUCUUCUACAGUAAAUUUAAGCAAAUACGAAGUCCUUAAAUUGUAGAAGUUGGUUUAUCAAUCGUGUAAAUAAUCUUAUGCUAUUCUUUUUAAAUUGUAUGUAUAGUAUUCACAAAUAAAAUAAAAUAAAAUAAACUGACGCAAUGUUAUUAUUCAAUGGAUCCUAAUAUUUGUCACGAUCACACAAUAUAUGAUUUUUUAUACUAUAUUUUAAACAUCCACACAACACCCACAAACUUUUAGUGAACAUUUUUCUCCCAACAGUAUGGAUGAUAAUGUCAUCAUCCACUGACAUCAUCCUUCAAGAUGAAUGAAUGUCGUUCGUUGAGGUGUCAUCCUUUGGGGUUCAUUCCUUCCAGCAACAGACGAAGUCUACGAAAUAUCUGCAAUCCUGCGUAUCAUGCACUCGGAGAUAGAUAUCUUCGACACACUUUAGUGAUAAUUGUUUUCCAUCUCAAGGUGCGACUUUGCGGUAGUUUUAAUUCAUGAAUUUCAUCAUUAAAAAGUAAUAUUGUUUGGGUUAUGAAAGCUGCACUGAUCGUUGACAAGAGCAUGUUUAAACGGCCUUGGAAAUGGAGGAAAGGUUUGAGCUCGAAUCCGUGUUCACUGUAUCAAAUCCCAAACUUCAUUGUGCAGAAUGUGUCGUAGAGGGGUCCUUAAUCUGACACCCAUGCUUCGGAAUGCCUACGAAGUGAACAGCUGUGCCAUGAAAUGUUUGAUAUGUAGCAGCCUACUUGUACUCUAGCUCAGCAUGCUACUGAUAGGGGAAUACAAGCUAGCAAAUUCAGUGUGUGUGGGUAAAUCGAGAGCUCGGCACAGUUGCUCCAACGUUGAUUUUGAAUCCCUAAAGCGACCCCUAAACGUUUGCAAGCACGGUGUUGAGGUUAACUUUGACGCACGUUGAACGUCGUUGUGAUUCCUAAGUAGAGUUAGUGUGCGAAAUUGCACUUGAUGAAGAGAGAAAAGUUACCAUCAAAUGGGUGAUUGUGCGGAUCCCACAUAGAACAAAGAAGAAGGCGAAGAAGCUCGCGCCGCUGUCGCAUUUGAACUUUUCAGGUUUCAGUAGAUGACAUUGAUGGCACCUUACAUUUCAGGAACGAGACACUAAUUGCGAAGUGCAACAAGGCCGAAGCAACCACAGCCAUUUGGGUGCAAAGAAGAAAAUUCUGAUAUCCAAUGAUGGGCUACAUGAAUUUGUUAUUGCUACUAUCAGAAGACAAGUGCAAGCCAAAACGUGAAGAAAAACCUUGAAAGAAUAAUGCAAAAAGGUCCUGACGCUCCACUUAAGGAGAUAAUCUCUAAUUGGGUGGACGGCAGAAGGGGAGGGAAUGGGUCUAAAGAAACAAAGGACAUUAAGUGUACAACCUCGGUACAAUUUCGCUCAAGGCUCUUUGAACCAAUCUCAAUUCUACAAAAGCCUAACUGGACGGGGAAGAUGAAGCUCACUUCGGUUCAGGCCCCUUCAGACCUUUCCUGCGCUGCACCAACUGCCUCCAUCCGAGCUUCUGCUGUGGCUUGUGGUCGAGCUCACAAGGAAGAGCCUGAGCAGUACUGGUGAACACAUUGAGCACCGUGAAAGCAAGAAUGGGAGAUAGGUCAAUGGUACCCAACGGGGGAAUAAUGCCCCGGAACACGUUCAAAUAAGGAUCGCAAAUCGUGCUCAGCGGGUUCACGAUCACUUCAGGCGCGCUAGGGAACCAAGUCAACACCAACCGCGCAAUCAACACCGUAUUGUAAAGAUUAAGAAAGUUGUACACAGAGCUCGAUAUCACCAUCUCCGCAACAGAGUCACCAGGGAUAAUAGCCGCAAAGUUACGGCUCCGCAGUGCCACCUGCUUCGUCGAGGGAGCUCGGUUCAUCUGCACGCCCGCCUGGUAAUCCCCCAACCGCAACACCGCCUGCUGCAGGGCGGGAUUCCGGGCCACAAUGCUGUCGCUCACCUGCUUCAGCCACGCCUCCGCUCGCAGCAAGUGCUGUUCCGCCGCGGCCCGGAGCUCUCCACAGGCCCGGCGCGUGAGCAAUGGCAGGUUGGGGACGCCAUCCAGGUGGGAUUGCUUGCGAAGAGGCGCCAUAGCCAGAGCUUGGGUUGGAAAUUCGUGGUAGGGCUCGCAGCAGCUCGGCAACGAAGGGAAGCUGUGAAUUGCGGCACUACGGCUGUGGAGCUGACGAGAAUAAGCUCGAGACUUCGCCCCCUCCCUCCAGAUAAGAAAGCAGAGGGUUGGUUGCCUACAUGGCCCCCGUGGCUCUGCGACUUGCCACGUGACACUGCCUUAUUGGCCCUCUUUUAGCACACAUGGCUCCCCCACCCCCCAUCUGCACUGCCACCUAGGUGCUGACUCAGCUCCUCCGCGUGUGUCCCGUUGGCAUUGCGGAGGCCGACGUGGAGUUGAUUCGGGGGUGACGUCGGAUUGUUCCCGCCUUUGGAGCACAUGGCGUCCAUAUCUGUAUAAACCAUAGCACAUUAAAAUGAUGCACACUUCUACAUCCUUAAGAUGAGAAGAUAUAUAGGAUCUUGAUCAUAUUCAGAGAAGAGCAUCGUGAUAAUGCAACAUACAACUAUCCAUAUGCAAAUGCUAGGGUUCUAAUAUCUAUUCCUAUGUUCUUCAAUGCUUGUCUUUGAAAUUUAUUAAUGAUCAUUACAAAUCUCACCUUCAUUGGAAAUUGCCUUUGCUGCAACUUGAACAAAAUCUCUACAAAUGAUGGAUCCUUGGAAGAAAAGUCAUAUAAUGUGAUCCUUGGAAGAAAAGCCAACUAUCCUUUGUAGUCUCCAGGUAAAAAAAUUACUUUUAUAACUUGAUUAGUUAGUUGUAUAAGGACCAAUUGUGAUCUAUUGCAAAGUCCUUGAUGCAUAGCAAUGUUUUGCAACAACAUAAUUGGACAUCCAAUCUUGAGUUCCAGGCUACAUGGUGGCAAUCCAAAUGGAUAUAAACUUUUGAAAUUCUUAGUUGGAUAAUAAUUACCAUUAUUGGUACUAUCUUUUAUAAUUGCUAUAUCUACAUUGGGAUAAAUAUGUGAAAUUUCAAAAAGUCUUUGCAUAACAUCCUUGUUUAAAUCAUCAACAUCAUAAUUUUCAGCAAAUAAAAUAAACAUAUCAAUGAAAUAAUCAUCCAAGUAUUCCAUUAUCAUUCAAUCUUGAAUAAACUACUUAAAUCAAAUCAUUUGAAAUUGAAUCUACUUAUAUAUGUUUUAAAAAAAUUAUAUUAUUUUUCAAUGGAUCUAUAAUUGUUGAUCCAUUUCUAAUCUAUAAAUAAAAAAUAAUAUUAUAUAUAUUAAAAAUAACAAAUAUAUCAUUUUUUUUUAAAUAACAAUCUUAUAUAAUGCAUACCUUCAAAAGUUCUUUAGCAAAUAAUUGAUUUUCAUGAAAUACACAUUUAGACACAUGUUUUUGAAUAAUUUAUAUACUUUAGUAUUAGACUAGAUAUUUGAUCAUUGCAAAAAAGCAUCAACAAUCACUUUUCUUGAGCCAUUAACAACAAUAUGAAGAAUUUGCUGAAAAUCUCCACCAAAGAUUAUAAUAAUUUUGUCCAAUUACUUAUUAGUGUCAUUUAUGUCUCAAAGAAUUUUAUCAACUGCCUCAGCACAAUUGUGAUGAUACAUUUGUAUCUCAUUCCAAACAAUGAGAAUUGUCUUUCUUAGCACAUUUGUGUAUGGUGCAUUCAUUGUAAUAUUGCAAAACAAAUCUUUAUAAAGAUUGAGCAAAAUUUUAAACAUUAAGUAUGCAAUCCGUCCACUACUUAACAGUUGUGCUGCAAUUCUUGAAGAAGCAAUAUACAAAAUAAUUUUUCUAUCACUUCAAAAAUUCAUUGCUAUUGUAUUAUAAACAAAUAUUUUUCCACUUGUUCGUGGUCCUUCUAAAAAAUACAUCUUCCAAGAUUGUUAUCCAUUGAAGCAAGGAUAUCAACAUAUAUAAUAUGUUGUUCAUCAUUUGACUUUGGCACACAUUCUUCUACCAUUCUUUUUAACUCAUCAUGAUUCCAUGUCAUAUGCUUUAUAAAAAUUUAAUUUGUAUCAUUUUCAUUCCAAUUCUUUUUCCACAAAGGCAUCAUUAGAAAAUCAGCAAGUAUUUUGUUUGAUUCUUAAAAAAUCUUAUCAAGAAAAAAUAGUCCAUAAUCUAAUAUAUUCCUUUGCAUUGGCCUUUCAAUUCCAUAAUCUUGAGUUAAUUGAUAACUUAUAUCAUCACAAAAAAAUUCUUUAAACUUCUCUUAUAGCUCUUCUAGAUGUACAGGUAAAUAUUAAUAAAAUAUAAUAACAAACAAUGCUUUUAAUUGCUUCUUUAUUUUUAUUACAGAGGUUUCUUCUAAGCAUUGAUUCCAUUCUUUGUCAUCUUCCAACAAUAUGCACUUUUAUAAUUUGGUUGAAAUACUCUAUUUAUAUUAUGUAAAUCUUUUAAUGAAUGUGGUCUAUAUACCACUAUUAGAAUUAAGCCAAAGAUAGAAUCUUUUUCUUACAAUAUGAUCAAUAAAAUAUAACCUUCUAAUAGCAAAUUCAUAUUGUCUUAAUGUCCAUGUCUUUGAAAUCUUGUUCUAUACAAAAUAUACCAUACAUCAAUAUAUUACUUGAUUUCAUGAUAUUCAUUUUUAAUAUAUAUUUUUGUAUAAUCAUGCAUUUAAUAAUUAUACUUGUGAAUAUAUUUUUUAAUACAAAUAGAAGCACAAAUCUCAAUGUUGGUAUUGUAGUUAUACUUCUUACUAAAAGUAGGAUUGUAUGGAAUAAUAUUUUGAUUGUUUAUAACUUAAUUGUUAAUAUUAAAAGUUCUUCUAUCAUUUUUUCUAUGAUUUUGAUGAUAUCCAUCAUUAUUCAUUGAUAUUACUUCUUAUUAAUCUUUUGAAUAUUUCUUUUUUCAUAUUCUAUCUUUUAUGUAUGAAACUUACAUAUUUCAAGGUCAAUAUGGACUAUGAACCAUACAAAUGAUAAUUAUCUCAAACAAUAAUGGAACUUCUUUUUUACUAAAAAACUUUGCAAAAAUAAUCUUAUCAACAUUAGUUAAAUCUCUUAUUUUAUUAUUUUGAUAAAAAGUAAGAGUUAGAAGUACAUUUGCAAAAGACCUUAUUUUUGAAAUUCAAUAGUAUGCACUUUUAUAAGUCCAUGUCCUAAAAUGUGAUGCUUAUAAAAAUCUUCAAUCAAUGCACAAUGCUUUAAUUCAAAUACUCUUGCUAUUCAAUUAUGUCGAUCUUUGAUACAUUGUUCUAAAAAGGGUGUAUUUGAGAUCUCCAGCCACAAUGGAUUUGUUGUCAUUAUAUCAAAUAUAUUUAGAUCUUGACAGUAUCAAAUAAUGUCCAUAAAAUCUUAAAAAAUUUCAAACAAGUUUUUUGUACUUUCAAUAUGAGAUGAUAAAAGAAUUAUUCUUUGUCUUAGAUUUUGCAUAUUAACUUCUUGAUUUUGCACAUCUCUAAUAAUGUUUACUAGUCUUUGAAAUAAAGUAAUACAUAAUCUAUUUGAAUUUAUACUCAAAUAUUUAUCAUCAACAUAUAUAUAUAUAUAUAUAUAUAUAUAUUUAAAUAAGAAGUAUUAGAUAAAAGAUAAAUAUAAGUAGAUUUCAUAUUAUCUUAUGGCAUAGAUUCCUAGAAGCUUCAUAAAUGCAUAUUUGUCUUUAUACAUGUUUAUAGUUAAUUGAUAGGUUAGAAACUUGGCAAACAAGGUAGUUAUAUAUUACACAUGUGGAUAGCUAGUGGUACAAGCUAACAAUGUAGCGCGCAUAUAAGAAACUUGUCUUACAAGUUAAAACACAUAUCUUGCAAAUUGGACAUAUAUUAGAGAUCCUAUAAGAGAUAUAUGGAGACAGAAGAAUUAUUCUAGUUGAUAGUAUAUAUGGAAGCAAGAAUAAAGCAUUCUUUACUCUUGUCAAUGCCUUCUUAUUUCUAAGUCUUAUUUCAAGAUUUUCUAAUAUUUAUGUCUUUAGCAAUAACAAUUACAUUUUAAUAUUGUAUCAUCUUUGAGUAAUUUUCUAAUCUUUUUGAGUGACAUAAGAGUGUAUUGAUCUUUUAAUUCUCUAAGAUUUAUAUCCUUGACAAUUUGAUAAGAGAGCCAACUUAUUGUCUUUGUUUUGUGUUAGAAGUGAGUGGAUUACUCUACUUGUAUUGUUGUAUUUUGAAGAUUAUGCACUACCUACUUUUAAACUUCCUUUAAGUUUUCUAACACUAACUAUUCUUUUUGAAGAAAAUGGACUAUCUUUCUUUGUAGAAACUUUCAUUUGAUAUUAGAAGUUAAAAAUUGCAUUCCUCUAAUUUGACUUUUAGAUUUAUUUGAGUUGUCUAUAGAAGAAAAAAAUUAUAGUUGCUACUCUCAAUGGAAGUGAGAAUUCAUUUAUAAGUAUUGCAAAUAUUCAUGAGCUUGUUAACAUUCUAAGAGUAGAAAUCUUAUUUAUAUCUAACAUCAAUUAUGGAGGUAGUAUUUUGAUACUUAUCAAAUAAAUCAAUAAUAAAAUUCAAAAUCUAUGCAAAAAAAUUGUGUAAUUAAGAUUUAUUUUUGAGAAUAUCAAGAGUAGGCUUGGUAGAAGAAUUUAUUAGUUAAGCCAUUUCAUGCAAUAAUUAACUUUUUGUAAGAAGCCAAAAACAAAGAUUUGAUUGAAGAAGUACAAAUCAAGCUAUAGCAAUAAUUUCUAAGUUUACAAAAGCUUAUUCAUCAAGACAACAACCUAUAUAAAUUGACAAGAUAUAUUUUAAGGCUUUUAUUGAACAAGAAAAAAUUCAACUCCAUCAAGAAGAUUUAUGCUUAUAUUAAAGAAAACCUAAGCAUUACUCAACAUUGUCCAAAAGUGCAAUAUAACCACAAAAUAAGGAACAUGAUUUCCAAAAUAGAAAAUAUGUCAAAAAACAAUUUUUUUAGCUAUAAUAGGAACCGUGUAGUUGAAAUCUUAUAUAACACCUAAUAAAGAUCAUAUUUUCUCUUCAAAUCCCUUACUCUGUUUUACAAUAGAAGUUUAUUUGAGACCAAAUAAUCACAAAGUCUUUGCUUUAUUAGAUUCAAGAGCCUCAACUUUUUUUUUAUAGAUGAAGUCUUUGUUAAAAAAUAAGAAAUAUCUUUGAUCAAGAAAAAUAAACAUGUGCAAGUAAAAUUCAUAAAUGGUUGUUUGUUGUCUUUUUAAAAUAUUACCUAUAUAAAUUUCUUUAGAUGUAGUAACUAAAGAUUAUAAUAGCUUAGUAAUAUUCAAUGUCAUCAAAUCUCUAUUCAACUCAAUUAUUUUUAGAUUAUUGUGGCUAAAAAAAUAUAAUCCUAACACAGACAAGACUUUUUAUAAUCUUGAUUUUUUUUGUAGUUUAAUCUAGGAUUCUACUAAUUGAGUAGAAAUCUAUAAGUUCAAUAAAACCAAAUAUUUUUAAUAGAUACAAGAACAUUCAUACAUGUAGUAAAAGAAUGGCCAACUUUUGCAAUAUAUGCAACAUUUAUUUUUGACAAAAAAAAGACUUUAAAUGGCAUUUUGAGCUAGUAUAAGAUAAUCAAGAUGUUUUCAAAGAAAAGAAUGUAGAUAUUCUUUAAAAGUAUCAUACUUAUGAUUUUUCUAUUGAUCUUUAAGAUAGAGCUCAAUCAGCAUUUGGAUCAAUCUAUAGUUCAUUGUAAAAUGAAUUGAUUACAUCCAAAAAAUAAAUUAACAAGAACUUGACUAAAAACUUCAUAUGAAAUUUUAAAUCCCUAUAAAAAGUUGUCAAAGACAUGAAAAUUGAAAAAAUAAAUCCUCAAUAUAUUCUUAUAUUAUUCAAAAAGAUUAAAAAAUCACUCAAAGAUGAUAUAGUAUUAAAUUAGAAUAAUUAUUGCUAAAGAAAAAAAGACGAGUAAGUCUUAAAAGAAGACUUAGGACUAAAAAGGCAUUGACAAAAAUAAAGAAGGCUUCAUUUUUGCUUCCAUAUAUACUCUCUAACUAGGAGCUUUAUAAUAAUAUGCUAUAAAAAUUCCAACAUGUGUUGACUUUAUUAGACACAUGUUUUAACUUACAAGACAAGUUAUUUAUAUGUGUGCCAUAUAAUUAGCUUAUUCCACAAGUUAUCAAUACAUGUACUACUUGGUUAACUUAUUGAUGAAGUUUUUAACCUAUCAAUAAACUACAAAUACAUAUAAAGUCAAAAUCAUAUCUAUGAAGCUUUUAAGAAGCUUAUCUAAAAGAUAUUAUAAAAUUAAUUUAUAUUUAUCUAUUUCUAUUUAAUUAUAUAAAUAAUUAUUAGAAUAAAUAUAUAUAUUUGUGAUAUUAUUCUUUUUUUUAGAAACAAACUCCAUGAUGAGAAAUCAUCAUCUUUCAUGGAUCUUGCAAUUCUUUAUCUUCAUUUUGAUGGAUGUUAUUGAUGAAAAGCCUCAACUUUCUUUGCUACAUUUAGAAGAUUAUUUUUUGGCUUCUAUGUACAUUUACUAAUAUUAUAUCUAUGCUAAUAAAUAAGAUAUUCUAACUUAUCUUGGCAUCGCUUUGAUAUUGUAAGCUUGAAUCUUAUCUUAUUUGUGAAUAAGUCAAUCUUGUUACUUAUUGGUUAUAUCUAUUAGAAGACUAGUCAUAAAGACAAAUAGUCUUGAUAUUGCAACAAAGUAACCAUACCUUAUCACUUACAUUGAAUUAUGGUUGUUCCUUGCAAUAAGCAUUUGUAUUGAUAUUUUGUCAUUCUUAGGCUUCUUUUAAUUUUGUCUUCAUGGUUGCAUAUACCUUUAAGAAACGAUUAGCCAAAUCUUCCAUUAGAAGAUUAUUAACUUUUGAAAAGUUAAAAGUAUCAAGUUGUAGAUGAUAACCAUAAUUGGCAAAACAAUAUAUUUUUUUGAGUAUAAUAAUGUACCAAAUUAUUGUAUACAUUUUUUUUUUGAUACAAGAUAAGAACUUCUAAAAAAGCCAUUUGAUAAAUUCUUUUUAUUUUUUAGGUUGAUAAAUAAAUUUGAAAUCAAAUCUUAAUAAAGAUAUACUUCAAUGGACUAAGCAACAAUUUAAAAGACAUGCUAACAUGAAGUAUUUGAGGUUCUUGUAAUAUAUAUGUGUAUGUAUAUGUAUAUAUAUAUAUAUAUAUAUAUAUAUAUAUGUAUACAUACAAUAACUAUAUAUAAUAACUAGAAUAAAAGUGCCUUCUAGAUAAUGACUUCAUUUUUGAAACAAAUCCAUCAUUGCAAGUAGUUCUUUGUUCUAAAUCUCAUAAUUAAUCUCGGCUAUUGAAAAUUUCUUAGAAUGAAAAGCUAUCAAGUGGAGCUUGUCAUCUACUCCCAUUUAGGACAAAAUAAUACCUAUAGCAAAGUGUAAUGUAUUUUUUUUGAUAAAAAAUGCCUUAGAAAAAUUGACACAAUACAAAAUUGGUAUAGAAAUAAAUAUUAUUUUUAAGGCUUUAGAAGAUACUUUAACUUCUUUAUACCACUAAAGUUUAUCUUUACAUGUCAGAUAUAUAAAAAGAAGUGUAAUUUUAAAAAAAUCAUGAUAAAGUUUUUGUAAUAAUUGACAAAUCUCAUAAAAUAUUGUACAUCUCUGAUUAUUUUUAGAAUAUUCCAAUCUAUAAUAGUUUGAGAUUUCUUUGGAUCCAUCAUUAGUCCUUUGUUGAAAAUGAUGUAUUUUAAGAAGUCAACUUGAGUAGUGUGGAAUACAUAUUUUUCCAUCUUGGCAUACAAUCUUCUAUCUCUAAGUUUUUGUAACACAUAAUGAAUAUGAAAUUCAUAUUUUUUUAUGUUCUUAGAGUAGAUUAGAAUGUCAUCUAAGUAACAAAUAAUAAAAUCAUCAAAAAAUUCACAAAAAACAUCAUUCAUGAAAUAUUAAAAAGUAGUUGAUCCAGUUAUGAGUUCAAAAGGCAUGAUAUUGUAUCUGAAAAGUCUAUACCUAGUUUGGAAAGUAAUAUUCCAUAUAUUUCUUUCUUUGAUGCAGACUAAGUUAUAUGUUUCUUAUAGAUUUAUUUUUAUAUAGAUCUUUGUUUGAUUGACUUGAUCAAGAAGUCUUGAAAUCAAAGGUAGGAGAUACUUAUACUUGAUGGUUAUUUUUUUAAUUUUUGAUAAUCUAGGUAUAUCUAUAAAAAUCUAUAAUUUUUUUUAUAAAUACAAUAGGAACUUAUGUUGGAAAUUUAGAAUGACAUAUGAAGUUCUAGUCAAAUUUUCAUCAAUGUACUUUUUUAGUAUAACCAACUCAUUUUGUGAUAAGGUAUAGAUUGGUCCAAAUAAUAGUUGAAUUCUUUCUUAUAAAUCAAUUGAAUAAUUAUAAGAUUGAUACUUUGGAAGAAUAUCUACAUUUUUCUUUUUAAAAAUGUCCUAAAAAUCUUGAUUUGGCUAGGAAUAUCACUUAAUGUCUUUCUACCAUUAAAAAUAGGCAUGGCAUGUAUAACAAAAGAUGAUCAUUCUUUUGCUUUAGUAAUGAAAGCUUUUGGAUGUAUUAGUAAAAGUUUAGAUGUACAAGACUUAUAUAUUUCUAUUUGGCUAAUAAAAUUUUAGAUCAAACUAUAAGAAAAGUUAAGGUUAUAAAAAAUCUAAUCUAUUUGAGAAUUAUACUUUUUUUAGUAAAAUAAUCUUAAAAUAAUUAGAUUAGAUGGAGAUCUUAUUAUAUUAAAUAUUACUAUACUAUUAUGAUCUUUAAUUACUACAUGUAAAGGAACAUUUUUAUGGAUAACAACUCCAAAAGACAUCAAACAACCAUCUAUGACUUUUAUAUGUAUAGAUUUGAUUUUCUUGAUUAAUGAUAUUUCUUAUUUUUUGACAAAGGCUUCAUUUAUAAAACAAGGUGAGGCUUCUAAAUCAAAUAAGAUUAAGACUUUGUGAUUUUUUGGUCCUAAAUAAACUUCUAUUAUAAAAUUGGGAGAGAGAUUUGAAGAAAGAAUAGGAUCUUUAUUAAGUAUUAUACAAGAUUUCAUCUACAUGGUCUCUAUUGUAACUGAAAAAAUUUAUUUUUUGACACAUUUUUUUCUUUGAGAACCAUUUUUCUUAUUUUGUAAUUGCAUUACUUCUUUGAAGAAUGUUGAGUAGUGUGCUUGGAUUUUUCAUAGUAUAGAUACAAAUUUUUUUAAUGAUGAUGGAUCUUUUCUUCUUCAAUAAGAAGUUUAAAACAUAUUGUAUCAAUUUGCAUAGGCUCUGAUUAAAAUAAAUAAGCUUUUGAAAACUUAAAAGGUUUCGUUAAGGCUUGAGUUGUACUUCUUCAACCAAAUCUUUGUUCUUGGCAUCUUUCAUAGAAUUGAUUGUCACAUACAAUGGAUUGAGCGAUAAAUUACUUUUGUGAAUCUAUCCUUAGCAUUGUCUAUAAUAAAACUUUGAUAUUAUCUUUUAAUUCAUAUCAAAAUGGAUUGAUAAGGGCUUUAUCAUUCUAAUCCACAUUGUACAUAAGAUUUUGGAAUUCAGCACCAUAUAAAAAUGGCCAAACGUGAUUCUUGCCAUAGCAAUAGAAACUUGGUCUUUGCUACCUUUUUUUGAUCACUUUCUCUGAACGUAUUCGUAAAUACUUUUAAGAAUGAAUUUAAAUCAUAGAAUAGUUAUGAAUCUUUUUCUAUCAAAGGUGCAAACCAAAAGAAAGUAAUUCUUAAUAGAAGUGCAUCUAUGAAUCAUACUUGAAUAAAUCCAUUAGUAUAUUCCAAAGGAUGCAACCUUAAAAAGAGCUUAAUUUGUUGUAGAAAUCCUUAAAAAUUUUGAUCUUAUUCCAUCAAACUUGUCAAGUAUACUAAUCCUUACUUUUCUUGUAGAAACAAGACUUCCUGAAUUCAUUUGUGAGGUUGAUCUACUUACUUUAUUUAACUAUAUAAGUUCUUCAUAUAGACUUUGGAUUUCUACCAUAUGUAUAAGAAUAAUAUUUCUAUGAUUUAUACUAAAAAUAUAUGAGAUUUCUACUCUUAGACUGUUAAAAAAGUCAUGAAGAUUUGUAAUAGUUAUAAAUCUAUUUUCACUUUUAAUGAGAGUAGCAUCUAUUAUCUUUUCUUCUAUACACAACUCAAAAAAAUUUAAAAAGUUAAGUUAGAGGAAGAUAAUCUAUAACUUCUAAUAUCAAAUGAAAAUUUCUACAAAGAAGGAUAAUCCACUCUCAUUAAACAAAAUAUAAAUGUUAAAAAAUCAAACUAUUUAUUUAAAUAUAGGUAAUCUGUAACCUUUAAAAUACAACAAUAAAAGUAAGUAAUCUACUCACUUCUAAAACAAGACAAGAACAAUAAAUUAAUACUCUAAUAAAACUAUCAAGGAUACAAAUCUUAAAAAAAAAAAAAAUCUUCAAUACACUGUUAUGGCAUCCAAAAAGCUAAAGUCACUUAAAGAUAAUAUAAUAUUAAACUAGAAUGGCUAUUGCCAAAAACAAGAAGACUAAAAAGAUAUUGACGAAAGUGAAAAAGGCUUUAUUCUUACCUCAAUAUAUAUACUUUCUAACUAGGAGUUAUAUUGCAAUAUGAUAUAAGACCUCCAACAUGUGUUGACUUUGCUAAACAUAUGACCUAACUUACAAAAAAAGUUAUCUAUAUGUGCACCACAUUAUUAGCUUGUUUUACAAGCUACCAUCAUAUGUGGUUCAUGGUUAAUUUGUUGACCAAGUUUCUAACCUAUUAAUCAAUUACAAAUACAUGUAAAGUCAAAAUUGAAUCUAUGAAGCUUCUAAGAAGCUUAUCUAAAAAAUACUAUAAAAUUAAUCUACAUUUACCUACUUCUACUUAAUCAUAUAAAUAACUAUUGAAAUAAAUGUGUAUGUCUAUGAUAAGAGCUUUUGUCUUAUUUAUAAAGAAAAAAGACAAAUCUUUGUGAAUAUGCCUAGACUAUUGAAGAUUCAACAAGAUCACCAUCAAGAAUAAAUAUCUUCUACCUUGAUUUUAAAACUUAUUGAUCAACUCAAUUAAAGAAUAUUUAUAUCAUACUUGUUUAUAUAAGGAAGGUAAAUUUGUGUUACUUCAAAUUCACACCAAAAAUCACAUGAUAUUACACAACAUGCAUUAUCCCAUCUUUUGCUUCAGCCUGUCCUCCAACCACCAAAGUCGUCCAGAUCUUUAUAAAAAUUAUAAAAUGUCUUUCGCCUACUGCUUUGCUUCUAUGCCGCCUUUCCCUCUCUCACUUUGCUGCUGAAGAUUAGCUCCGCCCUCUCCCCCGAUUCUCAGCCUGUCUUGAGCAAAAUCCUUGGACUAUUGUUGUAUAAGAAGCUAAAAAUUCCGGGGUGUACCAUGUCGUAGUUGACAAGUGAGAACCUGAAAUCCUGGACGCUCCGUGCUACGAUCUAUGUGCCCUGAACCUCGCUCUUUUGUCAGAUUAUGAUUUUUGGCUUCUGAGUUUUUUUUUACCCAUCAUUGAGGCGUAGACUUAACAUUUCAAGAGUUUCUCUGAUCCAGCAAUCACAGAACAACGAAGUAUUACAUCUUCAGAUUCCAGUUCCAGGGAUGAUAGAAUUAUUAAGAUUUGUUGUUUUUAAAUGAAAGAGGUGAAAUGGUGGUUUGUAUUGUUUCGCUGUUUGGGGCCAUUAGCCACAUCUGAGCACUGUUUAAUUUGUUGGUCAGUCAUUGUUUUUAAAGGCGAUUUUGAAAUGUUUGUACAAUGGGUUUGUAGGGCGUUAAGAUUUUGAAUUAGAGCCGGAGCUACCGUCGAGGAAUCGUUACAAAAGCCUUCUCGGCGUUGGCUUUGCUACGUGGAUAUGGUUGGUACCGAAUGCCUGGGUUUCCCUUUGAUGGGUAGAAACUUAAACUGGCAUUGAUUGUUGCGAAGACUUCCCUCUCAGAAUUCAUUUUUUGUUUCUAGCAUAGUGUGGGGCUGUGGAGUGCUUGGUAGCUUCUGAUUUUUGUGUUUGUUUGAGGCAAAUUUACCGCACAACGGCUCUCAAGGAACAAGACCGGACAAGGUGAGAGUCGGGGGACAGGCAUUAUUCUCCUACACACGGUAGGUGGCUUCAGAAGUGAUGCAUGUGUUUCCGUUAAUAAAUUUCGAGAUGGGACUCAUUAAUGUGAGGCUGUUCAUGGUUGUAGGUGCAGUUAACGAUUGAAGCACAUACCGCUUGUUCUCAAUCUCGGCUUCUAAGGUCUUCCUGCUGGCUCCAUUCCAAGUGUUGCUGUCAAUACGGCUCUUAAAUCCCACUGCAAUGAAAGUUGAAAAAAAGGUAAAAAAGUAGAUUUCAGAUGAUGCUUGUGUCCACUGCUUCCACCUCCACACAAUCUGAUUGCGUCUUGUCAAACGUAACGUUCACGUACUUAUGUUUUGGAUAGAGCUUUGAGAUACACUGCAUAUGUCAAUAGGUAAAACUUCUUAUGUGAAAUUCGGCCACAUUCAAUGCAAAACAACAACUCCCUUGUUUUGCAGAAAGUACAAACAACACUGAUACCAACCUUAAUCAAACUCAACUAACAUCAGCAUGAAAUAAUUUGUCAUGCAGUGUAGUUCAAUACAGUUUAUGUCGGGCAAAUAUGGAAAAAGAAUCUACGAACACCCUUCCAUGGAAACCCAUUCACAUCGUCAACCUCAACCCACCUUCAGGGCGUCAAAUUUCCCAGAGGAGUCUCGAACCCAUCAAGCUUGCAGUGCCGACAGUCCUGACAUUCGACGACGACCACCACCACCACUCUCCGAGGUCUCGUUCCUUGAAAGACUUCGUGCGGUAAAUCUGCCUCAAACAAACACGAAAAUCAGAAGCUACCAAGCACUUCACAGCCAUUGUAAAUUCUUGUUCUCCAUGUACAAAAACAACAUGUGUUAGGCUCCACGUAGCAAAGCCAAAGUCGAGAAGGCUUCCAUAACGAUUCCGUACCAUGGAUAUUUAAAUAAAAUGACAAACACUGUUGAAUACAAAAGAGAAAAACACAAGCUGCCAGAGUUCGGCGUCGACACGCACUGUAGCUCCCAGUCUUCGGUAUCACCAGGAGGUGGAGGUUCGUAACAGUGAGGCAACAUUCAUACUCUACAACAUUGGUUAUUGUAAUGGAGCGAAGUCUGACGAUAUUUUGUACAUUGCUGCAUACCAACUCAGAAACCUGACGUUAACAUGCAAAAGUGAGUAAUACUUUGACGCACAUACAAAAGCGUGUGGCAAGAGUUGAGACCUCACAUAUCGAGCCCUUUUGAUUCGCUUUGCACCCUAAAUCAAGUCAACAAAGCCUUCGAAGCAACAUCACACAGCAAGCAUGCAACAACAUCGAAGAAGGGAUAAAGGAUGCAACGCUCAUCGCAUCGGACCGGCCACAAACGAUCUCCCAAACGUGUGCUACCUAAAAGUUCGGCCCGAGCAAUACAUGAAAUUAGUAUCAUUUAUCAAGCACAUUGCAAACAUUAAAAAUGUGCACAGACAGCUCCGCAACACAAUAAUAUUAUCCAUUCACCUUGUACCUAUCACUUACAGAAGCUCCCGCCGAACAGAAGAGCCACAGAGAGCACUCCAGAUCACAACUGAAGAGACGAAAAUGGAUUAUAUAAUAGAUAUAGACUAACGAACAGAGAUUGAUGCACAUACCCAAACAUACCCGCGAAGUCUGCGACUAUGAUAUAACCGGGUAUUAGAAGCGGAUUAUCCUCGGGAUCAGAUACCCGUAUGCGCACCGAUGCCCUAGAAGGGAGGUACCUCGGGGCUGGACGUCGACGAGUGUGUCGUUGUGGCAGCGACGAGGAGAAGCGCGGCGAUGAUUCCACUGCGUUGUUGAGCUCACGUUUCGAAGGUCUGUUUGUCCUCGUUUCGAUUUCUCGUGGGGGACCUCGUGACGCUUCCCCCUCCCGUCGCGUUUCGUCAUUCUCAUUGCCCCGUCGCGUUGGAGCCUCUCACCCCCUUUUUGCUCCCACCUCUGGUUAGGGUUUAAGUGAUCACUCUUCCCAGCUGCUGUUGCUGUUUAGCGCUCUGCUCAUCCAUUUCGGGUAAGGACAUUGUCUUUGUAAAUUAGGAGUGUCUUUGUUUGGGUUUGUUUGAGCUCGGUGGUUCCACGUGGAGAAGGGUCGUUGUGUGGUGUGAUUCGUUGGCGUUUUCGGGGUCUGAGUGCGGUAGGACGAGAGAUUCGUGUCGAUGGUUGUUUGAUUUGGCUUUUGACGGUGAGAGAAUCGGCCUUUCAAUUGUCGAAUCUGAAGUUGGGAGCGUGGAUUUCGGGUUUGAAGGGAGAUUUCAGUUUGACGACUUCAUGGGUUCGGGGGUAUGGUUUUCGGCUGGCGAUCUGAGUCAAUCAGCCGCUCUUGAGUCCCUUUUCCUACUGAGCGUGAUCUUUGUGGCGGUGAUGAUCUCUUGAAGAGUGAAUCGUGGAGGAGAUCCUUAGAGGGUGUUUGUUCCCCGUCCUCUCUCCUGCAUCUUGGCAUAUUAGUGUAGUUUCAAUACUGGUUGUUGAGAGUCUAUUGUGUGCUUUUUUGACGGGAUCGCUUCCCGGAUUUUGCAUGCAGUUUAGUUUUUACAAGGACUUUUGCAGAAAGAAAAAAAUGAACGAGUCACAAGAAAUUUAAGAUUGUAAUGAAUUCGACACUUGCAAAUCUUUGGUUCUAAAUUCUGAAACCCUACUUCAUUGGCCUCCCGACGGAAAGCUUGCCGUCCUCUAUUUUCUGUGACGCCUUCAAAUUUCUCAGUCUACUUAAAGACAAUGAUUGCUUGUUAGAGGAAGAUACAGGAAAGUGUGUGUUUCCUGAACGCUAGUACUUAAUUUUCUUCGGAACCCGUCAUCUGAUUCAGCUCAUCAUAGUAUAAACCAAAACUAUACCUGCUGAUUCCAUCGCACUAUCUCGCGAAGACUGGAAGUCUUUUUUCGAAUUCAUCAAUUUUAGAAUUUUGCCUUGUGCACAUAUGUAUUGCCUCCAGUUUUCCAUUACUGCCUAUUCUGAUUGUCGAAAGCGUAGACUGUUUUGCCUGAAUAGAAGUGGGAAUGUGGGUUUUAUGGAUGAACUAUUUUUGUGUAGCUUUUGAGGGAAGUUUCUUGUGGUUUAUGGUUUUUUUGCUGACCUAAUUUUUCUAUACUUAUCAAUGAGUAUUCUCUUGUAUUACUUUAUCUUGCUCUACUGGCAAUAUUUUCCUUUUUAUACAGGAAAGUUAAAGCGGGCCUUGAAGUGUAGUAUGCAGACGUAGUGCAUGAACCACUUCGAUACUCAACAAGUUUUGCAAAGUUUGUUCAUUGUUUGAUCGUGUGAACUUUACAGUAAUCUCAGGUCAGGCCUGAGAGUAUAAUUCGUUCAACUUGAGCAAACAUGGAGAGGAGAUUUCGUGCAUGUUCAAGUUGAAAAGGUUCCGAGCUGGUCAAGGUGGAUUCAAGCUGGUGAGUCUGUUCUUUUCCAAUGGCGGAGAAAAUUUCGCCAGGAUCGCAUCAGGGGUACUGGGGUCCAAUCACUGCGAGCACGGAGUGGUGUGAAAAGAAUUAUGAGGUCACUCCGAUGGUGGCUGAAUUUUACAAUACUAUAUCCAAUGUCCCCGGUAUCAUUCUUGCACUGAUAGGUCUAUAUUACGCCAUCAGCCAGAAAUUCGAAAGACGGUUCAGCGUUCUUCAUCUGUCGACUAUUGCGCUGAGCAUUGGCAGCAGUCUUUUUCAUGCCACACUUAAAUAUGCGUAAGAUCUUACAUCUUGCUGUUUAGCAGUUUUUAACCCUCUACUACUCGUCCAUAAACGUCGAUCUUGUGAAUCUGGAUAAGAAGGGCUAAUGUCUUGGCUUCAAAAUUAUUUCAAUGUCACACUUACGAGCGUAUUGCCUGACCAGUUCCUUUAUUGUUUGCAUGUGCGACUCUUGCGAGCAGUCAACAGCAAAGUGAUGAGACUCCUAUGGUAUGGGUGAUGCUUCUCUACAUCUACGUGCUCUACUCUCCAGAUUGGCAUUAUCGGAGUACAAUGCCUACUGUCCUGUUCCUGUACGGAACUGUUUUUGCCAUUCUGCACUCGCAGUUUAGGUUUGUUGUGGGAUUCCAACUGCAUUUCGUCUUGUUGGCCCUGCUUUGUCUACCGAGGAUGUAUAAAUACUACAUCCACACCACAGAUCCAGCAGUGAGGAAACUGGCUCGUAAGUAUGUCUUGUUUCUUGUUAUGGGUGCAAUAUGCUGGCUGGUAGACCGGCACUUGUGCAAUCAGGUAUCCAAGCUCCGGAUAAACCCUCAAGGCCAUGCUUUGUGGCAUGUGUUCAUGGGAUACAUCUCUUAUCUCGGCAACACAUUUUUACAGUAUUGCCGAGCUGAGCAACUCAAUUGGAACCCGAAGGUUGAGCAUGUGUUGGGAGUUUUGCCUUACGUGAAGGUGCAGAAGAGCGAUCGUGAUCGGAAGGAGCAAUAGGACCAAGUAUGACCAACGUGCAUUAUGCAUGUUUUUGUGCUAAGCCAUCGUAGGCGCAUGGUUGGUCAACAAUACAGUUAUUAGAUGGUAACGUAUGAAAGUCAACCUUUGUAAUGUAUCGUCUGUUUCCUUUCUUGGUCUUAAUUCCUGUUUUGUAAAGAGCGGUUAUUGGAAAAGAUCUUUCCUUCCUGGUUUGUGAGCCAGGCCCGGCCAUGAAAAUCUGUAUUACAAUGAAACUUUUCAAAAGAGCGUACAAAAUGACCUUUCUCGUUCCUUUGGACUUCACAGGUUUCUCUGCUAGUAUUAGGAUUUAUGGAGCUGCCAUGACACGUAGUCUAAAGUAUUGGCUCACUCGUACUCUGUACAUGAGCACCGUUCUUGUUCAAUUAGGUGUAUCAUGUCGUCAGAUUCAUUCAACCUUGAACAGGUGAUACAAUCAAUUUCUUUGCAAAAUAUGACCAAUUGGGUGUCGAUUAUGAACUGACUCCUGUCUCGAGAUUGAUAUUUAGCUUGAUUGAUACUCUAAUAGAAUUUGACAUGAAUUUGAUAGCUUUUUAACAAAAUUGAUUUCAAGUCUGGCACCUUAUCAGUAGAGUGAAUACCAUGUGUUGAUGAAUUGGAGUUGUAGUCUUAAAUUAGGCAAAUGAAAAAAAGAAAGAUAAAACAUGUGGUUGUUGAAUACAAUUCAUGUGUAAAUUGUUUAGGACAAAAUUUGAUUUGUUAUAGCCACUAGUUGCUUGAGUUUGACUUAUCUGUGGUUGAGUUUAUAAAUUGAUCAUAUACAGUUGGUAUAAUUUCAUAUAAUACAAUUUAACAUUGUACAGAAAAGAAAAAAGAUUAUUUUGUCAAUUUGAUUUUUUGGAAGUAUUCCAAAAUUUCCUAUUCAUUUGAUCUUUUUUCACUCUAAAUGAGACAACAUUGUGUUCAUCUAAAUUACUAUUAAAAGAAGUGAUACAUAAUUUUUCAUCAAAUCAAUUGAAUAAAUCAUUUUUUAUUUUUAAUUUAAAGUUGUACCUUUACACUAUGUAGACUAUUCAAAACAUAAAAUUUACAACACUGGAUUAAGUAAAACACAUUGAGUAAAUUAACUAAUUGUAUUUGUAAGUUAAGUGAAACUUUUGAGUUUGCUUGUCUAGGUUAAGAUGAUGAUGUAUAGCUAUGAGAAUGUAUGCUUGUAAGGACCUAUACUUAUUGGACACAUGAAUUAUGAAUGUUAGUUGACUUUGGAUGCAAAGCAUUCUAAAAGAUAAGGAUAUUUGGAACUUAGAUAAGCCACUACUAAAUGAAGGUUGCUCACAUGAAGUGGUAGGAUGAACGACUAGAGCCAAUUAGACCCCUAUUCAUGGUUGAGAAGCAAAUCAACAAAGAAUUAAAACAUCCAAAGCAAUAACUUAACUUUUAUUUAUUCUUGACUGCUUCUAGAACAUCAUUGACAUCCAAGACAAUGCUUUGAAGCUCUUGAGCACACUCUUUCAAAAUAAUACUAUUUCAAAUACAAUAAUAAUACCAAGUAAAUGAAAAUAUUUUUAAACAACAAAGCAAUAAGAUGUGUCUACUUUCAUACAACACAUAAACAUCAUGAUUUGUAAUCUAAGAUACCUUAAGUAAUCUCAAAGAAAUAAGAUAAUUAUUUAUCAAAUCUUGGUUUUUAAAACCAAUUAAUAGACGCUUCUUACUGCCAUGCACCUCUACACUUAUAUAAUAACACUCUUGAUUAUAUUAAAAAGGUUUAGAAUAAAUUUAUUGUAAAAAAAUUUCUAAAUGAAAUUUAUACGUUUUUUUAGAGUGCAUAAAAGAAUUAUGUGAAAUAUAUUAUCAUGUUAUUGAUGUUACAUUUCUUGAUUUUGCAAUCUUUAUGCCAAUGUUCAAAUUUCUAUUAUAUUUGAUAAGGAUAAUCUAAGCUAUAAUAUAAGGUUGUUAUAGAAGAAUCAUAUAAUAUGAGUUGUGAUAUUAAUUGACAUAGUUGGAGAGCUCUUUAUUUAUAACAAUGUGAUCCUACUUCUAAUGUACUAAGUGCCUUUUGUUAUUUCUUUUUAUUUAUAAGACAAAGAAAUAAGACAAGUGACAUUGAAACAACUAUUUAUAUACAUAAUAAAAUAAAAUAAUGCUACUAAUAAAUAGAUAAAUAAAAAUUAAAAUAAAAAUUAAAGAAUGAAGUUAAAGAUGUAACAAAUAGUUCUUUUAUCCUAAGAAAAAUCAUCAAAUAAGCCAAUAAUGGUACUACACAUCUCUUGUCACUUUUUUUGUAGAAGGAAUUUCAUCCUUUGAUAUUAUUUUCUUUUUCUUUUCCUAUGACAAGUCCUUUUUAACAAGAUGAAAAAACACAUUUUGGCAAUGUUAGAUUUUUAAAAAUUGCUCCAAAGAUAUUCUUCGAUAAAUAAAUAAAAAGUAAAAACACUAAACUCAUUUAUAUUACUUAAAUAGUGUUUUAUUAAUGCCAUUUUAAAUAUUUUAAAAAAAUAUUUUUGUGUGAUUUAUGAUUAUAGAUUAUUUGAAUUGUAAUAUAAGACUAUGUUAUAAAUUAUUGUACAUUACUAAUUUGUUUUAAUAUUUUAUUCUUGCAACAAAGAGGUUUUGAUGAUAACAUAUAUAUAUAUAUAUAUAUAUAUAUUUCAUGAUAUGUCUUAAAAAUACUUUUAAAUAUUGAUUAAUUCUAAUAAUGUUGUUCACAUCCAAAUAAUUUUAUCUUUAAACAAAAAUAUUUUAUUUUUAUGCUACCCUACACUUGCAAUAAUGCUACCCAACUCUUUGGAUCUAGCUCUCGCCAAUUAGAAGAUGCGUCUAUUAGAAGAUCAAACAAAAAUCGACAGGCCUUCCAAAAUGAGCAUGUCGGAGAUUGUUGCUGAUUUUACCUCACGUUUCUCCAGAUUCCUCGAUGCACUUGUGUUGCAGCAUUUGGGUGCAGGGAGCACGUGAUGAGCUUGCAAUGGUUGGCUUGAAUUAAGACUGUAACAAAAUUUUGAACUUUUAUCAGCUACAAAAACUACAUCUUGCUGUACAAAUUAUGCGCAAACAGUUCUCAGAGAAUUCGGGCCUAUAAACAACUUUGCAAUGGAACUCCAAACGGCAGCAAGGAAGCGGCGGCUUGGAAGCUAGGUUUGUUGGAUAUUGCAAUCAGCAUUCUCCAUUCAAAAUCAGGCUUCAUUGAGAGUUUGUCAUGUCCAGUGAAACCUGAAACUGGCUGGGAAUACCGAACAACUUGUCACCGCCAAAUCCACUUCAUUCGACUGCUGCAACACAUCUCAUUUCAUAAUCCUUUUGAUCGUUUCAGUAUCUCAUUUCAUGGCCAAUGAAUAGAUACCAUUCUAGUAUGCAACCAGGACCACUCAACACAAUCUUACAACUCAUCACAACUGUUCGAAUUUGUGUUCAGAAGGAUAUCUUGUAACCGUGUUCUGAAAUCUCAACCAAUCGAGUCCGUAACACUGUAACUCAUGGUGAAGCUCUUUGACAAUAUGGGGAGAUGCCUAGCACUCAGUUACUUGUAACUGGAAAAAAACACAAUGUCGCAAGUGCAGUUAUCAUGUUCCGCACUCAACUAGGUGCAGAAUCCAGAGGCCGGAAUGCUGUGCAUAUUUACCUUACACGUGAUAGCAUCAAUUUGAAAAAAGCUUGCUCCUCCUAUCAACGCUUCAGGAACUAGCAACAACCAGAACUACCUCGCAGAUGUACUCUGCAAACUCUUCUUCAAAAGGGGUUUUUGUCUUGGCUAGUCUGGGAAGCUUUUUAAGCUUUCUUAACUUGGACGUCACCACUGAAGCUCUCACCACACACAACCCCACAUCAUAGUUGGUUGCUUUGCAAUAACGUCUUUGUCCUCUUGUUCACUCAAAUUGCUUUAACGUUGAUGGUAUCCAGUAUUUUGAUCCAUGUCAGUGGACAUAAGAAAGUUGUUGAUCUUGUCAUGUUUUAGAGGUCACUAAAAUGUGCAUAUCAAUAAGGAAGAGUCAUCUAAACAAUCUCAAAGUAGUUAUUUGACAUUUAUGACAUUUUUAUUAUAAUUUUUUCAUGGUUGUUUGAUUAUUCAAAGUAUGAGUUUUAUUAUUAUUAUUAUUAUUACACUUCAACUUUGUAUGUAUCAAUUAUGAUUUAGAUUAAAAGAUCCAUAUUCAUUAACUAAGUAACAACAAUUUGGAAGAAUCAAACCAAUAUGGAGGUUUAAACCAAUAGAUUCCAAACAAUAGAAGGUUAAUUAAAUAUACUUAGUUAAAUAUACUUAGUUAAAUAUACUUGAUCCAUUUAAAAACUAAUUUGAUGAGAUUAGAUCAUAGAAGGCAUGUCAAAAAUAUUUCACCAAUAUAAGAACAAGACAUUUUAAAGUUUGGAUUAUAAUAUAUUAAAUUAAGAGAAUAAAUAGCAAGAAAUAAUAAAAAUAAUAAUUCUUAGUAAUAAAUUAGAGUAGUAGAAAUAAUCACUAAGAAUAAUAGUUAUUAAUAGUACCAUUAUUUUUAUUAUUAUUAUUUGAUUUAUGAUUUUAUUUGAAUUGAUUGAAUCAUUGUUUAGAAAUUAAAAUAUAUCAUGAAUAUAAUGUGAAAAAUCAACCAAUACAUGUGUAUAAUUUUUUAUUUAUUUUUAUUUUGUACUAGCUAAAUUUUUGCUAUUAUUAUAAAAUCUUAAAAAUCUAAUUUGUUGGAAGGCAUAUCUUGUACCUAAGUCCUAGCCACUACUCUUUGCUAGUAUAAUUGAACGUCAUUCAUGUAUAUAACAUCAUAGGAUCCCACAUCAAUUCUAUACUAUGGAGCACAAAAAAAUAGCUAACUAAGCAUAACAAAUAAAACUAUAAUAAACUAUUUUUUUUGCAAAAAAUUAGAUAUUGUUAAGAAAAUCUUAAUGUUUUCAUUUAAAAUUAUACUUAUGAAACUAUGCCUUUAAUGUAAUAUCUCAUGCAAUGGUUUAAAAAGGAAUCCAAGAUAAUAUGUUUUUAAUCAUUUAUAAGCUACUUAAUACAAUAAAUUGUCAAAAUAUACUUGCUAUAAACUCUUAGUGGAUAGAAAUAAAAAAAAUAAUAAAUAAAUAAAAGACAAAAAGAUCUAAAAUAUUUUUAAAAUAUCUUGUGGAUAAAAUAAAAUAAUUUUAUGUAAAAAAAUAAUUAUUAUUUAAAAAUUUCCAUUAAUUCUUUUGAAACAUGGAAGAUUGGUAGAAUUUAUGAUUGAAUUCUAAAAAUGCAUGCUUAAGCCAUAGUAGCCCAUUAUUGAAUCUGUGUAGAGUAGCUACAAAUAAUCAUUGAAUUGAACAAAUAUCUCUUUGGAGGUGAAAAUCUUAAACAUUAAGAUCUAUCUCUAGUCCAUAUUACAACCAAUCACUAACAUGAAGCACAUAUAUAUACACAUAUAUAUAUAUAUAUAUAUAUAUAUAUAUAUAUAUAUAUAUAUAAUACCUUACUUCAUUGAUAAUUAGGUGUAAAAUUUAAGCCAUUAGAGGUUCUAUAGUUCUAGUAUGCAAGCUAACUAAUUGAUGUUUGUUUGUUUGUUUGUUUUUUUUUUUAAUUUUUUAGUAUAAUAUAUAUAUAUAUAUAUAUAUAUAUAUAUAUAUAUAUUACCUCUAUUGCAUUAACUUUUUAUAAUCUUUAAUUAAAAUUUUUUAAGUUAUUAAAAAAAAGAUAUAAUAAUUUAAGAAUAUACAUCAAUAAAUCACUUACUUUAAUGUUAGAAGAAAACUAUAUCAAACAAAUUUUGACUUAGAUAAAUAAGAACAUAUUAUUAAUUUAAAAAUAAAAUAAAAUCUGCAAUUAAAAAGCUAAAUAAAUUAAAGAGUUCUACUUUAAUCCAUAGAAUAUUGCAUAUAAUGUAAAUACCUAUGUUCUUCCUAUUAUGUUAAAAAUCAUUUUUGUAUGUAGCGUCUUCAAAUCAUAAUCUUUUAGCUUAAAGAUACUCUCUAUCCUUAUAAUAUUACUUUGAAUGAUUACAUUUGCAUCCAUAGAAACUACAAUUUUGAUAAAGCUUAAUAAUAACAUUAUUGCUUUCAUCUUUUUUUUACAUGAGAAGAGAGAAAGGUUUCAAGGUGAUUGAUAUUUUAUAGUAUUUAUAUCCGUGAAUUGAUGUGUAUAACAAUUAUUUUUUCUGCAAUUGUAUUGAAUAAGCCUAUUAUUAUGGUAUCAAUCUUAUUAUCAAAAUCAAAAAUUUAAACUUCUCUAAAAAAAGAGGGCCUACCAUUACAUGCUUUAUUUUCUUGAGAUUCAAACAGUUGAAAAAUACAUGAUAUCCCUCAACCAACUCUUAAAAUGAAAUUUAUGUUCAUUGAGCUUUAAGUUUAUAAAACUCAUUUGUUACAAAAAAAGAAUUCUUUGACUUGAAGAGAUUCCAACUAUUGUAGUAGCUUCUAUUGACAGGUAUCAAAAAGAUUAUAAUCUAUGUAGAUUAGAAAAAAAAAGUGCUGCCAUAUACCACAUCAAACCAAGCCAUAACAUACAAUCUUUCCUUCAAGUCAACAUAAAAUAUUAUCAACCAAUCCAUCAGUUUGUAAAAAAAAUUGUAAAAAUAAAUGACUCAAAAAUUUAUUAUAAACUUAUGAAUAUCUAUUGUACAUGAUUGUGCUUUGAAAUUAUAUUUUUUUUAAUUAAUGCCUAAUAAUCUCAACCUUUUCAUUUUUUAAGUUCAUGGCUGCUACCAUCUCAUUAUGAUUUUCACUAUAGAAAUAAAUCUAAUUUUUUUGUAUGCAAUGUCAUUUGUAUUCAUUCUUAAUUUAUAACAUCAAUGACAUAGCAUGUGCUUGCUUUUGGGAUCAAAUCUAAUUACUUUCAAUUCAAAAUUUUCUAUUUUUGAAUGUCUUCAAGAAUUCAAAUCCAAAUCUUACAUGUAAGAUACUUCCUGAUUCUUUAUAUGCAAUAUGUCUUGACUAUGUAGAUUAUAUUUGAAGAUUCAAAACUUUGCAUCCACAACUUACCACUUUUUUUCUUAUUUACAUAUUUGAUGAGAGUAUUAUGUAGAAACAUAGAUAUGAUAAAUAUGAUAAUUAUUAGCACAAAGAAGAAACUAUUUACAAUGUCAUUAAAUUAGUAUAUAAAAUGGAAUAAUAAGAUGAGUACUAAAUAAAUUAGAAUAAAUAAAGCAAGUUUAAAGUAUACAAUGAAUUUUACUUAAAAAUUUAUUUUUAAAAUAUAUCCAUUAAAUUUUAAUAUUGAUAGGAUCAUAUCUAAUACACACUAUGAAUUCUCUAAAGUACUUAAAUAUAAAGAGGCCAAAGAAGAUGGAAACAUCAAUUAUGAAGAUGUCUCAAGUCAUAUUUAUGUUUAAAAAUUAUAAUUGUAAGAUUCCAAUUUCAACUAUAAUAAAUAUAUAUAUAUAUAUAUAUAUAUAUAUAUAUAUAUCAAUGAAUAUUGCAUCAUGUAAUACAAUGAGUUUGAAUAGAAGAGAAUCUAACACUAGUAGCUUUUAUGGCUUUAGCUUUGUAUCAAGCUAUCAAAAAAGAUGCAUUGAAAAAUAUGAACCAUAAUGCCUAUAAUAGAUAUAUAAUACUUACCAACCAUUCUAAAAGUGACAUACAAAAUGGCAACAACUAUUGGUUGAGGAAUUGAUACAAUGAUACCUCCAAAUUUACUUAGAUAUAUUAAGAAGUUUAAUUAAAGUAUUUAUAAAAAUUAAGAAAUAGCCAAAUUGGUAUAAUUUUGCAUAAGGAUAUUGAAUAUACGAUAAAAUUUGAUUCUUGUAAAGCAAAAUGAAGUGAAAUAAUAUAAUUAUAAAUUUUAAUUUGAAUAAGCAAUCAAUACUUUUGUAACUAAGGAAAAUAUUACAUAUUUAGUUCAGAUUAAUAUGUAGUUAAUUACAUUAAGCAUGCUCACUAGGUCAAACCAUUCCUAAUAUAUAUGUAUUCAAUUUUGAUCUUGUCAAUCCAAUCUUCUUUAAGUAAAAUUCUUUUCAAUUUUUUUUUUCAAAUGUUGAAAUCUUCUAUAAUUUGGUGCUUGUGAUUUUGCAAAAUGCUAGAUAUUAUAGGUACCUUACUCAUUUUAAAUACUUAUACACCAAACAUUAAAACCACCAACAAUCUUGUAGUCUAUAAAUUGUAUCAAAAAUAAUCUACAAACAUCAUUUAGAAUAAGUUGUACAAAUAUUAAUUAGAACAACAAUUUUCUCACGUAUUCAAAUGAUCAAAUUUUGCUAGUAGAUAUAGAGUGAAUUUUAGAAAGAAUAUUGACAUCUUAAAAAAAGAAAAAAUACUAAUAUCCUAAAGUAUAUUACAAACAUAGAAGAAACUUGCACAAUAUAGAAUUAGAUAUAAUGCUUUGUAAAUGAAAAAUAUUUCUAUAAAACUUUGUUAAUAGAAUUAUCUAUGUAAUUAAAUUAAUAUGAUAUUUUAUAAAGUAUAAAUAUAAAUCAAAUAUUACACAAAGUAGUUGGUGGAUUUUUGCUUAUUUUAAUUUAUGUUGAGGUCCUCUAAAUUCUAGUUUUAAUUUAUUUUUUUGAUAAAAACAAUUAAGCAUAUAAUAAAUCAAAAAUUUAUUUUGUCUUGAAGAAAAAUAUUUUUAUAUGGAUACUAGACUCGAUUUGCAAUAUUCUAGGUGAAAUUUGAGAGCAAUUCAACUGUUCAAGAAGGAGAUAUUGGUACUGAAAGUUCAACAUUGAGAUUGGAGUAGGAGGUUGCUUAACACCUGAUUAGUUUAUCUUACUUUUCUCUUAAUUGGUAAGUGAAAUUAAUUUCAUUUUUUUUAUACUUAUUUUUAACUAAGAUAUUAUGAAAUAUACAAAUUUCAAGUUAAUAUCAAUAAUCUAAUUAUUAGUUGUUGAGGUUCCAAUUUGCUAUAGGAUUUGGUUUACGAUUUGUCUACGAUUUGAUUAGGAUUAUGAUUUUCUUAGAAUUUUGUUUAGAACUUAUCUAGGAUUUAGGAUUUCAUUAGGAUUUAGUUAAAAUUAAAUUAGGAUUUCAAUUAGAAUCAACAUAAGAUUUGACUUUGGAUUUGGUUAAGAUUCAAUUAGAAUUUUAAUUAAGAUAAUAUUAAGAUUUUUAUUUUUGGUAUUUCUUUAGAAUUCUUUAUUUUUUCUUUAAAAAUUUCUAUUUCUAAUAUUUUUUAAAGAUUUAUUUUUUUAUUUUUAAUUAUUUUUUAUUAUUUUUUUUUAGGAUUUAUUUGGAACUUCUUUGUGUUUCUUUUAUGACGUCCUUCAAAUUUAUUUUGGAUUAAUCAAAAUUUUAUUACGAUUAUUAAGGUCUACUUAAGGUUAUUUAAGCUUCUAUUAGACUUAAUAGGAUUGUUCUUGCAUUUCUACUUAUCUUCAACAGCUAAAUAUUUCUGAUGCAUUCUUAAACAAAAUCAUAUGUAAUACAAUAUAUUUGAUGAAUUCCACAUGAAAAGCUUGAGGUAGAAGGUGUUUGGAAUUUCUUUUGGUUUAUUUGAAUUAUAGAGAAAGAAGGCAAGAAAAUAGAAAGAAAGGCUUUUGAUAGAACUUCAAGUGGAGUUGGAAACAAGGCUAUAAGUAGAAGAUAAGGUAUGUACUUUGAUUCCAACUUUGCAAGCUUGUUUGAGACUUUUGUCUUAUUCAUGCAACAAUAAUAUAUUAAAUAUUAUAAAGCUAUAGCAAAUAAAGUAUUACAAGUGGUUUUUUGACAAGAUUGAUUAAUUCAAAGAAAAAAAUAUUAUAAAAUAUUUAAGGUAUUAGAAUUAGUUUUAAAUGGUUCAAUUAUUUGAAUUGGAUAUUGUACCAAAUAUAAGAAAUCAAUUAAAGUCUAUUAUAGGAUAUUUUGGAGGUUCAAAGGAGAAAUUUUUACAAAUAUUGAAGGAUUAGUUUUUCUUAAAAGAUAGUAAUUGGAUUAAAAAAAAGUCAUUUUUUGAAUGGAUUGAAAGAACUAAAAAGGAUCUUUUAGGAAAAAAAUUAUUAAAGAAGUUUAAAAAAUAAUAUUCUUAUUUAUAGAAAAAAGGUAAUUAUUAGAUUGAAGUAAUGUAGAGCUUUUUUUUUCAAGUAGCUAAUGGAGAGUUGCAAGAGAAGUUGGAAGUCUUACUUGAAGAUAAAAAAAGAAGAUGAAGGAUCAACAACAAAUUGGAAGGAAGUGGAAGAAGCAAUAGGAUUGCUUGCAAAAAGAAAAAAGAGAUAAGAUAGAGUGGGUAUUCAAAGACCAUUGCAAGUAUCUAAGAUAAAAAUGCCUACUAUCAAUCCUACAUCUAUGAUUCAACCUUCAAUGGCUACAUCAAAGAGAAGAAGAAAUGGAAUUGAUGAAAUUGUAUGAAGGAUGAAAGAUUUACAAAUAAAAUUUGUAAAUUUUGAAGAAAAAGAUCAAUCAUUAAGAGUAUCAACAAAACAAAGGUUAAGAUUGAUAGAAGGUAUAAUACAUAGGUACAUAUGGUGUGAUAAUAUAGAUUAUUUAAGAAGAGAAUGUGAAGAUUUUUUAGAUGAUUUACACAAUAGAGUUAUUUUUUUUUAAAGAUGGUAUGAUACAUUUAAAAGUGAGUGGAGAAAAAUUGAAAACAAACUUUAGUAAAAAAAAAAAAAAAAAAAAAAAAAAAAAAAAAAAAGAUGAAAGUGUUUACAAAGAAAACAUUUAAAAACUCAAGCAAUGAAGCACCAAUAUAUUGAAUGGAAGCAAGUCUAGGCAAAUGUUUAAGCAUAAAUCUUGAAUUUCCAAGAAAAUUUAGUUCUUUGAGGACAAGUGCAAUGAAUUAUAUUGAAAAGGAAAAAAUUUCUAUAAAUGAUUUAAAAUUUUUUAAUAAUAAUAUUUAAAAAAUUACUAAGUAGAAUGAUCUAAUAGAUGGAUUAUCAGUUCAUGCUCAUAUUGCAAAGAGUCAACAUAAAGCAUUAAUAGUAAAAAAAUAAAAGAAAGAUAUAAAUAAUGAAGAACCAUAAAAAAAAACUACAAGAAGAAAAAAAGCACAACAACAAAAGAAUCCUAUGCAUGAAGAGAUACAAGAGACUGUUUCUACAAAGAAAAGGAAAAUUAUAAAAGAAAAAGCAAAGGCUCUUUCUUAUAAAUUAGAAUUAGAUAUUGAAGCUACUAUAGAUUUGAAGAAGAUAUUGGAAGAGUAGAUUUUAAGUAAAAAGAUUGAAUUCACAAUUGGUGAAAUCUUAGAUAUUGUAAAACAUAAAUUUCACAAAAUUAUUAUAAUAAAGAAAAAAUGACAAUCUAUAUGAGAUACUAUAACAUCAAAUGUACAAGAAAUAAGAAUAAUAGAUAGAAAUCAAGAUAAAAUAGAUGAAAUAAAAAAAUUUGGAGAUGUCUUGCAAAUAAGAUUAAUAAAAAAAAAGAUGUGAUUUAAGCUUCUAGUCAUUAUUUUCAAUGUCAUUGGAUAAGGAUUACUAUAAAAACUAUGAUAAAAUUGAGAGAUUUAGAAAAAUUAGUUGUAGCAUUGAUUGAUCAUGGUUCUAAAAUCAAUUUGAUAUCAAAAGAAUUGUAUAAAAAGAAAAAAUGGCCUAUUAAUAUUGAACAUGGGUGGAUGAUAAGAACAACAAAUAAUUCAAAGGAAGAUUUGUAUGGAGCUUCUACAAAUAUCAAGGUGACGAUAGGAGAUAUUAUAUAUGAACAAAAUUUUUUUGUGCAAGACAUGUCUAUAUAUCCUAUUAUAUUAAAAAAACUAUAUAUUAUUGCUUUAUGAAUGAAAAUAAAGAUAAUAGAUGAUAGUUUGGCCUAUGUAAGGACAAAAAAUCAAGAUGGAAAGAAAGAAGUAUAAUUUUUGAUAGUUUGUGAAAAUAAUAAAAGAAAUUGAGUUAGUUUGAGGGAGCAUUCUUUGGUAAGGAUACAAAAAGAAUUUGGAUAUCUAGAUGAUUCAAAGGAUUUUUACUAAAGGCCAUUAUAAAACAAGAUUGCAAUGAUAAAAAGGGUGAUGGCUUCCUACCUAAUAGAAGAAAUAAGACCAUUAUAAGAUUAUCACAAGAUGGAUAUAUUUUAUUUAAAAAUAUAGAUAAAUUUAAAAAAAUAGAGAAGAAAAAUAUCAAAAAUAUAAAACAUAAGUGGAAAAAAAUAUAGAGUGAUUGAUGAAGAUGAAUAUAUAUCAAGAAUAUUUGAAGAAACUUAUUUUGGUGACACUAUGGAUAAUUUGUAAAUGAUAUUAGAUUUAGAUUUUAAAAGAGGUGAUAAAAUAAUAAACAUGUAUUGUAAGCAAAUUUAUGACAUAGUGACAAAAUAUAUGGAUAAGUAUGAAGUGAAGGUGAAUAUAAAAUAUAAGAUUGUUACAAAAAAGAUUUAAUCAGUGGCAUUGCCACUACCAUUAGAUUUUGAAGAAAGGAUUGAUAAGACUUCUAUGCAACCUAAUUUAAGAAAUCUAAGAAAAAUAGGUCAUGAAUUUAAGGAUGAAUUGACAUUAGAUGGUUUAAAAGUUAAUUGUGAAGAAUUUUUAACAAUGAAUGAAGAGAGAUGUUUUAAAAAAAUGCUUUCACAAUAUAGUAAGGAAUUUUCAUUUGAAUCACAUAAAAUAAGGUGCAUUGAUCCAAGUAUUAUAGUACAUAUGAUUAUUUUUACAAUUCCAUAUAAACCAUAGAAUUUAAAGCCAAUUCCAAUUUAAAAGGACUAUUUUCCAAGCUAAUCAAAUUAUUUAAUGAAAAGUUUAAAAUCAAAAUUUUAGAACCAUCUAUUGCACCACAUUCUAAUCCGUGGUUUUAUAUCUUCUUAUUUUAGAAUGGCUAUUGCUAAAAAUAAGAAGACUAAAAAGUCUUGAAAGAAGACUAAGGACCAGAAAGGCAUUGACAAGAGUGAAGAAGGCUUUACUCUUGCCUCCAUAUAUACUAUCUAACUAAGAGCUACGUAGAGAUGUCCUAUAGGACCUCCAACAUGUGUUGACUUUGCUAACCACAUGUCUUAUCUUGCAAGGCAAGUUAUCUAUAUAUGUACCAUGUAGUUAGCUUGUUCUACAAGCUACUACAUAGAGAUAACUUAUUCCACAACCUACCAAUACAUGGUUAGCUUUUUGGCCAAGUUUCUAACCUAUAAAUACAUUUAAAGUCAAAAUCACGUUUAUGAAGCUUCUAGGAAGCUUUUCUAGAUGACUUUAUGAAAUUAGUCUAUAUUUAUCUACUUCUACUUAAUCAUAUAAGUAACUAUUGAGAUAAAUAUAUAUGUCCAUGACAUUAUUCUCCUUCUAGGGACAAGUUCCACGAGGAGCAAUCUUCCUAUGUUGAGGAAGUCUAAGAUGCUGCAAAUUGUAUUUGUUACAUACUCCAAUCUUUGUUCUCUAUGAAGAUGGUUGAUAGGUCCUCUCAACCAUCUAUAGUAUCCCAUACUAGGGCGAAAAGACUACCUUGUUAUUUGCUCAUUGUUGAGGCCUUCAUAACAUGCUUCAAAUAAAAUAUUUAGAACAUUGUCAUGAGUUGUUCCUACCUCUAAUAAAAUCACUAAACAUUGUGAGUCUCUUCUAAGCUCAUGAUACCAAACUUGUUGUAUCUUGCCAUCUAUUCGAGGAAAGACAUGUCAUUCUUGAGGAUCUUCAUCUCGAUUCAGUCAUCUUGAAGGUUGUAACAAUUACAAUGUCUUAUCUAGUAAAUUCGCAAAUGACAGCUCUUGAGUUGAAUCUGUUGGUUGUUGGUGCUCUAUUUCAUUACAAAUACAUAGAAACUACAAUAAAAGUAAGAAGGUAGAAUGAUCUAGUUUCUUUUAUAGUAAAGGUUUGCUAUUUUUCAUCUUGGUUUUGAUGGAUGUCAUUGAUGAAAGACUUCAAUUUUCUUUGCUGCAUUUAUAAGAUUCUUUGAUGGCUCCCAUGUGCAUUCACUAAUAUCAUAUCUGUGCCAAUGAACAAGAUAUUCCAACCUAUUUUGGUGCCACCUUGAGUCUAAGACUUCUUCCACCUCAAACUCUUGGUUAUUAUCCACUUCUAUAGGAGGGUGUGGCAUUUGUCUUCUUUCCAAGAUAUUCACUAUCUUAUACGGCUUUAAAAGAGACACGUGAAAUUUAGGGUGGAUCUUCAUAGACUCCGGUAGAUGUAAUUCAUAGGCAAUAAGAUUGAUUUGUUUACAAAUAGGAAAAGAUCCCAACCUACAAUAAUCUAAUUUAUGACAAGGACGAGUAGUCUUGAUAUUACGAUGAAGUAACCAUACCUUGUGACCCAUAUUAUAUUGUCGUUGCUCCUUAUAAUAAGCAUCCGUGUUGAUCUUUUGUCAUUCUUGAGCUUCCUUUAACUGUAUCUUCAUUAUUGUAUGUAGCUUUGAUAAGCGAUUUGCUAAAUCUUCCUUCGUAGGAUUAUCAACUUUUGAAAAGUUAAAAAUAUCAAGACGUGGAUGAUAACCAUAAUUGAUAAAGAAAGGUGUUUGUCAAGUGAAAGAAUGUAUUGUAUUAUUAUAUCCAAACUCUGCCAAUAGUAAAAGAAUUUUCCAAUCAUUUUUAUGAUAGUUGAUGAUACAUCUCAAAUACUACUCUAGAACUUGAUUUACCCGUUCUAUUUGUCAAUCAAUUUCAAGAUGAAAAGCUAAAGAAAGCUUUAUAUCCACCUUUAGAAUCUUAAAUAGGGUUCUCCAAAAUCUUAAUACAAAUUGAGUCCCCAUAUCCGAUAUAAUAUCCUUUGACAAUCCAUGAUAGCAAUAGAUAUUGCCAAUGAAAAGCUUGGCUAUUUCUUCACCUAUGAUAGAUUUUGUACAUAGUACAAAAUGUGUCAUCUUGAUAAAAUGAUCUACUAUCACGAAUAUAGAGUCAUAAGGACUUGAGAUUAGAAGAUCCAUGAUGAAAUUCAUAGAAACAAAAGACCAUGAUUGUUUUGGAAUGGAUAACGGCUUAAGAAGUCUGUAAGGUCAAUGACGAGGAGUUUUUGAUCUUAAGAAAAUAUCACAAGAUUGUACAAAAUCUUAGAUUGUCUUCCACAUUUGUAGUCACGAAAAAUCCCCGGAUAUUACUUCUAAAGUUUUAUUGUAUCCAAAAUAUCCUACUGCUAGAAAGUCAUGAUGAGCUUGAAGAAUAUGUAAUCAAGCUUCACCUUCUAGAACAUAUACACGUCCUUCAAAAUAUAAUAGAUUAUUUUUAAAUUCAAACUUGGAAGUAUCAUGAGACUUAGAGGAAGUAUCCUUGAUAUCGUGAAUAAGAGGAUCAGAGGACAUGCUUGAUUGAAUUUGCUUUAUAAAUGUUGAAUCAAUAGUCAAUGUUGAUUCUAUAGUUUGAAGAUGAAAAUGCUCGGGCUUCAAGAGAAUUAAUUUUUGUUGAUCAAAAGAUGCAUCUCUUUCUUUUGUUGCAAGAUAAGAAUGUCUAGAGAGAGCAUUGUCAUAUUGUAAAUGCUUACAAUAUGUAAAAAUUAGUUAAAACAUAUUAUAUGUUGAUAAAUCUAGAUGUGUGUUAGAGUGGCUAGUAGAUUAAAUUAAAAGGAGUUGGUAUAAGAAACUUUAUUUUGUUUCUUUAUUUCUUUUGAUUUUGACAUUAAAAAAAUAUAUAUAUAUAUAUAUAUAUAUAUAUAUAUAUAUAUAUAUAGGACCUAAAUGUUUAGUAUGAAAUCUUGGGAAAAGGUGGAAACCUAAGAAUGAAAAUCUAAACUAGUAGGAAGCUAAUUGGGAGGGAUGAAAGUAAGGCAUGGUCGGAUGAAGACAAGGAAUGGGGAACUUCAUCCCUAUUGGUCGAAUACCAUGUCCAAUGGGCUUUGAGGAGGCUGCCUGCGACCUUAAGAAGGGUUUUGGCGACUUCAAAGGGGGCAUUCAGAGAUUAGAAGCUAGGAUUAUAAAGUUUAGGAUUUGGAGAACAAUUUGUGUACAAAAAUUAGAGGAUUUGGAAUUAGAGUAAAAAAGUUAUAACCGUUUGAAGUUAAGGUAUUUAUUUAAGACAUACUGUUACUCUUUUGAGAGUAUGAGGAGUUUUACAGCAGCUUUUGAAGAUCGAAAGGUGCAAUUGGAACGGCGAUUUCAAGGCCUAAAUCUUUCAUGAAAGAAUUAUUGCUUUUGGAAUUUAUAUAAAGAAGUUAUAAGGAGUUGAAGGCGAUGCUUCCAAAUCAAAAGUAGUAAGUAAGCGGGUUUGUUUGUAGUAAUGGUUGAAGCCAUAACUUGAGUUUUCGGAUGAAUUUUUGGCUCAAACUUUUUGGAGAAUGUAAAAUUUUGUGUUAAGAAGCUAUAAAUACAAAUUUUGUGGCAUUUGAGCUUAUAUUUUGUGAGAUAUGAAGAAAAUUGCACGUGGAUGUAGAAAGACAAGGGUUUGAAGCGGCUGUAAGGGAUUUCAAGAUAUCUCAAGAUCUGCAAUGAAUUUGCAGUUGAAAAUUGUUUUAGAAGUUAAUAAGAAUACAUCAGUACCUCACGUAAAAUUAGAGUUUGUUUGGACGGUCGGAUUAAGAGAUAUGAGGUGUUGAAGUUUGGGAAAAUCUCCACAUAAGAAUAAACAAGGAUUUAGAAGAUUUUAUCAUAUUUUGGAAGUUGUGGGUUACUUGAGGAUUGUGUAUUUGGUGUAAUUACUCAAAAAGAGAAAAAUUAUAUAUAAACUUAGGGCUUCCCUUAUUUUCAAGCUUGAUUGAAUAAUUAGUGACAGCCAGAAGCCCAACGUUUUCUUGAGGCAAACUCUCUCUAUCCCGACAGCGUCCAAUAGACCUUGUUUUUUGGGUCGAUAAGUGAUUUUGAAAUUGAAUUUAGAUAAAGAUAUGGUCCAAAAAGCUUGAUGACGAUUCAAGAUAUGUGCUAACAUGAAGUACUCAAGGUUCUUAUGGUCUAUAUAUAUAGUAACUAGACUUGAGGUGCCUUCUAGAUAAUGAUGCCAUUCUUGAAAUGAAUCCAUGAUUGCAAGGAGUUCUUUGUUAUAGAUCUCAUAAUUAAUCUCGGCUAUUGAAAAUUUCCUUGAAUGAAAAGCUAUUGGGUGGAGUUUGUCAUCUAUUCCCAUUUAUGACAAUACAACACCUAUAGCAAAAUCUGAUGCGUCUAUUUCCAUAAAAAAUACCUUGGAGAAGUCAAUAUAAUAUAAGAUUGAUGCAAAAAUAAAUUCCUUCUUUUAAACAUCAAAUGAUGUUUUUGCUUCUUUAUUUCACUCAAGUUUGUCUUUACAAGUCAAACAUGUAAGUGGGGCUGUAACUUGAAAAAAAUUCUUGAUGAAGAUUUGAUAGUAAUUAGCAAAGCCCAAAAAGGAUUAUACAUCUCGUACUGUUCUUAGAAUCUUCUAAUCUAUGAUAGUUUGAACCUUCUUGGGAUCCAUCAUAAGGCCUUCAUUGGAAAUGAUGUGCCCUAAAAAGUCAACUUGAGUAGUGUGGAAGACACACUUUUUGAACUUGGCAUAUAAUCCUGCAUCUCUAAGUUUCUGUAACAUGCAACAAAUAUGAAGCUCAUAUUCUUUUGUAUUCUUAGAAUAGAUUAGAAUGUUGUCUAAAUAGUAGACAAUGAAAUCAUCUAAAAAUUCACGAAAAAAAUCAUUCAUAAGAUGUUGAAAAGCAGUCGGUGCAUUCGUGAGUAAAAAAGGCAUGACAUUAUAUUCAAAAUGUCCAUACCUAAUUUGAAAAGCACUCUUCCAUUCAUCUCUUUUUUUGAUAUGGACUAAGUUGUAUGCUUCUCGUAGAUUUAUUUUGGUAUAGAUCUUUGCUUGAUUGAGUUGGUGAAGAAGUCCUGAAAUCAAAAGAAAAUGAUACUUAUUUUUUAUGGUAAUCUUCUUGAGUCCUCGAUAAUCCACAUAUAUUUACAAAGAUCCGUCUUUCUUCUUCACAAAUAAGAUAAGAGCGUUGGCACGAGAUUUAGAAUGGCAUAUGAAGUUCUUUGCCAAAUUCUCAUUAAUGUAUUUCUUUAAUGCAGUCAAUUCAUUCUGCGAUAAGCUAUAGAUUGGUCCAAAUGGUGGUUGAGCUCUUUCUUGCAAAUCAAUUGAACAAUCAUAAGGAUGAUGCUCAGAAAGAAUAUCUGCAUUCUUCUUUUAAAAAAUGUCUUGAAUUCUUGAUAUUGCUUAGGAAUACAACUCGAUAUUGUUUCACCAUUAGAAAUGGGUGUAGCAUAUAUAGGAAAAGAUGAUCCUUCUUUUGCAGCAUGCAUGAAAGCUUUUGUACCUAUUUGUAAAGGUUUGGACAUAUUGAACUUACGUACUUCUACUUUGCUAAUGCAAUCUUGGAUUAUACUAUCAAGAAAGUUAAGGUUACAAGAAAUCUAAUCUAUUUGAGGGUUAUAUUUCUCUAGCCAUGAUAAUCCUAAAAUAAAUGGAUUAAAGGGAGAUUUUAUUAUAUUAAAUAUUACUACGUUGUUAUGAUCUUUAAUUGCUAUAUCUAAAGGAAUAGUUUCAUGGGUAACAUUUCCAAAAGACAACGAACAACCAUCUAUGACUUCUUAUUAAAUGGAUUUAACUUUUUUCACUAAAGGUAUUUUUUGAUUUUUGGCAAAAUCUUCAUCUAUAAAACAUGUUAAGAUUCUUGAAUCUAACAAGACAAAGUCUUUGUGAUUAUUAGGUCUUUAAUAUACUUCUAUUAUAAAACAAGGUGAGGGGUGUGAGGGGAGGAUAUGACCUUUACUAGAUAUUACACAUGAUUCCAACCGCUCGAUGCCUAUUGUAGCUAAAAAAACUCAUUUUCUGAGACAUUAUCUUCUUUGGUAAUUGUGCUCCUCAUUUUGUAAUUGUGUUGCUUCUUAGAACAAUAUUAAGCAAUGUGUUUAGCUUCUCUACAAUAUAAACACAACCCCUUUUAGUGACAUCAAGUCUUUUCUUACUUUAUGAGAGGUUUAAAAUGUAUCAUAUCAAUUUGCAUUUGUUUCGGUUUUGACGAAUACAUUUCAAAAAACUUGGGAGCUAUUGCCAUUACUUGACUUGUUUCUCUCCAAUCAAAUCUUUGUUCUUGAUGUCUUUCAAAUAAACGAUUGUCACAAGCAAUGGCUUGAGUGAUAAAUUUUUCUAAAGAUUCUACUUUCGGCAUUAAUAAUAACAAAUUUUUGACGCUAUUCUUUAAUCCAUAUCAAAAUUGGUUGAUGAAUGCUUUGUUGUUCCAGUCCACGUUGUUGUACUGUAAAAGUUUAAAGUAUGUAAAAAUUAGUUAGAACAUAUAAUAUAUUCAUAAGACUUGGUAUGUGUUAGAAUGAUUAAAUAUAUUAAUUUUAAAAGAGUGGAUUUAAGAAAAUUUAUUUUGAGUUUCUCUUUUUACGUAUAGCAUUUCAAAAAAAAAAUAUUAUAGAACCUAAAUAUUUAGUAUGGAGCCUUGAGAGGAGAUUACGUAAUAGAUUUGUAACGAAUUUAAAGUUGAAUUUUUUUGUGGUAGUUUUUGAAAGUAUAUUAGUACUUCAUGUAAAAUUUAGGAUUGUUUGGACAAUCCGAUGGUGAGAUAUGAGCUAUUGAAGUUUGAAAAAUAUUUUUCAUAAGGAUAUAUAAGGUUUUAAGAUACUUUAUCAUAUAUUUGAGUGUUUUUUUGGUACUUGGCUUAUAUUUUAAUGUAAUUAUCCUAAAAGGGAAUAUAUUAUAUAUAUAAACUUGGUACUUUUACAUCUUAGACUUGAUUGAGUAUUUAGUGGUAGCCAGAAGUCCAACGCUUUGUUGAGGUAAACUCUCUCUACUCUGACAACAUUGCAAGCAAGAUUUUAGAAUUUGAUAGCUUAUGCAGUAGCUGAUUGUGAUCUUUGUCAUAAAGAUAAAAACUUGGUCUCUACUACUCAUUUUCAAUCACUUUCUUUGAAUGUGGUUGUAAACACUUCUAGGAAUGAAUUCAAAUCAUAAAGAAGUCGUGAAUCUUUUUCCAUUGAAGGUGCACACCAAGAGAGAGCACUUCUUAAUAGUAGUGCGUCUAUGCAUCUGACUUGGAUAAAUCCAUCAAGAUAUUGGAAAGGUUGCAACCUUAGAUAAAGCUUGACUUCUUGCAAAAAUCCUCAAAAUUUUGAUCUUGUUCCAUCAAAUUUCUCAAGCAUACUAAUCCUUGUCCCUGUCAUACUUGUAGAAGCAGAACUCUCUAGAUUUGGUUGUGACAUUGAUCUACUUGCUUCUUUUAAUUGCACAACUUCUUGCCGCAGACUCUGAACUUUUUUUAUAGACAUAAGCAUAGUACUUCCAUGAUUCAUGUUGGAAAUAUGCAAGAUUUCCACUGUUAGAGUAUUAACAAGCUCAUGAAGAUUUGCCAUAGUUGCAAAUCUAUUCUCACUUUCGUUGAAAGUAGCAUCUAUAAUCUUUCUUUCCAUAGACAACUCAAAUGAAUUCAAAAGUUAAAUUAGAGGAGGGUAAUCCACAACCUCUAAAAAAAAUCCUAUAAAGAGGGGUAAUCCACUCUCUUUAAAGAAAAUAUCAGUGUUAGAAAAUAAGAUUUUUUGUUUAAAGGUGGAUAGUCUAGAACCUUCAAAACACAACAAUAGAAAUGGAAUAAUCCACUCACUUCUAAAACAAGAUAGAAAUAAUAUGUUAGUACUCUUGUCAAACUGUCAAGGACAUGAAUCAAGAAGAACUCAAAGAUCAAGACAAUCUUGUGUCACUCUAAAAGACUAAGAAAUCACUCAAAGAUGGUACUAUACUGAACUAGAAUGGCUAUUGCCAAAAACAAGAAGACUAGAAAGUCUUAAAAAAAAACUAAGGACUAGAAAGGCAUUGACAAGAGUGAAGAAGGCUUCAUUCUUGCCUGCAUAUAUACUAUCUAAUUAAGAGCUAGGUGGCAAUGUCCUAUAGGACCUCCAACAUGUGUUGACUUUGCUAACUACAUGCCUUAUCUUACAAGGCAAGUUAUCUAUGUAUGCACCACAUAAUUGGCUUGUUCUACAAGUUAUUACACGGAGAUAACUUGUUCUAUAAGCUACCAAUACAUGAUUAGCUUUUUGGCCAAGUUUCUAACCUACAAAUACAUUUAAAGUCAAAACCACGUUUAUGAAGCUUCUAAGAAGCUGUUCUAGAAGACUUUAUGAAAUUAGUCUAUAUUUACCUACUUCUACUUAAUCAUAUAAGUAACUAUUGAAAAAAAUUUAUAUGUCUGUGACAACAACAUAUCAUCAUGAAGAGCACCUAUAUUCUUUGUAUUCAAAAAAGAUAGUCGACUCUGCCUUUAAAUUAACUAUUGAGGCCUCAAUAAGCAGACUAUUAAAAAUGCAUAUUUAUUUUUAUGCAUUGAUGAUUUUCUUAACCAACUUGAAGAUGUGACCAUUUUUAGUAAAUUAGAUAUUUAGAAUGGUUAUUAAUAAAGACCUAUUGUAAAAGAGGAUGUAAAAAAGACGACAUUUUAUAUGCACUAUAGUUAUUUUGAAUGGCUGGUUUUUUCUAUUGGCCUCACCAAUGCUCUAGCCUCUUUCAUAAAUUGCAUGAACAAAUUAUUUUAGAACCUUUUGGACAAAUAUAUAGUUUUUUUUAUUGAUGAUAUCCUUGUAUAUAAUAAAAUCCCUAAAGAAUAUGAGCAAUACCUAUAAGAAGUGUUGCACCUACUACAAGAUAGUCACUUUUAUUACAAGCAAUCAAAAUAUGAAUUUUGGAAUUCGAAAGUCACUUUUUGGGACAUGUAGUGUCUUUCAAAGGCAUACACAUGGAGCAAGAUAAGGUGAAAGCAGUAGAAGAUUGGCCAACUUCUAAGGAUGCUUCUAAAGUCUAUUCAUUUUUAGGCCUUUGUAGAUAGUAUCGUUGUUUUGUUUGGUGAUUUGUUCACAUUGCUACUUCAUUGACAAAUCUAUUAGAGAAGAGUGUUCCAUUGGAAUAGAAACUGGAGCAGCAAAGUACCUUUGAUAAGUUAAAAGAUGCAUUCAUUAUUGCUCCAAUAUUGCAAUCAUAUGAUCUUAACCUUCUUUGUAUCCUUGACAUUGAUGCUUUGAACUUUGCUAUUGGAGUGGUCUUUAAAUAAGAUUUUAGUAGAGGCCUUCAAUUUGUGGUAUAUGAAUCACACAAGCUCAAA
rnacentral:lncRNA from 1 species